UGCGUUUUUGGGUCGAUAGGUGAGGUGGUACUAUGUUUUCCUUGAUCCAAUAGGUCGGUGGAACAUCCCGAGCGAAAGAGUCCUGAUUUGGCUCCAACAGGGGGGCGGGCGCCCUGGGCCUGGCCCAGUUUCGCCUCCGCUUCGGUCUCGUGGCUUCUGGAGUCUUCUAGAUGAUGUAAAAUCGUGCGGUGCGUUGAUAUCUCUAUGUAAUCCCGACAUGUGGGCCUUUCUUCCUUAUUUCCUGAUAACCCCCUGCGGAAACAGAUAAACAACAAAACUCGUGGAAUUCUGUCAGAUCAAACCCUAAUUCUAGGUGUUGGUUGCAUUUGGAUCCUUUUCUUUAUUUAUUUGAUAAUUAAAUUUGAUACUUAAGGACCGUCAACAAACUCCCCCAAGCUUACCUCUUGCUCGUCCCUGAGCAAGGAUAGACUUAGCUAUGGAUCAUAAAUUGUUGCAAUAUUUUAAAAAUUGAUGUUACACAUGCUUUUUAAAUAAAAUCUCAUCUCUGAGUUAGAGUAAACUAUCAAGACUUAAAACUUACUUUACCUUCACCAUGGGACUUGUAACCGUCACUUUUGUCUUGAGAGGUUAAAAGAUAGAACAGUCUAGCCAAGUGCCAUGUCUCUUAUUCUUGAUCAGCUAUAGCUCUAGAGUUUUUGCAGAUUUUCAAAUAAAACUCAGAGAUUCCUUGUAUGAUUCUCUCAGAUCUCUCUUUUAUGGUAUUUUUGGAUCCUUACCAAGGCAGUGAUGGUAUAUGCCUUCUCUCAAGAUAUGUAGUAUUUGUGGUAUGAAGCAUAGUGACAUUGUCUUCUCUCUCACCCUACUCUAAUAAGGUUCUGAUAUCUGGAGCUCAUAGGUGGGAGACAGCUAAUACAUACUUACAAGACAUUUAUUGCAUAGUCAAACCAUGGACCCAGAGAAACAAGUCAAUAAGUCAAAUCAAGAUGUGCAUGUGUGGCGAAUGAAUGGUGUAUGGUGAUGAUGAUGAUAAUAAUGGUGAAAGUCUAAUUCUACUUUUGCUCUUUUGAGGGGAUACAUACCUUUCUUGCACUUUGAACCUUUUUGGGGAGAAUAAGAUGCUCUAUAUUUUCUUUUUCUUUCCUCUCAGGUGGGUAUCUUGUACCCCUAAUUCUACUGUCGGACACUUGUCCAUUUUUACCUCUCGUCUCACUUUUUCUUUUCUUUUGAGGUUCCGGGCACUUGCCCCUUUUUAUUUCCUCGUAUAUAUAUUUUUUUUCUCUCUUCUUUUUUUUUAGAGCACUCAUCUCCUGAAAUAAUGUAGCAAGUGGUAGUAACCAAAAUAACUGGAGCAUUUAUUUCACAGGGAAUAACAGGGAUAGGAAAAUGUUUUUGGCUAUUCUCUCCCGGAUUAGGAGUAGAAUAAUUUUGGGUGAAACUGGAGAUGGAAAUGAGUGGAUAUAUGUGGAUGGUACUUCCGGAGUAGAAGUAGCAUGUAUGAGUGAAUGUGCAGGUGAAUCUUGAUUUUAACCACAUGACAAGCUCCUAAGGGUCUACACAGCUUGACCACACUCAAUGCUCAUAAGCAGUAAAAAGUAAAUAUGUGGCUCAAAGUCUAGCAAGCAUGUAUAUAUGGCUGUGGUAGGAUUUUAAACUCUCAUCAUACAGGAACUCAUCAUGUGUUAUUUUAAAGAUUUUUUUAAAGAUAAAAUUCUCCAGAAUUCUAGCAUCUCUAGGAACAGAUAAAAAGCAGCUCAACCUUCCCAUAUCAUAUCCAUUAACGACUUAGACUUUAGAUCAAGUACUCUUCCCACAAGUUUAGGUUUAGAGCAAGCUUUAAAUUAUAACAGUUAUGUCUAAACUUGAGAGAGAUUUCAAUUUUAAGAACUAGUCAUGGCAGAGCAACUAUUCAUCAUUUCCAUGAGAGAGCUUAUCAUGAGGGUUCAUAGCAAAUUUUAUUUAUUUAUUUAUUUAGAAAACUAAGCAAAGAUAUAUAUAUAAAAGCACAAAAUCUUUAUUUGGGUUUUUCAUAGUUUAAUAUUCUAACAUAAUAUAAGUAUAAAGAUAGGUAGAAAUACUUAGCAAGAUAAAUGGGGGUGCUCUCCCCCAAGCUGAAUUUUGACGUAAUUUCUUCUGAUGUAGCUAGCAGGUGAUGGAGGUGUAUUUGAAAGUCGACAGCACCCCGACAGCGAUUAGGAUGUCUUCCGUCUGCUAGUCUUCUUUGAUCCUUGAAUUCUGUGGAGCUCAAAUAGACAACAAAGCUUUGUGGAACUGAUUAAGUAGCAUAAAUAUCUAGCCUUUAUCAUGUUGAGCCUCCUCAAUAUUACUUAUUUAGCAGGAUCAUGCACUUAUUAUUUUUAUAUUUUUAUUGUAAGAUGAAAACUUAUUUAUUUUAUUUUCAUGCCACCACAGUGAAUGUACUUAUGGGUUUUAUGCCAUGAGCAUACUCACAUGAGGCUUACUAUUUUUUUUAGCAUUUUUAUUUUCUUUUCAAGAUAGCAUGAACCUGAUUAACUAAGCAAAACUAUUGAAUGGAAAAGGAUAACUACCAAGUUUACCUCUUGGCAAGGCGUUCAGUGUUUUUAAGUCCUCCGAACGGGACUCUCCAUUUUCUUAGUCGUCCUGGGAUUUGCCGGGUGGCGUAGUCGGUGGUUCCGGCGGCGCCUCCUCUUCGUGUAUGACUAUCUUCUCUUUCCACACCUGACUCGGUGCUACGGUCUCCUCAGGACAGUUCUGUUCAAGUUGUAUGUCUUCAGUCCUUAUCACUUCUCCUUCGUAGUCUACCCAUCCGUCCUUGAUGAUUUGCCUCCUCUGGUUGCGGUUGCAUUGUCUUCUUCUUGUCCCGACCUGCUUAGAAUCUUCAACUAUAUAAUCAUUAAAGUAGUGGCGUACCUUCUCAGAGGGGAAAUGCAUGUAGACUUCUCCGGUUCUAAUAUAGAUAAUGGCUUUGAUAGUGUUUGAGGAACGGUCUUCCAAGGAUGAUGGGUGGAUCGAACUCGUCUUCUCCCAUGUCAAUGACCUGAAAAUCAUCUUGAGCUGAAUAUAUUGGUUGUAGGGGCAUGGUUCCAUGCAGGAGCUGAUAAGUGACUGCGGCCAUUAUGUUGUCGUUAGAUCCGGUGUCGUAGAGUGUCUUCUGAAAAGAGUAUCCGUUGAUUGUGCAUUCGAUUCUUGAAACACCAGGGUCGUCCUUCUUGAUCAAGAAAGGUGACUUGAGUCGACGAUCUUGACCUCCUUGAACUGCAGUGACCAACUUAGCUGACUCGGUCCACAUUUGCUUGUUCCUGUUCCUCCUGUUGGUCCUCUUCCUUGGUUGAUGUCGGGGUUGCUCUGAACUUUGUGUAGUCUUGUUCUUGAAGGAAAGUCUCCUUCUUCCCCUUGAUGUAGAGACUGAUCUUGGCAGCAUUAGCGUAGAUGACAGCUCUAGUGUUUAGGAAUGGCCUCCCUAAGAUGAUUGGUGCCCUCUCCUCAGUGCCAGUCUCUAUCACCAUGAAGUCUGCUAGAGCAUACAAGGUACCAACUCAGACGCAGAGGUUCUUCAAUAUUUCCUUUGGGAAACUGAGUGUCCGAUCUGCAACCCUGGGCAUAAUGUUGACGCUGGAGCCAAAGUCGCAGAGUGCUUCUGGGAAGUCCACCAUGCCGAUGGAGAUCGGGAUGACGGGGCGUCCUGGAUCACCUCUCUGAGUAAUUAGGCCUCUGUUGAUUCCAACCUUGAUGUUGUUGAGGACGGUUGUAGUAAUAGUUGUUUUUGUUGUUGAUGUAGUUCACGUCCUCAAGCAUCUCAGGGCAGUGAUUGCCUGAGCGUCCAGUAUCUCCAGUGUUUGUGCUCGUAGAUCCUAGUUCUUCACUUGGUGGAAUCUGGGAGUUGUAAAACUCCUUCAUAUUAUGCUUGAAGUGUUCCUGCUCAUAGAGACAAGGUAGAGAUCAAGUGCAUGGGCCCUGUUGGUGGAAAACACCAAUAGAACCAAAAGUGUAUUUGUUCUUCUCUAACCUUAAGCAUAGUGAGCAAGACAAAGUUGGUGGAUCAUGAGUGUAGCAUUUGUCAGAUCAGAUGGCUCAACAUAAUGGAAAGAUAAUCUAUCUAUAUUUAUGUUUUGUUUAUAUCUUCCAAAGAUUGCAUGUGCAAUACUUUAGCUUAUAUGAUUAGGAGUGUGGGGUCACGAAGGUAGUACUAAGAACAAAGAUUAAAGGACUAAACAUGUUGAAUUAAUUGAGUUGGUUAAUUUGGAGUUAUAAAUCAUACAUGUUUGUCUCUUUAUUUAUGUGAAUGCCAGAACCAAGGAGGAGCUUAUAAAAGUGUUAGUCAAGUACCUUAUGAUGUUACCUUAAUUGAAGAGUGAUGGUACAGUAUCACCUUGUGGAAGCUUUCCUUUCUUAGCGGUUGUGCAUCGUGUUUGUGGCACCCUCCAUGAAUCAUCUCUUAUGAGCUACGUCUUUCUUGUGCAAAUUGUUAAACUUCAUGUGUCACUUUCUUCAUCUCUAAUGAGUUUGCAUCUCAGGACUUCCCAGGUUGUUAUUGAAAGUUUUCCUGCAGGGGUUAGUCCAACAAAAUAUACCAAUAUCUACUCAAGCAGUUUUUUAGUUCAGUAACCAAACUAGACUCCAUGUCUAAUCAGAUUAAGGAAGGCUAUUUAACCUAAGCACCACGCUUAAUUUAAAUGCCAUUGGAAGUGUGACCAGUACUUCCAAACUAACACUUACUAGGAUAAACAAAGGUAGCAUGAUGGCUUUUAUAGAGAUCUACUCAAGUGGAGAUGAAGUAGUGUGAUUAGUAUUUAACAAAUUGAGCAUGUCUCAAAGGUAGGGACAACCAACAUAGCAACAUGGCAAAGGAUGUUUUAUGGAAAGUACUCCCCCAAGCUUGAAUUUUGCAAAAUUCAAGAUUGGAUGAAUUUAAUUUAAUGUUGCAUGAUGAUUGGUUGGGCAUACCUUGUGCUUGUCAUUCAUCCGAUCUUCUUGCUCCAAUCCUAGAAAGGUUAGUGACAAGAAUACCCGAAGGAAUAUUUCUACAAUUAUCUUUAUAUGCUCAAUACACAAGGCAAUGUUGCAAAUAAUUAGAAGUGCUUGUUUUAGGACACUAAGCUUGUCCUUGGGAAACCAUCAAUUAACUCAAUGAGAUCUGCAAUAUUUAUUAUAGACAUAUGCAUCGACAACCGCUCUUUUAAAGUUUUUAUAAAUAGAAAAGAAGAGGGGGUUGGAGAUCUCAAAUGUGGUAAGGAUGGAGAGACAAAUUGAUUGGAGAGAUGUUUUAUAUGAGCAAGGACUAGGUGAGGUAUUUAUGAAAUAACUUCCAUGCUCACUGUUGUUUCUCUCAUUCUCAAACUCCAACGAUGAUUCUUCAUGAAUGUUUAAAAUUCCUCUAGGAUUGUCUCUCAAGUUUGUUUUAUCUAACCAUUCAAUGGUGAUAGCACAUGGAUUUUUAAUGCCCUCUAGCCAUUGAUGUUGCUCUUCUCGAUCCUCCUUCUUAUGCAUGGGAUGUCUAGAAAGAUUCAUAGGAUUAUCGGGAGGUUCAAGAGGAAGAGCAUAGUAGAAACUAUUAAGCUCAAGGAUGGGAUGGAUAGCCAAAUCAUGGGAUUGAAAUGUUUGGAAAUCGGCUAUUGAAACUUCCUUUCCUCGUCUGGGAGAUGAUUCCUUCUCUAUCUCUAAGAUUUUUCUAUGAAGACUAGUACAAGAAGGAUGUCCACAAAUGAAGACAUACCUUCCUUUACUAAUAGAUAAAGAAAGAAGGACUCUACCAAAGGUUAUAUGAUUAAGACCAAUGUGAAAAUAUUUAGGAAAAACAUGGUCUUGUAGGGCUAGGUCUAAACCAGAAUUUAUAGAAAGAUUAACAAAUUCUCUAGGUGUAGCUAGAAGUGCAUUAUCUUUUUGAUUAAAAGAUAGGACCUCGGCUAUAGAAAAGGGUUGGUUUUGACCUAUUGCAAUCAACUCCGGACACAGAUCAUAAUUACGGGCAGGACGUGUUGACUCCCAUGGUCUAUCGCUGGUCUCCGAAGGUGCAAAGAAUUCAGUAAUAGGUAUGGAAUAUAAGUUAUCCAUAAAGAUAAAAAUAAAAAGAUAAAAGAAUAAAAGUAUAAAAGUAUAAUACAAGAUAAUAGCAAGACUCAAAGUUAUCUCGGCAAACCGUCUUUCUCCCCGGCAACGGCGCCAGAAAUGCUUGUUGAUAUUUGGUAACGCAAUAAGGAAAUGAUCUGCAAGCGCACAGAUAUCGGUGAGCAUUUCACCCGGGAGGUUUUCCAGAGUAUCGUAUUUAUAUUUUUACCACUGGGAGAAAGGGUGCAUCUGACUAACCAAAUCUAUUGCUACUAUCCCUUUAGGCUACAAAGAAUGUCUCUCGAUGUGAGUGAUGUAUAGAGAAGACUGCAACCGUAGUCUCGUUCUAACCUUGGUAAGGAUGAUCUACUGUUCUAUUGGGGAGGCUCACGGAAUCUAGACAACACAAGGGAUGUUCGACCCGCACCUUUAACCCUACCCGUCCUGCUAACGAGAUGUGAUCUACAAAGGUAACUCGGAAAUGUCACGUUCCUCGCUACUACCACGGUCCAGCUAGUGAGGGGAUAUCUAUGAGUACCCUAGCCUAAACACCACGUUUACGCUAACAAGUGAUUACUCUAAUACUCAACCGGAAGAGGAUUAAAGUAAACUCAUAAACCAAAGAACAAUAAAACAAGAACUUACUAGUAUUAGAAGUCGAAUUACUGAAGAAUCUUAGAAGCAAGCCUCGGGUUAGGAGACUUGAUCCCGUAGGUACAACUCGGAGUAGACACCGUCAGGCCGGCCUUCCUCCGAUCCACACCUCCACUCUAUCUCUCUCAAUCUAGUAGAAACUAGAAGAUCUAUUUCUACCUUACAUUGGUUGCUACGCCUAAAAAAGAAAUAUUAUUUAGAGAAGAGGUUUUCCUUCGAGGGCACCCCUCAAUCUCUAUGAUAAUUUCUUGUCUUCUCCAGGGCCAGGGGGGCCUUGCUUAUAUAGUCCUCCCCUUCUAUGCGUUUUUGGGUCGAUAGGUGAGGUGGUACUAUGUUUUCCUUGAUCCAAUAGGUCGGUGGAACAUCGCGAGCGAAAGAUUCCUGAUUUGGCUCCAACAGGGGGGCGGGCGCCCAGGCUACCAGGGCGGGCGCCCUGGGCCUGGCCCAGUUUCGCCUCCGCUUCGGUCUCGUGGCUUCUGGAGUCUUCUAGAUGAUGUAAAAUCGUGCGGUGCGUUGAUAUCUCUAUGUAAUCCCGACAUGUGGGCCUUUCUUCCUUAUUUCCUGAUAACCCCCUGCGGAAACAGAUAAACAACAAAACUCGUGGAAUUCUGUCAGAUCAAACCCUAAUUCUAGGUGUUGGUUGCAUUUGGAUCCUUUUCUUUGUUUAUUUGAUAAUUAAAUUUGAUACUUAAGGACCGUCAACAAUCAUGAUCCCUUAUAGUCCACAAUUAGGGUGUUUCAUUCGUUGGACACUCCUUAGGGAUUCAAAUUUGUCCUUUUGAGUUCCCUAAACACCUUGUGGUUGUGAUCGACUUUUGAUCUCAGUUACAUUCUUGGUAUUGUGAGACAUGGGUUCUUGUUGUGGUGCCCUAUAGUGGUGCCAUGUCCCGUGACCACGGUGCCGCGUCGGAACCUAGAGUCUUUUGUGUGUCCGGAUGACACAAAUUUCUACUGGGCGCGUGUAGGUAUCGAGGUUAUGGACAUGAUCCAUUAUAGCCCCACAACUAAGGUGCCCUCGCUCUUUGAGCCCUAUCAUGGGAACCCAUGCCCAUAUCUUUGUGGGAAUUACCUAAAACCCUUGACUUGGAUAACCGUCAUAGGUUGAUUGAAAGCUAUUGUAACCGUACUCUAUAGUAGGUACCAUGAUCCGUGAUCACGUUAUAGUGUCGAACCUUGUAGUCUCCUGUGGAACCGUGGCCAUAAGGAAAUACUACCAGGUUCUCGUUAAACAUCGGGAUCUCUGGUCAUGCUCCACUAUAGUCUACAGUUAGUAUGCUUUCAUUCUCCUUGGAAGCUCAUUUGAAGAUUCAUAUCUUCUUAUGAGUUCUCUAAAAUUCCUGGUUGAUUACAACUUUCUGUUGAUCUUAGCUGUAAUUCUCAGACCAAUUGUAAUUGUUUUAUGAACUUCUCAGAAGUUAAUGUGCUUGACACAUUUCCUUUUCCAUUACUUAACCCCAUGGGUUUUAGUACCCUGGAAAUCUCGGGACGAGAUUUCUUUAAGGGGGAAGGGCUGUAACAUCCCUGAUGUUACGAACAUUAAAACAGGAUCAUGUCAUCAUAAGCAUUGCAAAGCAUAUUUGUUAAGCACAUCAUGAUGCAUCAACUUAAAAUAAGUUUAAUUUGGUUGAAUGUGCUCAGGGAAUUAAAGUGUGAUUAUCUUGUAUAUCGAUGCUUGUGUUGGUUGCUAAAACCCUAGGGUGAAAGAUUUCCGAAAGGCUUAGGGGGGGGGAAACCCUGAUUUUUGAACCCUAGAACUGCCCCCCUUUUGUACAAUUUAAAAACCAAGCAAAAUUUGAGGUUGAGUUCAAAAGCAAAGUUGUAGAUCUUGUCAAGAUGUACAACUUUGGUGUUUUGAGUUUUUGAAGUUUCAAUAUAAAAUUUAAAGUAAUUUUGAAAAUACAGAUUUCCAGAAAUUGUCCUCUUUUCCAACUUGAAUCUCUAAUUCAAAAUCUAUUUGGAAUCCUGAAAAGUGAUCGAAAUGAAAGUGGUAGGGCUAAUCAAAAUGAACAACUUUUAUUUUGGGAGUUUUUCAAGUUGUUGAGAAAAAUCAAAAGUAAUUUUAGAAUUUCUAUUCUGCCCCAAUUCAAACCAGUUUUGCCCCCAAAUUGAAUUUUUGAAUUUCAAACUGUUUUCCUCAAAUUCAUGCCCUUCCACUCAAAAUCAGUUCUGGACUCUUAAUGAUGUUUUGUAGCAUCCAAAAUUUUGAACAACUUAUGUUUUGGCGGAAAUUUGAGUGCUAUUCAGAUUUUGGGAAUAAUUUGGAAAAUGAGGGGGAAGGGAUUAGGGCGAGCUACAGUAGCUCCACCUAUUGCCACCGGCCAGCAUCGCACUCCAGCGCCGUGGUGGACGCGCUGGCGUCCGGCAUGCCCUCCACGCAGCUGUGCGCUUGCUUGCCCUUGCCUAUUCCACGCCAUCCUCAUCCGAAGCGGACGACAGCGUCCUCCUUGCUUCCUAUUUCUUUCCCUGGUGUCCUGCCGCCGCAAGCCAUGGCCGCCAUACGUCACCCCACCAUGACCAGAGCUCUCCAGCGCAGCUCCACUCUAUCCGUUUGGUGUUAUAGCUCCACCUCUAUUCGCUGAUACCUAUGAGCCUCUCGUUUCAUACAACACGGGCUAGAACUCCGUCGUGCCGCCGUGUUGCGGACCGGCAAACCGCCAUGGCAACCUGCGCACGUGGCCAGGAGGCCAUAAACCUUCUCCGGCCAAGCCACACACACCAGCGCGAGCGCGCAAGCCUCAGGGUGCUCCCCAACGCUUUCCCUCUCUGCCAACAAGCGUCCACCGGCCGGAAAUCAGGUUUUCUCCGACAUCCUCUGCUCUGGAUUCGCGACCAGGGACUUCGCGCGACAAUUUGAAGUUCUCCAGGGGUCUAAUUGCACAGACUGUGACUCAGGUGAAUAGUGCUAUAAAGACUUGUUUGUAGAUGUUUUGUUGAAUCUUUGAAAAUUCAUAUCUGGAGUUUGGUAACUCCAAUUUUGGUGAAAUAAAUUUUGUUGUGCUCCUUGAGAUGUCUAGUUUUUAUUAAAGAUAUGAAACUGUCCAUGUUUUGUAGUAAAAGAAUUAGUUAUGAUUUAUGCCUUUUAUUUAUGUUUAAAAAGGAGAAAUUCAUAUCUCAUUCUGUGUAGCUCCUAUAGGCCUGAAAUUUUUAUGAUGUUCUCAUGAUGUUAUGUGAGUGUUGCAGUAAAGAUUUCAUGUUCAGUGGAUAAUAUAUGGUUAAGUUAUUAUUUUAUCUUGUUUAGUGCUUAUUAAAUUGUCUAUAAUUAAACUAAAAAUUAAUAAAUGUAAAAUAUGGUUCCUGUACCUUUAUAUGAGGUUGUUAUAUCAUAUAGGUACAUAAUUUAGCUAUGUGUUUGUAGAAAAUGUCGAGUUUCUUAUUUAUCUUGUUGUUACAUGCUUCCUUGUGAUGGAAAUUUAUCUUUUUCAUGGAAAUUGCUAUACUUAUCCAAAUGGCAUGAAAUUUAUACAGUAGACUUUGGAGAGCAUAUAUGAGCUUCUGUAGUUUUCUCAGAAUUUACUGUGUACUUUUGAUAUAUGGUUAUUACUUUGUCUAUUUAUUUAAAUAAAUUAAUAAAGACAUGAAAGGUAUUUAUUUAGGGAUGGCCAUGAUGUUUUCUAGUAUCUCUUUGAUGUAUUUCAACUGUUGGUGAGCUGGGUUUUGCCUAGGUUCAAGUUUGGAACAUAAAUGAAAUGUUAUUUCUCGGUAAUUCAAUUGUUAGUGGUUUCUCGAUAGUUUUUGGAGCAUUAUAAAUUGCUCUAGGUAAAUAAUGUUGGAUAUGAAACUUGUCUACAACAAAGUUGUAUAUAAUUCAUGUAUCUACUUGGUGUUAAAUUUUGGUGGCAUUUGGCCCUAUAGUUUCUGAGUUAUGCCUGUUUAAAUUUAAGUUUCAGAAAUGGUUUCUCUCUGUCAAAUCCUGGAUCAGUUGCUGUAGUUGUGCAAUUUCGACCUACUAAACUUGUGAAUCAUGCUUUGAUGAUGAAAGAUAAAUUGUAGCAAUUUUCAUAGGCUUUCCAAAAUGUUAUGGAUCAUGACUUUUGGUGAUCUAGAACUCUGGUUAUAGAUGUAUGAAGCUUAAUGUCUCAUUCUGUCCAAGGUCUGGACAGAAUUGUUUAUUCAUACUGUUUGGCCAUUUUAUCUAUUAAAUCAGUUCUCGAAAAUAAUAACAAAGUUGUAGAAAAUUAUCUAAGCUUUCCAGAAAGUCUAAUAUCACCUUUAUUGGAUGCUUGGAUCUCUAAUUAUGGUUGAGUGAAGUUGCGUAUAUGCUGCUGUCCUGGUUAUGUGUGCAAAUAGAGUUGAUUGUUUUUUUUUUGCUAGCCUUUACUUAAAUAAUGAGUAGCUUAAUCUCUCAAAUAGGAUUUGAGUGAUUUUGGGAUUGUAUGAUGACCUAAGGUCAUUAACCUUAAUGACCUUUGGCAUUUAAUUAUUGUUUGAUGUUAAUACUUACUUACUGCUACUAAUACUUAAUUAAGAAUUAAUUAAGGUAAAAAGGUUUAAUGGUCAGUUAAUUAAGGAUAAUUAGGAAUUGAGAAAGGUCUUAUUUUACUAAUGCAACCUCUUGGGUAAAAACACUAAGAUCAUAAACAACUUUAAUUACUGUUUAGCCUAUUUUUGCACCAAGAAGGAAAGUUGUACUCAACUCGGUCCUUCUUAAAUAUAUGUCAUACGCAUAUCAUGAGCAUCCAUCAUUUUGCGUAAAGUGCACGUGACCGAAGGAGCGACCGUUGAACCGAACCCCGAGGCCGGUGCUCCGUUCGAGGAAGUAGGAUCCGAGACUUGGGAAGUCUCCGAGGGUCCCUCUCAGCUCUGCAACCAAGGCAAGCCCCAGAUGCAUUAACCCCUCCUUGAAUGUUUUAAAUCUUUUAUCACUUAUGAAUUGAAAAUGCUGCAUUAGGUAGUUGAGAAUUGGGUUAACCUACUUGCUGCAUUUACUACCUUGUUAUCUGUUAUCCUGUCCUUGACACCUAUUUUAUUUUAAAAAUUGCGUAGUGAUGCUUAGCCCUGCUACUAGAUAGGUUUUCAAACAAGAAAGUUUGAAGGGUUGUUGUGGAAUACUCUUAUGAUCAAUGAUAUUUCAACUUGAGACCGGUCGGUGGACUUGCUUUAAGAAUGGAGUCUUAAAGUAGUGUCUCCAACUGUGUCGGUUAAGGACCGGUCCGUUGGUGGGCUGAUGGGUUGAGAAUUUAUAGUACUAGCCACUUGCCCUCGGUAAGCCCGGUCUUGUGAUCCCUCGACGCGAACAGCUACUCGCGCACUGGGCGUGGAGCGAUGGCGAGAGUAGUGUGUACCCACCUUACGGAUCUGAGAUGACCGGGAAACAUCUAGAUCGGCUGUAGGAGGGUGGAGUACUGUGCUCUCGGGUGCCGCGAACCUGGUCAAAUUUGGGGAGAGCUUGAUUUGGGUUGAUAUAAGCAAGAUUUGGUUCUACAUAUGUCGGGUGGUUAGGAACUCCAGCUGGAUUGCUAAGCGGUUCGAAUCGUCGUUGCUCCCCGAUUGGGAGACUCAAUCCACUGACCCUCAUCGUAGUUAAAUAUGCAACUAAGUGAUAAAAGAAGAAAGGGGAAAUGUCUCAUGAGGUUCGGAUCCCAAUUCCCGGACUUAGAGUGACAUGAAGCUAUGGCCGUUGGAUGGAUACUACUUUAGUUAAGGACUAGGAACUUACAGACUUGUCUGUGAGAAGCAACUAGAUAGACUGUCCUCGAACUCCUCGACCUCUUAAGGAGAGGAAUUCAUGGAUAAAACUUGAAAAUAAGGAUGCACUAUUAGUAAGCUUUUUGGCAAAACAAUUUGGCUCCUUGCUCAGCCACUCCUUGUCUACCCUAAGCCUGCAUUCCUAAGUUCUCCCUUUUUCCGCCGGGUAAGUCUUGUUGAGUACUCCCGUACUCAGGGUUUUAUAACCCCUGUUGCAGGUGCUGACUUAUGCUGCUAAUGGAGGUCAUGUCGGUGGGCGCGACAAGAUUUAUCCACCUCUUCUACCUUAGAAGCUUCACCUAAGAUGCUUCCGCUACUCUACACACCUUUUGGAAAUUUAGUUGUUUAUAUUCCAUCAUAUGUUGUAAAUUGAGCUAUAAAUCUUCCGCACUCCGAUGUAAGAUAUUUUUGUAAGAAAUAUUGUAAUGUUGUGGAAACUCCAUGUUGCUCCUGUAUGAGUUAAAAUGUGGAUGAUUCGGGGUCCUCUAAGGGCACCCCACAGACUAUCUGGGUUAUAUGACUCUCAUGUGCAGUAAUCAGAGGUCUUAAUGACAAUGAUAGGUGCAUGUGGGCCAUAAAAUUUAGGUGGUUCUGCCACAAAGGGGGGAUCGGGAGCGAACUCAUCAGAAAAAGCAGUAUAGCCUUUUAAGGAGCCCAAGACUCCUUAAAAGACACGGGGGCUACCCCCACGAGGGUCGCUCGUGCGACCCCACGGAAACUCGACCAAUGGAAAAGCCUCUACUCGAGCGCAAGCACUCGAGUAGAUACUCGGGGGCUACUGUCGAGGGUGUCAGUAAGGGGUAUCUCAACCGACGCUCAUAACGAAAGGACCCAUACAUAAGUCGAGGCCCAAACUCGACGCCCUCGCUUACACUCGUGAUCACCAAAGCUCAAUGUCGACCAUAGCCUCGAACACGAAAAUAAGGUCGUGCGAAUUGACAGAGGCUCGACUAAACAACAACCGUCGAAUACGGAAGUGGCUCGGGCGAAUCGACAGGCCUCGAGCGCAUAGGCGCCGUCCGCCGCCUAUCGCGGGUAUGGGAGCCAGGGCAUUUAAUGCGCCUGCCAUGCUCUCACCUACCCCGACAGUCACGGGAAACAUGAUAGGGAACAAGCACCGGUCCAAUCCCCACUUUUCACAGCUUUAUCCCCCUUAUAAGCAAGAGUACAACCAAGCACAGUGUGACAGUCGAGACGUCACGUCACGGUGUCCCUCGAGGCACCGAGAGUCAGCGCACCGCUCAACGAAGCCAUACGCAGUACCGAACCCUCGAGCAAAUACGUUCCUUCCUAGGGAAGGGUUAGGCGAUGAAUGUCAGCGCUUCAACCACCCUAGACGUGACCACUGCCACGACGUACAGGCACGCUCGAGACUAAGCCAAUCCGAGACAAUGUAUAGGGGCCAAACCUAGAAGCACGCGUGAUCAUCACCAAAGUACCCAAUAACAUGACGGCUCGAAGCCACGCCGGUACGGAGGCCUCGAGUAGGUCAGCGCGCCAUGCCCCUAUCGAUCCCUAUUCUGUUGCCUACGACUUGUAAUCCAGGUCUCCCCUUGGAACUAUAAAAGGGGACACCGAGGAAGAGAUACGGGCAAGGAGACACUACACGUAGAACAACCUUCCAUACACCCCUGUACAAGCACUUAGCUGCAUGAAUGUAGAAGAUCUCCCCCCCGGUGGACGUAGGGCCUUCUAUUGCCCGAAACAGGAUAAAUAAUUGUGUCACUCUUGUAUCACCAUCUGGAAAAGGGAACACGCACACAAAUUCACUCAUUGGUGUUACUCCUCGGGGUCAAAACACCGACAUAGAGCUGCUCUGUCGGCAAUACACUGAGCAGCCUUUUGAUAUUGGAGUUGGCGGCUUUCUAGAUGACUAGUUUGGAAGAGUGCUUUGUUGACACCAGAAGUGGCAAACGGUUAUACCGCAAGCGUACGGUAGUCAAUGUAGCCUUCACCGGGAGUAUUCCAGGUAUCGUGAUUUCCACGGGGAACGCGAAGUGAAUUAACUAGGCUUUAGAUCGUUAGGUGAUGAUCAAAGGGUCUAGGAUAAUGGGGUAGAGAGGUCUAACUAGUUAAUGCCUGGUCUUGGUAAUUAAGUAUAGUCAAGGUUUUUCACCUAACUCUUUACUGAGGGCGAUACCCGAAAAGGAGGAUUGAGUUAACGAAGUUUUUCACCUCCUCGUCUCCUAAGCGACUACCCUGCUCAGCCCAACUAUUAUUUGCAACUUGCCUACAACAGAUGCGAGGAACUUUCCGCCUAGCGAGGACUGUCACUCUCACACUACGUGUCUACACAACUGCGACAAGGAGUCCACACUGGCAAGAAGUAGUCUAGACACCACGUCUAAACUAGCUCUUGCUACCCUAAGCUUAGCUAAAGCUAAGAGCACUCAAGAUCAAGCAAUGUGCCAGUAAAGGAUUCUUAUACUUAAAGUACCAGACCAAAUAUUAAAUACUAGAAAAGACUCAGAAGUAAGACUUACAAGAAGACCUGCUUCCGCUGAGGUGCUCUGCGAAGAAGACUCCCGACAGGCCGGGACUCCUCCUUGGAACUCCUCACUCUCUACUCACUAUGAUAGCACUAAGCUACUAAAGUAGUUUACUCCUAAGAUACAUGACUCUUAAGUGAAGGAAUAGGGGGGUAUUUAUAGUGGGAGAUGGAGUAGGGGCUACUCCGGUGCCACGUCAGCGAUCCGCGUCAUCUUCAUCAUGCACCAUUGGAUCAAACCGACUUCACAACCGCCAUCUGAUCAACGGUAGAGGCAAACUAACAUGUGCAACAUGUGGGCAAGGUCGGUGGGAGGCCAACCGACCCUGGAACCGCCAUGAAGUGGGGUCGGCCGACCCCCUAUCUGGCUGGUUGGGCCCACCUGCAGUGUCCUGGAGGCUCUCUGAUGUCGGUGGAGUUGAGCUGACCUGUGGGACCCACCAAAGUGGGGUCGCCCGACCCCAAUUCUAUGGGGUUAGGGUGUCAGCCCUGUCCUACAUGUCUUCCUCUUCAUGACUAUAAUGUUGUCUUGGUUACUGGUGUCACUGAUCUUUAGUUAUUCACCCCUUCUUAGUGUUUGGACCCUUGAAAAGUACCUGUUCUUACUCCUGCAACCAAAUAGUAGCAUGUACAUGUGGAACUAGGUUAUAUGUACCUAUAUUACUACUUUGUUUGGUUGUUUUCUCCCAAAAUGAGUCUUAUGUUGACGGUUAUGAUAGUAGAAAACAUGGUAUAAAUACCGUCAACAAGACCCCCCACACUUGAGUCUUUGCUCGUCCUCGAGUAAAGGUUAAAAAUGAGUGAUCAAUGGUUUCUAACUUAAGAUAGUAGUGAGCAUAAAAUGCUAGUUCGAACAUAGUUCAUCCAAAUGGGUUUUUGUGUAAGUGUCUAGCAUAUAUCCUUCAGAGGUUGAGAAAAGGAACAACUCUCAGAACAAGAUCAAAUUCCAAUUUCAUAUUCUUGGUACUUAGAGUUUUUAUGACACUUUUUAAAAUAAGUCACAUAGUUCAAUCCUACUCCUCAUUUAGCGCUCUAGAUCACUCAAAGUUUUUUUUUUUAGUAGUCCUCACCAAGGCAUGAAUGCCAACUUGUUUCAUCCUAUAACUAUAGGCUUAUAUGGGGCUUGGUAGGGAUAAACAAGGUAGCAUACUCUACUUUGCAAAUAUUGUUAAGUCAAAAACAAGGAUCCAAAGAGAGGAGUGUCAUAGUCAUAGAUCAAGAUGUGCAAGUGUGUUAUAUGGUGGACUAGGUUGCUCCUUUAUUUGCUACACUCUCUCUACUUGUAUAUUGAGACAUGGCUAGAUUUUCUUUUUCUUCGAGCUUUAUGUGCUCAAUUUUUUUUUUAAAUACUUCAUGGACUUGCACAUGUCCAUUUUUUUCUUUUUCUUUUAUUUUGCCAAGCCUUUUAUGUCUCAUUUUCUAAACAAUAUUUAGAGAGGUGUUCUAACACUUAGAGUAUGGAGCAACCUAUUUAGUGGAUGCACAAUACAUGUGGUUGCGUACUUCCAGUGUAGAAGCAGCAUAUAUAUAUGUGGUGUGUACGUGAUCUUGAUCUUGUGACUAUGAUACAACUCUCACUAGGGUCAACAAGGUUUUGACAAAACUCAUUACAAAAGCAGGUUGCAUUUCAUAAAAUGGUUACUUGAAUAUCUAAGUGUAUGGCUUUUGGUGGGAAUUUCUUGCUAAUGAGGAGUAAAUGAUACUAUGGUUUUGUGAUAUUUUUGAAACAAAUCUCUAAGUACCUUGAAUAGAAAUGUUAUGAAUUCUUAGCCAAGAGUUAUAUCACUUUCAUCAACAACUUAGUCAAUAUGGUUCCUAUAGAUUUUUACCCAUGAGGAUGAACAAUUGUAAGAACUAUACUUUAUGUCACAAUUUCUCUUAAAUCAUGAACCAGUUCACUUUUUAUUUUGCAAACAAGUUUAAACUAUCAAAUUUUAUUUUAAUUGUGACACAAAGGUAGAGAAUUGGACAGACUGAGAGGGGGAAGAGUUAGCAAACCGGGCAGGAAAGAUGUGUUUCGUCGUAUAGAAGCUUCCUGGUGGGCCCAGGGCUCUAUGGAGGGGUCGGCCGACCCCACCUGGAGGUUCCUGGCCCUGCCACUCGAUUCUACGUCCCUCGGGAAGUCUUUCUGCACUUGUGUCGUUUCCUUUUGCCAUAGAAAGGGGGUCGGGCGACCCCCUCAUCGCGCCUGUUUUUGGUGCCAUGACGUGCCAAGGUGUAUGCAGUGUUGUUCCAUGCUCACGGCAGUUCAGAGAUGAAGUUGGGGGGUCGGGCGACCCCCCCACACUUGCAGUUUUCGUGCAGCUGAACUUAAAACAGAGAGACGAUCAAAUGCAGAUGUCCUGCUGGUGGCAACACACCAGCAGGACCAAAAACGACUCCAUUAAAUCAAAUUUCAAUUGUAUAGGCACUUUUACAUUGCGAAAUUCAAAGUGACAAACUGAAAAAUAAAAUUGAGUAAUCAAACCUAAAUAAUCAAAUAGUGCCUAUAACCUAAACUAACUAAUUUAUUUAGGGAGAUGGAGGUUUGAGGAGAUCCUCCCGCCCAAUUGCUUGCGCCUAACGCUUGAUUUUAGCGCUGGUGCUAAUGCGCAGGUGGCGGAAGUGAUCUUCUAACUCAAGAUUCUCCAUCCUGAGCUCCGACACUGUCUCCUCUAAGAUCCUAUUUUUCUUUCUAAGGCUAGCUGUGACUUCCAGGAGCUUCUCGAUGUCGCCUUUUUCUGGAUCUUCUUCGUAUUUGCCAGGCGCACCGUUGAUCGGAGGUGGAUCCAUCUUCCGCCGGAUGGAUGGACUUGCUGACGAGUCAAAGGACUCCCGCAACUCCAUCUUUUCCUUAGAGUUCAGCGGCGGGAUCAGCACCUUCCCCUUUCCCGGCCCACUGCCCACCACUUGGUGGUUCCUCCAAAAGGUUGGGGUGGACGGCGAGUAGGAAGAGGUGUGGAUCGUGUCGGAGGAGAUGGUGAUGGCCUGCUUGGUGGCCAUCGGCGCCUUCUCCCGCAGCGCAAGUUGGCCCGUGGUAGGUCGAAUCGGCGUUACGGCUCGAGUAGGGGACUUGCCGAUGCCCCUGCGCGGUGUGAGCGAACGAGAGGCCGACGCGGAGCGCUGGGUCACCCGGGGCGAGGUCGGGCGACCCCUCUUGGGGUCGGGCGACCCCCACAUGGGGCCCGUCGGCCCUCCAGCCGGCGGCACCAUGGCUAGUGGUUCAGGCUCCAGCACGUUGACGGCUAGGGCAAGCUCCAGGCUCUCAGUUAGAGACCUUUGCGGACGUGGGGAGUUGGAGCGAAUGGCUUGGUUGGAAGAUUUAGUUGGAGGAGCCAUGGAGAUGAAUCUCUUGGCAAGGAAUGGAGGCUAGGAGAGUCUGGUUCGAGGUGAAGAUGAGAAGGAAUGAAUUGAGAGGAGGAAGAAGAAGAAGAGGGGGGAUAAAUAGAUGUGUUUGGAGCCUGAGAGUUUGAAUUUUGAAAAGGAGCGUCGUGGAACGUUUGAGGGACGAUCCGAGACUCCAGGGGAUUUCAAAACUCAAAAUAUUGGGGUCGGGCGACCCCUAUAUUUCAGGAUUUUGAAUUUUGAAUUUCAGCACCGAACUCUAUUCAUUCCCCUCUUUCUAAACCUAUCCCCCCUUGGGCCAAAACCCCUAGAAGAGGGGUCGGCCGACCCCCAUUUGGGGUGUUCGGCGGCCCAACUUUGAUCCUACGUCAUCUAAAACCCUUUACAAACCUAUUUCAAAACAAAAAGGAACUAAAUAUAUUGAUUUAGCAAUUAUUUAAACAAAAAGGGGGUAAAAAGAAGGACAUGUGGAUUUUAAGACUUUGUGUCAGAUUCAAAUUCUAUCAUAUCAACUUCUUCUUCUAAAGGUUCAUGUUCAUGGAAAACUUUAAGACGAUGACCAUUUACCUUAAAGGUGUUGCCGUCGUCGUCCCGCAGCGUUACCGCUCCAUGAGUCGCGGCGUCAACAACGAAGAAUGGUCCUUCCCAUUUGCUCCUUAGCUUUCCAUGGCCAAAUAACUUGACCCUUGAGUUGAACAUGAGAACCUUAUCCCCAGGAUGAAAUUCCUUUUGCUUGAUCCUUUUAUCAUGCCAUCUUUUUGUUCUCUCUUUGUAGAUCCUGGCAUUGUGAUAGGCUUUAUCUCUCCAUUCUUCUAGUUCGGAGAUUUGGAGCUUUCUAUUUCUUCCGGCCGAGGGCAAAUCCAUGUUCCAUUUCUUGAUUGCCCAGUGAGCUCUAUGCUCUAGCUCUACCGGUAGAUGGCAUGUCUUACCGUAUACAAGUUGGUAUGGUGUCAUACCAAUUGGGGUCUUGUAUGCGGUCCUGUAUGCCCAAAGUGCAUCUGGUAGAUGGCUUUUCCAGCCGGUUCCCAUCUUAGUGACAGUCUUCUGCAGAAUGUUCUUGAUUUGUUUGUUAGAUGUUUCUGCUUGUCUGCUCGUUUGAGGGUGAUAGGGUGUUCCAAUGUUGUGCCUUAUCCCCACUUCAGCUAAGAACCGUCGGAAUCUUCUGUCAAUGAAGUGGCUCCCUCCAUCACUGAUAACUAGUCUGGGGGUGCCGAAGCGUGGAAAUAUGACUUCCUUGAACAUCUUUAUCGAAUGUGUAGAGUCGGCUGCUCUGCAGGGCAUUGCUUCGACCCACUUGGACACAUAGUCUACUGCCACUAGGAUGUACUCACACCCUUGUGACAAAGGGAAUGGCCCCAUGUAGUCUAUGCCCCAAGCAUCGAAUAUCUCGACUUGUAAGUUGUUUGUGAGUGGCAUUGCAUCACGAGUAUUGAUGUUCCCAUGCUUCUGACACCUUGCACAUCUCCUCACGAAGUUCUUUGUAUCUUCGUACAUGGUAGGCCAGUAGAAUCCACUCUGCCAUAUCUUGGCAUGGGUCCUGAAUGCUCCAUAGUGGCCUCCGUACUCUGCCCCAUGGCAUUUUUCCAUUAUUUUUACUGCUUCGUCCAUGGGAACACAUCUCCUGAGUAUGCCAUCUUGACAGACUCUGUAGAGGUAAGGAUCGUCCCAUAGGUGCACCCUACUCUCUUUAACAAGCUUCUUCUUGUCUACCCCAGAUGGUAUGUAUCCGGACGCCAGGUAGUUGACUAUGUUUGCAUACCAUGGGUAGGCUUCUGAAACUCGGAGGAGUGUGUCGUCUCGAAGGUAGUCGUUGAUAGGUGGAUCCUGUUUAUCCUCGAUUUGCAUCCUAGACAAGUGAUCGGCUACCGAGUUUUCUACUCCCUUUUUAUCUCUAAUUUCUAAGUCAAAUUCUUGGAGUAGUAGGAUCCAUCUUAUUAAUCUUGGUUUAGCAUCUUUUUUAGUGAGCAAGUAUUUUAGAGCUGCGUGAUCGGAGUAAACAAUCACCUUUGCUCCAACUAAAUAAGAUCUAAACUUGUCUAUAGCAAACACUACAGCCAACAGUUCUUUUUCAGUUGUUGCAUAAUUCAGCUGUGGUCCUGUUAGUGUUUUGCUAGCAUAAGAUAUUGCGUGAUGCUUCUUAUCUUUAGUCUGUCCUAAGACAGCACCUACAGCGUAAUCACUAGCAUCACACAUUAUCUCAAAAGGUAGCGACCAAUCAGGGGGUUGAAUGAUUGGUGCAGAGAUAAGUGCUUUCUUAAGAUAGUAAAAGGAAUCCAAGCACUCAUCAUUAAAAUCAAAGGGUGCAUCCUUUGCUAACAGGUUUGUUAAAGGUCUAGCAAUUUGAGAGAAAUCUUGUAUGAACCUUCUAUAAAAGCCUGCAUGGCCAAGAAAGCUACGGACGCCCCUAACAUUUGUGGGAGGAGGGAGCUGUUCUAUAACUUCAAUUUUAGCUCUAUCUACCUCUAUCCCACGUUCGGACACUCUAUGUCCUAACACUAUCCCUUCUCGAACCAUAAAAUGGCACUUUUCCCAGUUCAAGAUCAAGUGCUUCUCUUGGCACCUUUGUAAGACUCGGUCCAGGUUCUUUAGGCAAUCAUCAAAAGUUUUCCCAUAGACGGAGAAGUCGUCCAUGAAAACUUCCAUGAUUUCCUCGAUCAUAUCGGAGAAGAUGGACAUCAUGCACCUUUGAAAAGAGGCAGGAGCAUUGCAUAGGCCAAAAGACAUGCGCCUAUAUGCAUAUGUUCCGUAGGGGCAUGUGAAUGUAGUCUUACUUUGGUCGUCGGGAUGGAUUGGGAUUUGAUGGUAACCCGAAUACCCAUCAAGGAAGCAGAAGAAAGAGUGUUUGGCUAACCGUUCCAGCAUCUCAUCGAUGAAUGGCAACGGAAAGUGGUCUUUCUUAGUGGCCUUGUUAAGUUUUCGGUAGUCUAUGCACAUUCUCCAUCCCGUGACAGUCCGUUGAGGAAUGAGUUCAUUGUUGUCAUUUUUAACGACCGUCAUUCCUCCUUUCUUAGGAACUACUUGAACGGGGCUGACCCAUUCACUGUUCGGAACAGGGUAGAUUAUGCCCGCAUGCAAUAGUUUUAAGACCUCUUUCUUCACAACUUCUCUCAUCGCAUUAUUUAGCCUUCUCUAAGGCUCCCUGGAAGGUAUAGCAUCGGGUUCGAUAGGGAUGCGAUGAGUGCAGAGUGCAGGACUAAUUCCCUUAAGGUCUUCUAACGAGUAUCCUAAGACAGAGCGGCGUUCUUAUAAGACGAUGAUGAGUUUGGUGACUUCUUCUUCUGUCAGUUGAUCACUAAUGAUUACCGGAGUCUCUCUAUCAUCAUUAAGGAAGGCGUACUUAAGUCCAGAGGGAAGUGGCUUAAGUUCUAUAGAGGGUUUUGGUGGUGGUUUAGAUUCAUCCAAGUCUAAUGGUUCUUCUAAUUUGUUCUCUUCUUCUUGGAUGAAGUUUUCGGCGUCUUCUUCUAAGUCAGGCUGAGAAGCGUCCAGAAGAGAUGCCGACAUCACCUCCUUUAUUGGGUCAGGCUCGGGCGGGGUCUCGGCUUUAGAAUUAAUAGAGCCGGCAAAAGGCAUAGAAAGGUCUAAGCCCUUCCCGAGGUUACCCUUGAGACGCCCUUCAUGAAAUCCAUUUAGGAACCUCAUGAUGGGGUGCCCGAUUAACAAGUCAACUUCUUUCAUAUCAAAGAUAAAGAAGUUUAGCAGAAUGUUGACUUUGUUAAUGGAGACAGGAAUAUUCUGUGCAAUCCCACAACUCUCGACCAUUUCCCCAGAGGGUAAUUUAAGAAAUUUGCUGGUCGGGGUUAAUGGUUCCUCGCCUAGGAGUGUCAGUACUAAUGAUUUGGACAUUAGGCUUACUCCUACAGCAGGGUCAUAAAGGGAUUCUAUAGGAGUGGAGUUUAUGACACAGGGAAUGGGUGUAAAACUCGAGACAAGUUUGAUGACAUCAGAUGAUGUCUCAGCUUCUCUAACCCAUUCAUUACUCAUAAUAGCCGUGAGUUCUUGGGCAGUUGCCCUGAGGUAACCAGCCUCAAGAUGAGCUGGGAUAUGGCUAUUCGGAGCUCUGCGUGCUGUAGAUCUCCUUUGCACAGGUUGAUUCGAGACAUUGCCAAAAUCGGCAAAUAGAUCAGUCUCGAUGUUAAGUGGGUAAUCCAAGGGAUGAAUUACUUCUUCCCUUGGAGGUGCUUGUGGUAUUGGUUCAGGUUCGACAGCUUGGGUUGCGGCUAAAGGAGUUUUGGCUGUCGAAGGUUCAUCCCUAGGAGUUCGAUCUUCCUCAGGAGCUUCAAUAUGAUCAUCAGUGUAAGGGGUAUUCUCGAGAAUAGUCCCAAGAAUGGCCUUACCUUCACUGAUAGGUAAAUGAAGGAAUGCUCCCUUGGAGGCUAAAUCAAGGAAUUGUGCGGAUUGUUGGCUAAGUCCGAGGUAAAAAUGUUGCAUAAGAAUUGGCUCGGUUAUACCUAAGUCUGGGCCAGAUGAUGUUAAGUCGGUGAGACGCGCCCAGGCCGCACCUAGAGACUCCUUCCCUUCUUGCUUGAAGUCUAGGACUUCUCUACGGAGACGAGCUAUUCUAGAGAUGGGAAAGUAGGUGAGGCAGAAUUUGGCUUGCAGCUUUUCCCAUUCUCCUCCUACACUACCUACAUAGCGAGUGUACCACCGUCUGGCCUUUCCCGUCAAAGAGAACGGAAAGAGCUUCCACUUGAGGGUAACUCGCCUCAUCCCUUGGAUGUGGAUGCAUGAACAAAGUUGUUCGAAAUCUCGUAGGUGUGUGUAAGGAUUUUCAUCUCCUUCUCCCGAAAAGGGAUUCUCCUGAACCAUCGCUAUGAGACUCGGGCGAAGCUCAUAGUGACAGGCCAAAAUGGCUUUUGAUGAACUCGCUGGCUCCAACUCAGCGCCCGUUGGAGCAGCGUAAUCGAAGAGGGUUGUUUGAUCCAUUUGGAUAUGUGUAUAAAGUUUUAAAUCAAACAAAGAUAACUUAACGAUUUUUUUUCCUAGUUAAAACAGCUACCGUUCCCCGGCAACGGCGCCAGAAAGCUUGUUGACACCAGAAGUGGCAAACGGUUAUACCGCAAGCGUACGGUAGUCAAUGUAGCCUUCACCGGGAGUAUUCCAGGUAUCGUGAUUUCCACGGGGAACGCGAAGUGAAUUAACUAGGCUUUAGAUCGUUAGGUGAUGAUCAAAGGGUCUAGGAUAAUGGGGUAGAGAGGUCUAACUAGUAUUAAUGCCUGGUCUUGGUAAUUAAGUAUAGUCAAGGUUUUUCACCUAACUCUUUACUGAGGGCGAUACCCGAAAAGGAGGAUUGAGUUAACGAAGUUUUUCACCUCCUCGUCUCCUAAGCGACUACCCUGCUCAGCCCAACUAUUAUUUGCAACUUGCCUACAACAGAUGCGAGGAACUUUCCGCCUAGCGAGGACUGUCACUCUCACACUAGGUGUCUACACAACUGCGACAAGGAGUCCACACUGGCAAGAAGUAGUCUAGACACCACGUCUAAACUAGCUCUUGCUACCCUAAGCUUAGCUAAAGCUAAGAGCACUCAAGAUCAAGCAAUGUGCCAGUAAAGGAUUCUUAUACUUAAAGUACCAGACCAAAUAUUAAAUACUAGAAAAGACUCAGAAGUAAGACUUACAAGAAGACCUGCUUCCGCUGAGGUGCUCCGCGAAGAAGACUCCCGACAGGCCGGGACUCCUCCUUGGAACUCCUCACUCUCUACUCACUAUGAUAGCACUAAGCUACUAAAGUAGUUUACUCCUAAGAUACAUGACUCUUAAGUGAAGGAAUAGGGGGGUAUUUAUAGUGGGAGAUGGAGUAGGGGCUACUCCGGUGCCACGUCAGCGAUCCGCGUCAUCUUCAUCAUGCACCAUUGGAUCAAACCGACUUCACAACCGCCAUCUGAUCAACGGUAGAGGCAAACUAACAUGUGCAACAUGUGGGCAAGGUCGGUGGGAGGCCAACCGACCCUGGAACCGCCAUGAAGUGGGGUCGGCCGACCCCCUAUCUGGCUGGUUGGGCCCACCUGCAGUGUCCUGGAGGCUCUCUGAUGUCGGUGGAGUUGAGCUGACCUGUGGGACCCACCAAAGUGGGGUCGCCCGACCCCAAUUCUAUGGGGUUAGGGUGUCAGCCCUGUCCUACAUGUCUUCCUCUUCAUGACUAUAAUGUUGUCUUGGUUACUGGUGUCACUGAUCUUUAGUUAUUCACCCCUUCUUAGUGUUUGGACCCUUGAAAAGUACCUGUUCUUACUCCUGCAACCAAAUAGUAGCAUGUACAUGUGGAACUAGGUUAUAUGUACCUAUAUUACUACUUUGUUUGGUUGUUUUCUCCCAAAAUGAGUCUUAUGUUGACGGUUAUGAUAGUAGAAAACAUGGUAUAAAUACCGUCAACAUGCUUCUUUGACACUGGCAGGGAUUUAGCCAUAGAUUGUUUUAAAAAUAACAUUUGUCGGGUCAGAGUCAUCCACCAGUUGAGCUGUAUCUUGCUGCAAUAAGACCAACAGGUCGUCCAGCUUGGAUCUAACUUCUGCCAAUAUUGUCCCAGGCACCAAUGAAGAGCUUGCCUCUUCCCCUUCGUCAUCAGGAAUAUCGAUGACAAAGGAGAAUAGGCUAUCAGGAGAGUCUUGUUCCUAAAAGGAGAGAGAAUGAGUCAGUUGGGAGUGAUCAUGAAUAAGUGCAAAUUGGUCAAAACGGAUAAGCUUACUUGUUUCAAAGCAUUGGCUGGAGGUAUAGUCUGAAUUAUGUCAUGGUGAGAAUCGACUGGGUCUGCCAAUGGAAUAACUUCAGCUGCUAUUGGUAUAAAUUAACUGCACUCCAUUUAAAUAAAUUUAAGUAGGAUUAUCCGCAAGUGCACAGAUAUCAUACCACUAUCACAUUUUACCUGGAGGUUUUAAAUAUCGAAUCCAUAGGGAAUAGUUGUGAUGAUGACAUAGUAUAUAGACUUAACCCUACAAUUAGGCUAGAUCAUAUCAAGAAAAAUGAAAUAACUAAUGCACUCUGGUUCCGACUCCAGUAAACUUUGUAUAAUACCGUUUUAUCGGGCAAGUAACCCGAAUAGGGGAAGAAUCAAAGUAAUCCCCUAUCAGGCACCUAUAAGCCUAUCAAUCCUAUCAAUGGGAAGUGGACUAUAGAGGAAUCAACGCAGUUGUCACCUACGCGAACUACCACUGUCCGGUUGAUCACGGGACAUUCACAAGUAAACCUAACCUAGGCACCACACCUACACUAUGAAAUACUACUUCAACCAAGUUAUGACCAAGAUCAAAGCACUCAAUAUGAGUUGUGAACCAAAGAGCAAAUAAGAACAAGUUGCUUACUUAAACUAGAAGGGUAAGUACAAAAGUACCUCAAAACAAAGCUCCAGGCGAGGGAACUGAAUCCAGAAGAACUAGUCUCUCCUAAUUGCUACAUCUAGACGACACUACAAGGUUUUGACCCAUUAGCCACAAAACACUUAGGCAACACCACUCAUUUGGUUGCAAUUCGGGGGUACUAUGACACCCAAACACUAAAUUGGUAGUAAUAGGGGUACAUAUUGCUACACUUUUAUUGUGUUGUGAUACUGUUUUUUUAGUUGCAACUAGUUCAUGAUAAUGCACCCAUUUUAAGGAUUUUUGUUGCAAUUUGCGUGUUGUCCAGCUACACAAAUUUUGAGUUGCAUUAGCAUUUCGUGUGUUGCAAAUGAAUGGUGAUAUGGCAACCAUAUUAUCUUUGGUUGCUUAUGAAGGGCACAAUCACGAUGAUUGAUUUAGGUUGCAACAUGCUUUCGUUCCUUGUGGUAAUAUCUAGAUGACAAUUGCAUCCUUUCUUGCUGCGAGAUGCAAUAUAUAUACGUAUUACCACUAUUGAUGUGUGGUAGUAAUACUGGCCAUAGACGUGGCAACUGUUAUACGUCUAUUGCAACGAAGGCUUACUUGGUUGCACUUUAAUUUCUAUUCCUCUAUAAAUAGGUGGGUCAGUAGUUCCCAAUCCGCAGGCCACAUAUCUUCCUUCCCAAAUCUGCCCACCGCCGCCGCCAUCAUCCCCCCUGCUCGCUCGAUCUAGGUAUGGCGGCGCAUAGAGAAGGUAACUCGUCUAGUGGGAGUAGGGUAUCGAGGAGGGAGGAAUGACGAGCGCAAGCACCAUAUCCGAUAGGUCAACAAACUGGGCUGCCUCUAGUUAUGUGUCCAAAUUGCAAGCUCGCUCAUGUGAUCGAACUUCGCGUCAUGUCAGAGACUAAAAACAAGGGCAGGAGCUUUAUCAAGUGUCUGAGGAAUGGGGUCAGUGAAGUUUUCUUGUAAAUAUUAUUGUCAACCAUCAUGAUUGUUUGCAUAAAUCUUUGUGUUAACUAUUGUAGUUCCAACUUUUUGUAGAAUCCCAAAUUAUGUGGCUACUAUAAGUUUCAGAAGGAGUACUUAGAUGACUUGAUUGAUAUGAAGGUGUUUGUCAUCAUAUGUGAGGAGCUUGAGGAGCUGGAAGUUGUCGGUGUUUUCCCCACGGGGGGUCACACCAACGAGUAAAUUUGUAUGCGUGCUCCCUUUUCUAGAUGGUGAUGCAAAAAGACACAAAGAUUUAUCCUGGUUCGGGCAAGAGAAGGCCCUACGUCGAGUGGGGGAGGAGAGUUUGUAUUAUUCUGCACCUAAGUGCUUGUACAGGGGUGAAUACAAGCGUGUAUGAGCUAGGAUGGAGUAUGGAUGUUCUACUGCGUAUGAGUGUUGUCUUCCCUCUAUGUAUCGCCUCCCGGGCCUCCCCUUUUAUAGUUCCAAGGAGAAGCCUAGGGUACAAGUAUAGGUGUCAGAGUUGGGGUCGAUAGGGAUAUGGCGCGCGGACCUACUCGAGGCCUCCGUACCGGCGUGGUCUCGAGCCGUCCCGUCCUAAUGGCUUGAUGAUGAUUACGCGUGCCCCUGUAUCCUGCUCUGUGCGCCGUCGUGGACUGGUUUAUCUGCUGCACGCCUGUACGUCAUGGCGGCAGAUGCGUCGGAGUGGUUGCAGUGCUGUCUUUCGAUGCCCGACCCUUCCCCAGGAAGGAAACAUGUAUGGUCGAGGGUCGGACGCCGUGUAGCACCUUGCUAGCCAGAGCGUUGACCUUGGAUGUCUCGAGGGGGUCUUGAUUGGACGUUCCGACCCUGCUUCCUGCGUCCUGACAUGCUCUAGGUCGUUUGUUGGGGAAGGCUGCAAAAAGAAUGAUGGGACGGGUGCCUGUUCCCUAUCACGCCUCCCGUGACUGGCGUGUUAGGUGAGAACGCGACAGGCUCAUUAAAUGCCCUGGUUCCCGUGCGCGCAUCAGGCGGCGGGUGGCGUCCUUGCGUUCGACGCCUUCCGGUUCGCUCGAGCCUAUUUCCGUAUUCGACGGUUCGCUCGAGCCUAUUUCCGUAUUCGUCGAGUUGGGGGCCUCGACCUGCGUACGGGCAAUCUCGUUAUGUACAUCAGUUAGGAUACCCCUUAUUGAUACCCUCGACAGUAGCAACAGAGUCUCCAUUUGAGCGCUGGCGCUCGAGUGGAGGCUUUAUUUUGCGGUUGAGUUUCCGUGGGGCGCGCGAGGGACCCCGCGGGGGUAGCCCCCGAGCCCUUGGAGGAGUUUUUGACUCCUUCGAGGGUUAUAUCGCCUAAUUCAUAGAAACGCUGUCGACACCAGUGGUGGAAGGUUCUGUUUGGCUCGUUUUGCGCAGGGGUUUCGACGUACUCUUGAUAGAGCGAGCGUCAUCCACCCCAGAUUGAGCUCCUAACGGGUAGUCCAAGUGAGAACCUGUGCCCCAUUCGAGGGGGUCAGCUGUAGCCCGGAGGCAUUCUCAUAAAGCGCGGUCGACGUGGUCGGGGAUGCUGGUCUCGUUCGAUAGAGUCCAGUGGCUCGAUGCCUCCCGUCGGGGGGAUUCCUCUCGACUAUCUCGACCCUACCUUGGACAUCCCCAGCGAGUUCUCGAGGCUGGCCUCGAUUUUCGUCUACUCGCCGGGCAUCCCUGACUCUGGUGCUCGAGAUUGGCUGUCGAACUCUUUCGGCGGGUCAGCCCACGACCUCUCGAGGCUUUCAUGGACACGUACCUUGGCUUACAAAGGAAGGAAGAGGCCAUGGCAGUUCACCUUUUUGCCCGUUGGGCGCGUCUUUUCAGGUGGGAGCCGUUGCGACACUGUAUCGGCGCAGCAUUCGUAGCGUCUCGUCCCGUGGCCCGGUUGCCGUUCUUCCUUCCGCCUUAUGCCUCCAUUCUUGCUUUAGCUCCCUUGCCUUCUCACGCGCACGCACCCUCGAGUAGCAGCAAAUCUGCCUUCCUUCCACCUAAGAUGCCUGUGAGACUUGUUGCCGCCGACGACUGGCGCCCGUCGUCGAUAACGGAGCGCCGGCUGCUGGAGCUCGAGAGGGAGGGGCUUCUGCGCUCCCGUACUUCAUUGUCGUGGCCGGAGUGGAUUGCGCCGGCGGUGGACCACCGGGAGCCCAGGCCGCCCUCAGGCUACGUGGUCUCUUUUGCUAAGUUCCACCACCACGGCCUGGGCGCUCCUCCGAGCCGGUUCAUGCAGGCACUCUAGCACCAUUACGGGGUGGAGCUUCAGCACUUCUCCCCAAAUGCCAUCACCGUCAUGGCGGUCUUUGCCGCGGUUUGUGAAGGCUAUUUGGGGAUGAUGCCCUGUUGACGGUCCUUAAGUAUCAAAUUUAAUUAUCAAAUAAAUAAAGAAAAGGAUCCAAAUGAAAUCAAGAUCUAGACUUAGGGUUUUAUCUGACAGAAUUCCAUGAGUUUUGGUGUUUGUCUAUUUUUGUAGGGGGUUAUCAGGAAAUACGGAAGAAAGGCCCACAUGUAAGGAUUACGUAAAGAUAUUAACGUGCUGCGCAAUUAUCUUACAUCUAGAAGACUCCAGAAGCCACGAGACCGAAGCGGAGGCGAAACGGGGCUAGAGGCAGGGCGCCCGCCCUGUCCUACUGGGCGCCCGCCCCCUGUUGGAGUCCAAACAGGACUCUGCUUUGCGGGAAGUCUCCACCGACCUAAAGGAUGAAUCUAAACCAUACAAUCUAUGUCGGUUUGAUCCAAGGGCCCAUAUUCACUUGAAGGGACUAUAAAACCAGACCCCCUGGCCCCUGGAGGAGGGAGCCUCUCAACCCUAAUUCAUUGUUCCAUCAAGGGAGAAGAAGCCUCUGAUCAAGAUUAGAGCCACCACAUCAAUUAGACAUCUAGAUUAGCAUAGCUACAUAGGAUUAGAACUAGAAGGAGUCAAUCUUCGAUUGGUUUCCGGAUCUGUCAGGAGGAUUCUUGGUAAUUCUCUAAUUGUGCUUCUAAUUGCUUUCUAAUUAUCUUUGUUCAUCAAUAUUAUGAAUAUGACUUUGUUCUACUUCAAUAUAUUGCUUAUGACUUUGCUCUACUUGCUUAUAUUCAAGAUUAUAUUGUUCUUAGUUUAUCAUAGUUAUGUACUUGGCUUAGUUAGAUACGAUCUAUAUACAUGCUUAGGAUCGUAUAGCUUUUAUCCAUCAGAUCCAUGGGUAAAUGAUAGAUAUUGUGUAGGCGUGGUGCUUAUACCGUAUUUAUCUGUGAUUGUACCCAAUAUGCCAGAUCGUGGGGUGGUUCGUGAUAGUGACAGCUUCAUUGAUUCUUAUAUAGUCCCCCUCUCGUGUAUUGGGCUGGCAGAGCAACAUUAUUAUAGGGGAGUGAUUGCUAUGUUUCUCAUAUUCCUUGCUAAUAUCACUAUGCAUGGGCGUAGUCUUGUCUCGCAAUGAUUGCUAAGUAUGCUUGCACUAACUAUGAUAAUGCUAGACUAUAUAGUUAAGAAUAACUUAGGGAAUAUUCUUGUAGUUCGUUCUAAUACCAUGCUAAUGACUUUCUAGAGUAUCUAAUUGAGGUGCUUAUCAUAUUUAUUAUGUGGCUAGAUCAGAUUAGUUAUCCUUGUCACUAUUAUUAUUUCAUAUAUCUUUUAUGUGACACUUAUCCCUGUAUGAAGAGUUAGAUAUAAUGUUCUCAAUUAUACAUGCAAUGAUAGAUGCUCAAUCUCAUAUUCUAUUCUGUAAUCAUUAGUGAUGAUUUCUAAUCCCUUCCCAGUGGUAAAAAUAUAAAUAACGAUACCUGGAAUACUUCCCGGUUAAAAUGCUACAUCGGUAUUAAUCUGUGCGCUUGCAGAUCCCAUUCAUUAUUUAUUUAGAAGAGCAAUUGCAUAUUUCAAUACCGCGUCUCUCAUGUCAUGCUGGGGAUGACAACUUGGCUUAAGUGGUGUGAGGGAUAGGUUUGGCAUUUUUGGCACCGUUGCUAGAUUUAGAACUUAGUCUACUUUUAGUAAUGAUGUUAAGAAUACCCAACAAGCAUUUUUGGCGCCGUUGCCGGGGAAGGUUGAUUACCAAUCGGGAAUGGAAUAAAAGAUUUUGAGUUAUCAUUCGCAUCACUAAUAUGAUUGAGCUUAUCUAUUCUCUCAUACAGUUUUACCCCGAUAUUUUUCUAUUUUAUCUUAUGCAGGGGAAUGUAUGAAUAGAAGAUAUCUUCCAGGAAAUUUUGUUGACAAUCCCGAAGCAUUAUUCAAGAAGACAAGAGCCAAGCUAAAGAAAUCAUCAACACUUCACGAAGAAGCAUCAUCCAAUCAAGAAGAUCACCGGAACUUGUCUUCAGAGUUCGAAGCCAUGGCGAACAAAUCGAUCCGCGAGUUCUCAGCUCCCACAACGGACAACAUCCGCACUGGACCUGCUGCAGAGAUCGAUGGCAACUUUGAGCUCAAGCCUGGACUUAUCAUCAUGGUGCAAUCCAACCAGUUCUGUGGGAAGGCACACGAAGAUGCUAGUGCUCAUUUACAACACUUCCUGGAGAUUUGCAACACAUUCACUAUAGCAGGAGUUUCCAAAGACGCUAUACUACUUCGCCUCUUCGCAUUCUCACUGUUAGGAAGAGCGAAGCAGUGGUUCUACGCUACAAAGGAGAAGAAUACUACGUGGGCACUCUGCUCAACAAACUUCCUCGCUAAGUUCUUUCCCAUGGGCAAGACCAAUGCUCUCCGUGGGAAGAUUACAAGUUUUCAGCAACAAAAUGAUGAAUCUAUUCCAGAAGCAUGGGAGCGCUUUCAAGACUACAUCCUAGAAUGUCCCCAUCAUGGAAUGGAGAGUUGGCUAUUGAUGCAGACGUUUUAUCAUGGGCUCAGCAACAGUACCCGAGAAACCAUGGAUGCUGCAGUUGGAGGAGCAUUCUUAUCACUUACUAUACCACAAGCCACAACUCUUGUGGAGAAGAUGGCGUCCAACCAAAGCUGGAAUGAAGAGAGGACCCAGACACGCAAGAGAGGUGGAGGUAUGCAUCAGCUGAAGGAGGUAGACAUGCUGUCUGCAAAGCUAGACCUGCUCCUGAAGAAGCUCGAUGAUAGAGCUGGAGACAAGAAAGAAGUUAUGCACAUCUACGACUCUCACAUGACUUGUGAGGAGUGUGGAGACACUAGACACUCAGGCAACCACUGCCCUGAGAUACUUGAGGAUGUGAACUACAUCAACAACAACAACUACUACUACUACAACCGUCCUCAACAAAAUCAAGGUUGGAAUCAACAGAGGCCUAACUACUCAGGUAAUUAUCAAGGUAAUAAUUCUUAUAACAACAAUAGUAAUUUUCCACCUUUGAGAGAGUUAGUGUCUAAUCAAGGAAAGCUAAUGGAUAACCUAUCUAAGAAAUUGGCAUCUAAUGAUAAAAUGCUAGAAAAUAUAAAUAAUAGAAUGGAUAAUUUUUCUACUGCCAUCAAGAAUCAAAUUAGCUUUAAUAAAAUGAUUGAAUCUCAGUUAAAUCAAAUAGCUACUGCUGUUCCUACUACUAACCCCGGUAUACCAUCACAACCGGAAGGAUUAGAAUCUGCAAAUCUUGUAGACGUGUUUGAUGCAGGUAAUUGGAGUAACCCCGUCACUGAAUUCUCUACUGACAUUAUGCCGGUCAAGAGAGGCGAUCGAGGACGCCCCGUCAUCCCGAUCUCCAUCGGCAUGGUGGACGUUCCAGAAGUACUCUGCGACUUUGGCUCCAGUGUCAACAUUAUACCCAGGGUACUCUAUGAAAAAAUCUUUACAUAUCCUUUAUUAGAAACAACCAUGUGUUUGCAGUUUGCAGAUCAGACGAUAACUUUUCCAAAAGGAAUCGUGAGGAACCUUUGUGUCCGAGUUGGUACCUUAUAUGCCCCAGCAGACUUCGUAGUGGUAGGGACCGGAAAUGAUGAGAGAGCACCUAUCAUCCUAGGGAGGCCAUUCUUGAACACCACGGGAGCUAUCAUCUACGCCAGUGCUGCCAAGAUCAGUUUCUUCGUCAAAGGGAAGAAGGAGAUAUUUUUCUUCAAGAACAGGACUACACAAAUUCAAGAUCAAUCCAGACGUGAAUCAAGGAAGAGGACCAAUAGGAGAAACAGGAACAAGCAAGUGUGGACCGAGUCAGCUAAGAUGGUCACUGUAGUUCAUGGAGGCCAAGAUCAUCAACUUAAAUCACCGUUUUUGACUAAGAAGGACGACCCAGGAAUGCCAAGCAUCUACUGCUCCAUAAAUGGAUACAACUUCUACAAGACGAUUUGCGACACCGGAUCAGGCGUCAACAUAAUGGCCGCAGUCACUUAUCGGCUCUUGUUCGGGACCAUGCCACUAAGACCAACAUACAUUCAACUCCAGAUGGUAGAUCAGACAUUUCGAGAAGUUCAAGGAAUAGUAUCUGAUGUCCCAGUCAAAAUAGACGAUCACUUUGUCUACACAGACUUUCAAGUUGUUGACAUGGGAGAAGACGAGUAUGAUCCACCCGUCAUCCUUGGAAGACCGUUCCUCAGCACCGUUAAAGCAAUUAUCUACAUUGGAACCGGAGAAGUCCAUAUGCACUUCCCCUCAGAGAAGGUACGCCGUUAUUUUACUGACCCUAACUAUAUCAUUGAAGAAUCUAAGCAGGUAAGAAAGGGACGCAAUCGCAACCAGAGGAGGCAGAUCAUCAAGGACGGAUGGGCAGACUAUGAAGGAGAAGUUGUAAGGUCAGAAGACAUAGAGUUUAAACAGAAUUAUCCAGAGGAGAUUGAAGCACCGAGUCAGGUAUGGAAAAUGAAGAUAACUAUACAAGAAGAGGAGGCGCUGCCGGAAGUACCGACUACGCCACCCAACGAACCUCAGGACGAUUAAGAAAAUGGAGAGUCCCGUUCGGAGGACUUAAAAACACCGAACGCCUUGCCAAGAGGUAAACUUGGUAGUUAUCAUUUCCCUUUCAACUAUUUCAAAUAGUUUACUUAGUUAAUCAUAUUCACACUAUCUUAAAAAGAAAAUAAAAAUGUUAAAAACAGUAAGCCCCAUGUGAGUAGACGAGUGGCAUGAAACCCAUAGGUACAUUCACUGUGGUGGCAUAAAAAUAAAAUAAAUAUUUUUCUGCUUUAUAAAAACAAAAAUAUAAAAACAGGGAGUAAUAAUUAUUAAGAAGUCUCAACAUGAUAAAGGCUAGAUAUUUAUGCUAACACUUAAUCAGUUCCACAAGCUUUGUUGUCUAUUUGAGCUCCACAGAAUUUAAGAAUCAAGAACACUAGCAGAUGGAGGACAUCCUAAUCGCUGUCAGAAUGCUGCUGACUUUCAAAUACACCUCUGCCACCUGCUAGCUACACCAAGAGAAAUUACGUCAAAAUUCAGCUUGGGGGAGAGCACCCCCAUUUAUCCCGAUAAGUAUUUCUUUCUAUCUAUCUUUAUACUUAUAUUAUUUUAGAAUAUAAAUAACUAUGAAAAAACCAAAUAAAGAUUUUAUGCUUAUAUAUAUGCCUUUUGCUUAGUGUGUUUAAUAAAUAAAUAAAGUGGCUAUGCUAAUCUGUAUCUAAAUAAAACUUAAGCAUGGAUAUGAUAAAUAGUUGCUCUGCCUAAUUUGCAAAUUUUAAGUUCUCUCUCAAGUUUAGAUAUAACUGUUAUAAUUUAAAUCUUGCUCUAGACCUAAACUUGUGGGAUGAAAACUUGAUUUGAAGUCUAAGUUGUUAACGGAUAUGAUAUGGGAAGGUUAAGCUGCUGUUUAUCUGUUCCUAGAGAUGCUAGAAUUCUGGAGAAUUUUAUCUUUGAAAAUCUUUAAAAUGUUGCAUGAUGAGUUCCUGUAUGAUGAGAGCUUAAAUUCCUACCACAGCCAUAUAUGCAUGCUUGCUAGACUUUGAGCCACACAUUUAUUAUUUACUGCUUAUGAGCAUUGAGUGUGGUCAAGCUGUGUAGACCCGUAGGAGCUUGUCAUGUGGUUAAAUCAAGAUUUCACUUGCACGUCCACUCAUAUAUGCUACUUCUACUCCGGAAGUACCAUCCACAUAUAUCCAUCCAUUUCCAUCUCCAGAAUCACCCAAAAAUAUUCUAUUCCUAAUCCGGGAGAGAAUAACCAAAAAUAUUUCUGUUUUUCCCUUGUCAAAUAAAUGCUCAAGUUAUCUUGUUACUACCACUUGCUAUAUUAUCUCAUGAGAUGAGUGCUCUAAAAAAAAGAGAUACGAGGAAAUAAAAAGGAGCAAGUGCUCGGAACCUCGAAAGAAAAAAAAAGUGAGACGAGAGGUAAAAAUGGACAAGUGUCCGACAGUAGAAUUAGGGGUGCAAGAUGCCCACCUGAGAGACAAGAAAAAGAAGAGCAUCUCAUUCUCCUCAUAAAGUUUCAAAAGCAAGGAAGGUAUGUAUCCCCUCAAAAGAGCAAAGUAGAAUUAGACUUCCACCACCAUUGUUUCCACCAUUGUUAUCACCAUUAUCACCAUACACCAUUCAUUUGCCACACAUGCACAUCUUGAUUUGGCUUAUUAAUUUGUUUCUUUGGAUCCAUGGUUUGACUAUGCAAUAAAUGUCUUGUAAGUAUGUAUACUUUAUCUCCCACCUAUGAACUCCAGAUAUUAAAGCCUUAUUAGAGUAGGGUGAGAGAAAAGGCAAUGUCACUAUGCCUCAUACCACAAAUACUACAUAUCUUGAGAGAAGGCAUAUACCACCAAUGCCUUGGUAAGGAUCCAAAAAUACCACAAAAGAGAGACCUGAGAGAAUCAUACAAGGAAUUUCUGAGUUUUAUUUGAAAAUCUGCAAAAACCCCAGAGCUAUAGCUGAUCAAGAAUAAGAGACAUGGCACUUGACUAGACUGUUCUAUCUUUUAACCACUCAAGACAGAAGUGACAGUUACAAGUCCCAUGGUGAAGGUAAAGUAAGUAAGUUUUAAGUCUUGACAGUUUACUCUCACUCAGAGAUGAGAUCUUAUUUAAAAAGCAUGUGUACCGUCAAAUUUUAAAGAUAUUGCAACUACUUCUGGUCCAUAGCUGAGUCUAUCCUUGCUCAGGGACGAGCAAGAGGUAAGCUUGGGGGACUUUGUUGACGGUCCUUAAGUAUCAAAUUUAAUUAUCAAAUAAAUAAAGAAAAGGAUCCAAAUGAAAUCAAGAUCUAGACUUAGGGUUUUAUCUGACAGAAUUCCACGAGUUUUGGUGUUUGUCUAUUUCUGUAGGGGGUUAUCAGGAAAUACGGAAGAAAGGCCCACAUGUAAGGAUUACGUAAAGAUAUUAACGUGCUGCGCAAUUAUCUUACAUCUAGAAGACUCCAGAAGCCACGAGACCGAAGCGGAGGCGAAACGGGGCCAGAGGCAGGGCGCCCGCCCCCUGUUGGAGUCCAAACAGGACUCUGCUUUGCGGGAAGUCUCCACCGACCUAAAGGAUGAAUCUAAACCAUACAAUCUAUGUCGGUUUGAUCCAAGGGCCCAUAUUCACUUGAAGGGACUAUAAAACCAGACCCCCUGGCCCCUGGAGGAGGGAGCCUCUCAACCCUAAUUCAUUGUUCCAUCAAGGGAGAAGAAGCCUCUGAUCAAGAUUAGAGCCACCACAUCAAUUAGACAUCUAGAUUAGCAUAGCUACAUAGGAUUAGAACUAGAAGGAGUCAAUCUUCGAUUGGUUUCCGGAUCUGUCAGGAGGAUUCUUGGUAAUUCUCUAAUUGUGCUUCUAAUUGCUUUCUAAUUAUCUUUGUUCUUCAAUAUUACGAAUAUGACUUUGUUCUACUUCAAUAUAUUGCUUAUGACUUUGCUCAACUUGCUUAUAUUCAAGAUUAUGUUGUUCUUAGUUUAUCAUAGUUAUGUACUUGGCUUAGUUAGAUACGAUCUAUAUACAUGCUUAGGAUCGUAUAGCGUUUAUCCAUCGGAUCCAUGGGUAAUGAUAGAUAUUGUGUAGGCGUGGUGCUUAUACCGUAUUUAUAUGUGAUUGUACCCAAUAUGCCAGAUCGUGGGGUGGUUCGUGAUAGUGACAGCUUCAUUGAUUCUUAUAUAGUCCCCCUCUCGUGUAUUGGGCUGGCCGAGCAACAUUAUUACAGGGGAGUGAUUGCUAUGUUUCUCAUAUUCCUUGCUAAUAUCACUAUGCAUGGGCGUAGUCUUGUCUCGCAAUGAUUGCUAAGUAUGCUUGCACUAACUAUGAUUUUGCUAGACUAUAUAGUUAAGAAUAACUUAGGGAAUAUUCUUGUAGUUCGUUCUAAUACCAUGCUAAUGACUUUCUAGAGUAUCUAAUUGAGGUGCUUAUCAUAUUUAUUAUGUGGCUAGAUCAGAUUAGUUAUCCUUGUCACUAUUAUUAUUUCAUAUAUCUUUUAUGUGACACUUAUCCCUGUAUGAAGAGUUAGAUAUAAUGUUCUCAAUUAUACAUGCAAUGAUAGAUGCUCAAUCUCAUAUUCUAUUCUGUAAUCAUUAGUGAUGAUUUCUAAUCCCUUCCCAGUGGUAAAAAUAUAAAUAACGAUACCUGGAAUACUUCCUGGUUAAAAUGCUGCAUCGGUAUUAAUCUGUGCGCUUGCAGAUCCCAUUCAUUAUUUAUUUAGAAGAGCAAUUGCAUAUUUCAAUACCGCGUCUCUCAUGUCAUGCUGGGGAUGACAACUUGGCUUAAGUGGUGUGAGGGAUAGGUUUGGCAUUUUUGGCACCGUUGCUAGAUUUAGAACUUAGUCUACUUUUAGUAAUGAUGUUAAGAAUACCCAACAUGCCCCACUGGGAGCUGUGGCUCCACUUCUACAGGGGUGAGCUCUUCAACGCCCCCACUAGGACUACAGGCGUGAGGAAACCCGUGCGGGCCGGGUGCCUUAAUCUGGUGCUGAAUACGGGGAAGACGGAGAGGCCACGUGAGUACACCCUGGUGGGGUUGUCAUCGAACCACGCUGGAUGGGACUCCCAGUGGUUCUACUUGAGGAACGACGAUGAUCUCCUUCCUGCCUACACCGGCCGCCUAAUCACGGAGCGCCCGGAGAACUGGACGUACGGCGUCGUCCAAGUCCACCAGUCGCGGCUCGACCCCCUCCUCGACGCCUUGAAGAAGUUACGCAUGGAGGGCCUGUCCGCCGCUCUCGUCCUCUCGGCCGUCCAUCAUCGGAGAGUUCUCCCACCGAUGUCUCGGCCGCUAAGGAUGGAUGAGAUGGGGCCCGGUGCUUCGUCCCAGGACCUCGAGGCGUGCCGAAUGUCCAACGAGGCUCCGGCAGACGAUGAAGUCGCGGCCCAGGUCAGGGCGGCCGUCGCCAGCGACUUCCAACCGGAACACGUUAAUGGCUUCCCCAUGAGGCCUGAUGCAGGCUCAAUCGACCUGGUAAGUUCAUUUCUUGUAUAUGGCUUCAAUUCUGGAUUUCCUUCGAUCCCCUUUUCAAGCCUGUCUUUGUUUACGAAAGGACCGCUCGAUGUCCGGUCCUCGAGGCCUCCAGUAAAGGAGGACGGGGUCGACCGUGACAAGCGGCACCAGUUCGCUGAGAAACAGAAGUCCGCCAAGGACAUAGAGAAGAAAGAGAAGAAGAAGAAGAAUCUCGACCGCCAAUCGUUAGAGGCGCGUCGAGCCAAGUCUAGGCGAAGGGGGGAGCCUCAAGAACAAUCCCCUAGCAAGAAUGAUGGCGGAGACAGCGAUGACGACAGCGACGACUCCGAGGGGAUGGCAUCUCGCCUCGACCGCAUCCUCGAGGGUCCGCCUCGAGGCGAUGUCGACGCCCCGCGGACGGGAGCGCCAAAGGAGGGGCCAGGCGGAUCUCACCGCCCCCGCGCUGACACCCCUCCCAUGCCUGCGCCAAGUCGGUCUGUUUUGCACCACCAACCUCCCCCUGAUCCAAAGGUGGGUGGCCGGGCUAAGCCCCAGGCGAUGGGGCCAUUGACCCGUGGCCGCGCCGCGGCCAUCGAAAAGGGAGACACUGGCCGCAGGAGCGCUAGCCCCGGCGCUCGCCAGGUGGGAGAUGCUAGACCGAGGCCUGCGCCUACCCGUGAGGGGCCUGGAGCCUCGACGUGGGGUUGUUCGAGGCCCACCGGUCGAGGUACCGGCAGGCGAGCCGUUCUCCCUGUGGGGUAAGUUAUUCGACGUCGUGAUUCUCAUCCUCCUGUUUCUUCGCGUUUUCUCGUAUAACGAUCUCUCUUAUGCCCAUUUCUCUUUCCUUAGGUUGAAGCGGACGCUUGAGCAGGCCCAGCCUUCAAUGGCGAAAAGGCUCUAGGUGGGAGCGGCCUCCAAGGAUUCGGGUUAGUAGCUUAUUCCCAUUGUUAUGGGAGUUAUGUCAUUCUGGUGACGACUGGCGGGUGAGUCUGCCCCGUCAUCGCCAAAACGGGCCAAGGCGCCUCAGCCCCAGGAGCAAGAGGGAGCCCCCGAGCCUCCUUGAUCGGGGGUUGAGGCGGAUCCGAUCACUAUAAGUGAUGGGUCUGGCGGCGAUGGGUCUUCGAGGGACACCCGCCCUACGGACGAGGAGGUUGAGGCCUCUCCCACCACGAGACGGACUCCUUAGCCCAUCGGGCUCCACUCUGUCAAAGAGCAGAGGAGGAAAGAGGAAAGAGAGCGUGAGCAGAAGACGCGACAUCAGCCGCAGGAGGAACAGCAGCUGCUGCCGAUGGGAGGAGAGGUGGGGCAGCCGUCGGCAGGUCCCUAGCUCGAGGAGCUGCUAGAGCAGGGCCGUCGCCAGGAGCCGCAGGAGGCCCAGGGGUAGCAGCAGCAGAGGGGCCAGCAGUCGGAGGGACCGCUCGAGCCUCCUCCCCACAGACCGCCCCAACCGGUACUACCGGCGCCGCAAGAGCCCGGGAACCAGGAGGAGGGUCUGCCAGUUUUCAGCCCUCCGACCCCGGCGUGGCUCCAUCUAGGGGCACCCGCCGCGAUCCCAGUAGAGUCGGGGCGGGCGGAUGGCGUGGUGGCGCUUGCCUGCAUGAUGCGCACAGCCGUCGACCCCGAAUCCGAGAUCAGGAGGACGAUCUACGGCAUGGACGGAAUCGCCCCGGGAUUCCUCCGGGAACGUCGGUCGUGGGAGGAACGUAUUCCCGCCGAGGAGGACGAGGGUGGAACGUCGGGCGGUGGUGGAGGCGGCGAAACUGGGACCUGGAAGACGGUGGACGACGAUGGGCGGUUCCCUUCCCUCGUCUACUUGUUCCUGCGCCACGGGGGGUCACUCGAGACUGUCGAGGAGCUCAUCCGCGGCGUCAAGGCGCGGGCUGACCAGGAGAUGGAGAAUUGGUGCCCCGACCGGAUCUGUAUCCGGGCUUCCACCGAUCCGUCUGAGCCCAAUAUCUUUCUGGACGAUCGGAAGGAGGCCGAGAAGUGGGAGCACGUCAAGGAGCUCCGCCUCUGGAUGAAGCACAUGGUGGGGCUCCUGUCGAACGUUGUUAACAACGGGCUCGGACCGGCCUACUUUGUAAGCAUUUCCAAGUCUUUUAAUUUUUAUGGAACGUUUGGUUUUGUGUUUUAACUGCUCGAUCACCGGUUCGCAGGACCUAAAAGAGACCUCCCGCAUUAAGUCAAGCUUCAUCCACGCCACGAGAGACGGCUAGGAGCAGCUCCCCAUCCUCAAGGACCAACUCCUGGAGUCGCAGGAGAAACUCCUCAAGGCUUAUAAAGAGCUCUUAGUGCUCGAGGAGCAGAAGAAGGAGAGGGAGGCUGCUCUAGUCGAGGCUCGAGAGGCCUCAAGGAAGGCGGUGGAAGAGGCUGCGCUACUGAGGGAGCGGGCCAAGACGGUCGAGGAAGCCGCGUCCAAAGCCCGGGAGGAGGCCCUGUCCUACAAGAACGUCGUUGCUGACCUGGACAAGGAGAAAGGCCUCCUCAAGACCGACCUGGACUCCAUCCGAGAAUCCUUUCAAAGGAUGAAGGUGGAGUGUGUGAACAGCGAGAUCGCUAGGAGCGCCGCGGAGGAGGCAAAGAAGAAGGCCCUCGAAGACCUCGAGGCAAAGCAGGCUCGAUCCCGUAGCCUUUCUGAUGACGUCGACCAUCUAAAGAGAGCGCUGCUGGAAAAAGAUGGGGCCAUCUCGCAAGCCGGCAAGGCGAUCGAAGACCUGCGUGUCGCCAACACCGAGCUAGCGCACUCCAACAGGGAGGUCGAGAGGGCCACUACUGUCGAGUUCCUUUUCUGAGGUGUGCUUGGUGUUAUCUAAUUUCUUCAUGUUGGUCCUUGCAGGACUCAAAGAUGAGCUGCUGGCCACCCAAGUCGAGGCCCGUUCCAUCAAGACUCAGCUCGAGGGGGAGGUCGCCUUGAACGGUCGUCUACAGACUGUGAUAGGCGACCUCUCGGUCUCCUAGGAGCUCAAGCUUGUUGACGAGUCGACGGAGGAGGCUCGAGGCGACGCACUCGUCGACCAGCUAUGCUACCUUGGAGCUACGCUGAGGGACCGGGUGCGGGACGCUCUUCCUGUCGGAGUGAAGCGGGCGAUGGCGGUAGUCUGCUCAGGCUUCUCCUACGACAUGGAGGUAGUGUCCCACGGCUUCGUCACCGACAUCUCCAAGACUGAUGCGGAGAACGAGGAGAGGCUCCAUGCCUUGAUCGAUGACGCAGAGGUUCCUGGGGAGAGGUUGGCUAAGUUGUUUGAGCCAGAAGUACUUCCUCCUGAGACUAGCUCAGUCGCGGGUGAGGAUGGUGGGGGCCGAGACGUUGACUGAGGCCUGUGAGCCUACGCUGGGUGCCUAGGCCCCUUGUACAGUACUUAGCCAAUUUGUUCUUAAGUAUUAUAAUGGCUUUAUGUGGUUGUUAGAUUUCUAUGAAUGUUUGUCCAUCUUUCUGCUCGAGGCUCCUUUGUUUCCUUUUGCACCUAUGUUUGCAUUCCUCGUUUGGUCUUUUGUUUAAGGCGAUCUCGAUUGCCUCAAGGGUGAGGAAGCGAGUAGAGUUUCCGUUGCCCGGGGGCGUAGGAGUUCUCAGGCUCAUCGUCCCUCGGCCCUUAAGGGCCUCGAGGUGCCUCUACUACUCGACCGUACGGGAUUACUGAUAGGAACGAAAGGAUUACUUGGGUUUUUUCGACAUUUGGGUGGGGGUCACCCCCUUGCUAGCCCCCGAGGGGGUAUCGACUAUGAUGGGUCAUAGUUGGUACUCCCUGCUAACGUCGAGAUUUCGACUCGUGAAAAAGUAAAUUGCUUUGAGGGAAAGAUCUUAUUCAUUCAUGCAUUCAUUCAUAAGGCCUUGGUACAGAAUGUACAUAGGAACAUAAAGCUUUGAAAUUCUAGGGGUAGAAUCGACGUAGCUGUUCGAUGUUCCACGCAUUGGUGAAGAUCGCCCCCUUUUCAUCUGCGAGCUUGUAUGUCCUCGGCUUCAAGACUUCGGCCACUACGUAUGGGCCCUCCCAAGGUGGAGUCAGCUUGUGGCGUCCUUGAUUGCUUUGCCGCCGUCGUAGGACGAGGUCGCCCACGUUCAAGUCCCUCUUGCGCACGUGCUUGUCGUGGUAGCAUCGAAGUUUCUACUGGUAUCUGGCAGAGUUGAGGAGGGCCAUGUCUCGAGCUUCCUCGAGUUGGUCGACCGCGUUCUCUUGAGUCUCUUUAUUUGAUUGCUCGUUGUAUGCUUUGAGUCAAGGGGAUCCAUACUCGAGGUCCGUAGGAAGCACAGCCUCAGAGCCAUAGACCAUGAAGAAUGGGGUGUAUUUUGUGGCCCUGCUCGGCGUCGUCCUUAAGCUCCAUAGGACCGAGGAAAGCUCCUCAACCCAUUUCUUGCCGAAUUUCUUCAAGCCAUUGUAAAUCCUUGGUUUGAACCCCUGCAAAAUCAUGUCAUUGGCACGGUCGACAUGGCCGUUAGUUCAAGGGUGGGCCACUGCAGACCAGUUCACACGGAUGUGAUGCUGAUCGCAGAAGUCCAAGAACUUUUUGCUGGUGAACUGAGUGACGUUGUCGAUGAUGAUGACGCUGGGAAUCCCAAACCGGUGGAUGAUGUCGGUGAAGUAGUGUGAUUAGUAUUUAACAAAUUGAGCAUGUCUUAAAGGUAGGGACAACCAACAUAGCAACAUGGCAAAGUAUGUUUUUAUGUAAAGUACUCCCCCAAGCUUGAAUUUUGCAGAAUUCAAGUUUGGAUGAAUUUAAUUCAAUGUUGUAUGAUGAUUGGUUGGACAUACCUUGUGCUUGUCAUUCAUCCGAUCUUCUUGCUCCAAUACUGGAAAGGUUAGUGACAAGAAUACCCGAAGGAAUAUUUUUACAAUUAUCCUUAUAUGCUCAAUACACAAGGUAAUGUUGCAAAUAAUUAAAAACUCAUGUUACGAUCUGAUCAGUGCUUAUUUUAGGACACCAAGCUUGUCCUUGGGAAACCAUCAAUUUAUGUCGGCGAAGUGGUUUCCCUUCCAACGCUGACCUAAAUCAAGAUCAACUCAACGAGAUCUGCAAUAUUUAUUAUAGACAUAUGCAUCAACAACCGCCCUUUUAAAGUUUUUAUAAAUAGAAAGGAAGAGGGGGUUGGAGAUCUCAAAUGUGGUGAUGUUGGAGAGACCAAUAGAUUGGUAAGAUGUUGCAUAUGAGAAUGGAGUAAACAAAGUGGCUAUGAAAUAAAUUCCAUGCUCAUUAAUGUUAUCUUCAUCUCCAAUCUGAAUGUUCAGAGUUUUUCUUGGAUUGGUCUCACUUAUGUCCUCUUCUAUAGUUGGAUGAAUCCCAUCUUCAAAGGGAGUCAAGAACUCACCAUUUGAAAUUGAACCAAAGUCAGAAUUCAUUAAGGCUUCUUCCUUAUCCAUCCAUUCUACACAUUCUAGCCAUUUAGAACUUGUGAUCAAGAAAGGGGAGGUGUUAGAAUUUUCAAUAUGGCUUAGCUCUCCUUCACUUGAUAUGUCAUCCUCGACUUCUUCAUAAAAGGAACCAGGACAUUCUCUAAGAGAACCAUUAUUGUGAGGAUUUGAAUUAUCCCUGCUUGAAGGUCUCUUAUGGAACCAGAAGUCUAAACCAUCAGCAUCUGAAAGAUUUAAGGUCGGAAUUCCUUCCUCCCUUGGAGAAUUUUGGGGUAUUGAUGGUUUAGGAUCGAUACCUAAAGGUUGGGAUUGAAGUGUUUGUGAUCUGGCUAUCGAAACUUUUUCUUCUUGUCUAGGAACUGGUUCUGUCUCUUUCUCAGGGAUAUAAAAGCUAGGAGACUUUCCACUUAAUAAAUCAAUCAAAUUUCAAGCUUCACUAGCAGGUAGGUGAUAGAAGGAUCCUCUAGAGGCUGUAUUCAAGGUUUGCUUAUCUUCCCUACUAAGGCCCUCAAAAAAGUGAAUUAGAAGAACUUCUUCUAGAAUAGAAAGCUUUGGGCCAGUGAGAGUAAGGUUAAUAAAGCGGUCUCAUGAUUUGCCAAGAGAUUCUUCUUCUAGUUAUCUAAAAGAAAUAAUCUCACGCCGAAGUUCCGCCACUUUAGAGAUUGGAAAAUAUUUUAAAAGAAAACUAUUAUGUAACUCCUUCCAAUCUCCAUGAACACUCCCUACUUUGAGUUUGUACCAAUGUCUAGCUUUUCCUGUUAAAGAGAACGGAAAGAGCUUCCAUUUGAGAGUCUCAUCGGACAUUCCUUCUAUGCGAAGGAGGUCACAGACUCGAUAAAACUCUCUUAGGUGUUGUUGACGUUCCUUAAUGCUCACAUAUAACCAUCAAUUAAUCAUGGAAAAGGAUCCAAAUGCAACCAACACCCAGACUUAGGGUUUUAUCUGACAGAAUUCCACGAGUUUUGGUGUUUGUCUAUUUCUGCAGGGGGUUAUCAGGAAAUACGGAAGAAAGGCCCACACGUCGGGUUUACAUAGAGAUAUUAACGUGCCGCGCAAUUUUCUACCAUCUAGAAGACUCCAGAAGCCACGGGAGCGAACGGGAGACGUAACGGAGCCGGGCACUGGGCGCCCACCCUCCCUUACUGGGUGCCCGCCCUCCCCCCUGGACCAAUCGGGGUGAAGCUCGGGGAUCAUGCUCCACCGACCUAAUACUUCAAGGAAAACCACACGAUCAAUGUCGGUUUGAUCCGAUGGCCCAGAUUCAUCUGAAAAGACUAUAUAAACAAGGCCCCCUGGCCCCUGGAGAGCAUACCUCUUCUACAGAAUCAAAGUUAGGGUUUCAAUUCUUCAUCCAAGUAGAGAGGAUCCCUCUAGUUCUUCUAGUUCUACCUCUAGUUCAUCUAGAUCUAGUUCUAGUUCAUCUAGUUCUAGUUCUAGUUCCACUAGUUCUGGUUCUAGUUAGUUCUAGUUGUAAUCUAGAAAAUAGGGAGAGAGAAGAGGAGAGCGGAGGAGGAGCCGGAUCUGUCGGAUCUUUCUCAACAUUGUACUUUUGCAGCAACUGGUUCGUCCUUCAUCGUUCUCCAAGUUCUUCAAUUCAUAUUUCCUGAGUUCUUUAAUUACUUUUAUUUACAUUCAAGUUAUUUAUUGGAUUCCCACUUGCAUCAAGUGCUCUAGUCUUUAUAACGCUAGAGUUGUAAUUAAUAGAUUAGACGUGGUGUUUAGUCUUGCGAUUACCUAGAAUUGCACCCAAUCCUACGGAUUGUUGUGGUAGCCCUAGGGUAGUGACAGCCCUAACGGUCGACGUAUUCCACCACGUUCGGUUCGGUGUUUGUAGGACCGUAGUCAGACCUUUCUAGCCCCCAUCUCAUCUCUUUCUGUGGUUAGUGCUCUGAUGUCCCGAUAUAGAUAAUCUUGAAGUAAUUCUUGAUUCUUAGAUCAACUAGAGAACUCUCAGGAAACUUCUUCUCUUCCCACCAAAAAUAAUUAUAUAGUUAUCCUUGGGCGAUCUUGGAUCUUAAUUAGUACACUCACGUUCUCUGUGGAAAAUCGAUACUCUGGAAUACUCCCGGGUGAAAGCUACAUCGGUAUCCGUGCGCUUGCGGAUUUUUCUGUUUGCGUUUAAAAUACCCAACAAGCUUUCUGGCGCCGUUGCCGGGGAACGGUAGCUGUGCUAGUUUCGAACCAAGUCGCCCGUAUAUCCUUUUUCUUUUCCUUUUUUACCACACUCACCUUAUCAUUUUCACCGUACCACAUGGAUUUCACUCUAAGCAUUAAUGAGCAUGGAAUUUAUUUCAUAGCCACUUCAUUUACUCCAUGCUCAUAUGCAACAUCUUCACAAUCCAUUGGUCUCUCCAACAUCACCACAUUCGAGAUCUCCAACCCCCUCUUCCUUUCUAUUCAUAAAAACUUAAAAAGGGCGGUUGUCGAUGCAUAUAUCUAUAAUAAAUUUUGCAGAUCUCGUUGAGUUGAUCUUGAUAUAGGUCAGCGUUGGAGGGGAAACCACUUCACUGACAUAAAUUGAUGGUUUCCCAAGGACAAGCUGAGUGUCCUAAAACAAGCACUGAUCAGAUUGUAACAUGAGCUUUUAAUUAUUUGCAACAUUAACUUGUGUAUUGAGCAUAUAAGGAUAAUUGUAAAAAAAUUCCUUCGGGUAUUCUUGUCACUAACCUUUAUAGGAUUGGAGCAUGAAGAUCGGAUGAAUGACAAGCACAAGGUAUGUACAAUCAAUCAUCAUACAACAUUGAAUUAAAUUCAUCCAAACUUGAAUUUUGCAAAAUUCAAGCUUGGGGGAGUACUUUAUAUAAAAACAUCAUUUGCCAUGUUGCUAUGUUGGUUGUCCCUACCUUUGAGACAUGCUCAAUUUGUUAAAUAGUAAUCACACUACUUCAUCUCCACUUGAGUAGAUCUCUAUAAAAGCCAUCACGCUACCUUUGUUUAUCCUAGUAAGUGUUAGUUUGGAAGUACUGUACAUACUUCUAUUGGUUUUUAAAUUAAGCAUGGUGCUUAGGUUAAACAGCCUUCCUUAAUCUAAUUAGACAUGGAGUCUAGUUUGGUUAUUAAACUAAAAACUGCUUGUGUAGACAUUGGUAUAUUUUGUUGGACUAACCCCUGCAGGAAAACUUUCAAUAUCGACCUGGGAAGUCCUAAGAUAAACUCACAUUGGAGACAAAGAGAGACACAUGAAGUUUGACAAUUUACACAAGGAAGGCAUUGCUCACAAGAGAUGAUCCAUGGAGGGUGCCACAAACACGAUGCACAACCACUAAGAAAGGAAAGCUUCCACAAGGUGAUACUGUACCAUCACUCUUCAAGUAAGGUAACAUCUUAAGGUACUUGACUAUCACUUUUAUAAACUUCUCCUUCGUUUUGGCGUUCACAUGAAUAAAAGAGACAAACAUGUAUGAUUUACAACUCUAGAUUAACUAACCCAAUCGAUUCAACAUGUUUAGUCCUUCCACCUUUGUGAUCCUACACUCCUAAUCAUAUAAGCUAAAAUGUUGCACACUCAAUCUUUGGAAGAUAUAAAAAACUACAUAAAUAUAGAUAGAUUAUCUUUCCAUUAGGUUGAGCGAUUCGAUCUGACAAAUGUUUUAAAUACUACACUCAUGAUCUUAUUAUCCAUCAACUUUGUCUUGCUCACUAUGCUUAAGGUUAGAGAAGAACAAAUACACUUUUGGUUCUGUUGGUGUUUUCCACCAACAGGGCCCAUGCACUUGAUCUCUGCCUUGUCUCUAUGAGUGGGUACACUUCGAGCAAAAUAUGAAGGAGUUUUACAACUCCCAGACUCCACCAAGUGAAGAACCUAGAUAUAUGAGCACAAACACGCUGGAGAUACUGGACACUCAUGCAAACACUGCCCUGAGAUGCUUGAGGAUGUAACUACUAGAGUAACCCCGUUGUGGAAGAAAUUACUGACCUUCUGCCGGUCAAGAGAGACAAUCUAGGACGCCCCGUCAUCCCAAUCUCCAUCGGCAUGGUGGACUUCCUAGAAGUACUCUGCGACUUUGGCUCCAGCAUCAACAUUAUACCUAGGGAAGCCAUUCCUGAACACCUUGGGAGUUGUCAUCUACGCUAGAGCUGCCAAGAUCAGUUUCUACAUCAAGGGGAAGAAUGAGACGUUUUCCUUCAAGAAACAAGACUACACAAAUCCCAGAGCAAUCCCGACAUGAACCAAGGAAGAGGACCAACAGCAGGAACAAGAACAAGCAAAUGUGUACCGAGUCAGCUAAGAUGGUCACUGCAGCUCAAGGAUGUCAAGAUCGUUAACUCAAGUCACCUUUCUUGAUCAAGAAGGACGACCCUGGUGUCCCAAGCAUCCAGUGCUCCAUUAAUAGAUACAACUUCCAAAAGACGCUUUGCGACACCAGGUCAAGCGUCAACAUAAUGGCCGCAGUCACCUAUCAGCUCCUAUUUGGAACCAUGCCCCUAAAAUCGACAUACAUUCAGCUCCAGAUGGCAGAUCAGACAUUCCGAAAGGUUGAAGACGAGUACGAUCCACCCAUCAUCCUUCGAAGACCGUUCCUUAGCACCGUUAAAGCAAUCAUCUAUAUUGGAACCAGAGAAGUCCACAUGCACUUCCCCUCUGACAAGGUAUGUUGCUAUUUUACUGACCUUAACUAUAUAGUUGAAGACUCUAAGCAGGUCAGGAUAAGAAGAAGACGACGCAACCGCAACCAGAGUAGGCAAAUUAUCAAGGACGAAUGGGCGGAUUAUGAAGGAGAAGUGGUAAGGUCUGAAGACAUACAACUUGAACAGAACUGUCCUGAGGAGACCGUAGCACCGUGUCAGGUGUGGAGAGAGAAGAUAGUUAUACAUGAAGACCAGGCGCUGCCGGAACCACCGACUACGCUAUCCAGCGAAUCCCAGGACCACUGAGAAAACGGAGGGUCCCGUUUGGAGGACUUAAAAACACCGAACGCCUUGCCAAGAGGUAAACUUGGUAAUUAUCCAUUCUCUUUCAAUUAUUUAAAAUAGUUUGCUUAGUUAAUCAGGUUCAUAUCAUCUUAAAAAGAAAAUAAAAAUAUUAAAAAUAGUAAGCCCCAUGUGAGUAUGCUCAUGGCAUAAAACCCAUAAGUACAUUCACUGUGGUGGCAUAAAAAUAAAAUAAAUAUAUUCCUGUCCUAUAAAAAUAAAAUUAUAAAAAUAAAAUUAUGAUCCUACUAAUGAGUAACAUUUAUUGAGGAGGCUCAACAUGAUAAAGGCUAGAUAUUUAUGCUAACACUUAACUAGUUCCACAAAGCUUUGUUGUCUAUUUGAGCUCCACAGAAUUCAAGGAUCAAAGAAGACUAGCAGACGAAGGACAUCCUAAUCGCUGUCAGAGUGCUGCCGACAUUCAAAUACACCUCCGCCACCUGCUAGCUACAUCAGAAGAAAUUAUCCAGCUUGGGGGAGAGCACCCCCAUUUAUCCAGCUAAGUGUUCUACUCACGUUUAUACUUUACUCAAAUAAUAAAAAGAUGCAUAAUCAUAAAAACCCAAAUAAAGAUUUUAUGCUUAUAUAUAUCUUUGCUUAGUUUGCUAAAUAAAAAAACAAAUAAUAAAUCAAGAUAAGUAUUAUUUUUCUUUCUUACUAGUAUUCGGAAAUAAAAAAAGGCAUAACCAUGAAACCAAACAUAGUUUUUGUUUUGAGUAAUAUAUAAUAGUUUUAUGUAAUACUAAGUUUUAAAUAAAAUAAAAAGAAAGUUUGAUUCAACUCUAGGUAAUUGACAAACAUGAUAUGAGAAGGUCUGAGCUACUAUUUAACUUGUUCCAAGUUUUGCUAGAGUUCUGGAGAUUUUAUCUUUUGAAAAUCUAAAAAUUCAUAAAAAAUAUAUAUAUAUGAGAUCAUAAUACCUAGAGUCUUAUAAGAAAUAAAUAUUAAAACUGUGGGUACUUUCUUUGUUCAAGCCAUUGUUAAUUCUUGUAGUUUUGGUUGAGAGAAUUAUCAUGCUCCCAAGAUCAAGAUCUUUUUGUUUUAAAAAUAUAAAAGAUUCACUCUUCCGAAGUAUUAUUGCGUUAGAGGCAUGGGACUAUGCAAAAAUUUGAUUCGAAAAAAAAAGAGUGAGAUGAGAGGUAAAAAUGGACAAGUGUCCAAAGUAGAAUUAGGGGUACAAAGAUACCCACCUGAGUGGAAAAAAUGGACAUGUGUCCGACAGUAGAAUUAGGGGUACUUGGUGCCCACUUGAAAAAAAGAGACUAAAAAAAAGAGAAAAAAAAGGAAAAAAAUGAUAGCCCAUGGUCCCUCUAAUAAGCAAUAUGCCAGUAAGAGAUGACAAACUCUUCAAAAAGGUCAAAGGUCUUGAUCUAGGAGUAUGACAUUCCUCUCCCUUGCUCCGAGCAUUGACAUAGCAAAAUGCAAAGUAAGUAUGCUAAAAUAUUUAAAGCUCUACUUAUAUAUCUUUGGAGAAGAAGGCAAAUGCCUCAGAUUUAUUUUGGAAACUUACAAACAACUCCAGAACAAAGGUAAGAUAGAAGAACUUGAGACAUAGUGCUUGACUUGAUCAUUCUCUAAGAGAACCAUUAUUGCGGGGAUUUGAAUUAUCCCUACUUGAAGGUCUCUUAUGGAACCAGAAGUCUAGACCAUCAGCAUCUGAAAGAUUUAAGGUCGGAAUUCCUUCCUCCCUUGGAGAAUUUUGGGGUAUUGAUGGUUUAGGAUCGAUACCUAAAGGUUGGGAUUGAAGUGUUUGUGAUCUGGCUAUCGAAACUUUUUCUUCUUGUCUAGGAACUGGUUCUGUCUCUUUCUCAGGGAUAUAAAAGCUAGGAGACUUUCCACUUAAUAAAUCAAUCAAAUUUCAAGCUUCACUAGUAGGUAGGUGAUAGAAGGAUCCUCUAGAGGCUGUAUUCAAGGUUUGCUUAUCUUCCCUACUAAGGCCCUCAAAAAAGUGAAUUAGAAGAUCUUCUUCUGGAAUAGAAAGCUUUGGGCCAGUGAGAGUAAGGUUAAUAAAGCGGUCUCAUGAUUCGCCAAGAGAUUCUUCUUCUAGUUGUCUAAAAGAAAUAAUCUCACGCCGAAGUUCCGCCACUUUAGAGAUUGGAAAAUAUUUUAAAAGAAAACUAUUAUGUAACUCCUUCCAAUCUCCAUGAACACUUCCUACUUUGAGUUUGUACCAAUGUCUAGCUUUUCCUGUUAAAGAGAACGGAAAGAGCUUCCAUUUGAGUCUCAUCGGACAUUCCUUCUAUGCGAAGGAGGUCACAGACUCGAUAAAACUCUCUUAGGUGUUGUUGACGUUCCUUAAUGCUCACAUUUAACCAUCAAUUAAUCAUGGAAAAGGAUCCAAAUGCAACCAACACCCAGACUUAGGGUUUUAUCUGACAGAAUUCCACGAGUUUUGGUGUUUGUCUAUUUCUGCAGGGGGUUAUCAGGAAAUACCUAAGAAAGGCCCACACGUCGGGUUUACAUAGAGAUAUUAACAUGCCGCGCAAUUUUCUACCAUCUAGAAGACUCCAGAAGCCACGGGAGCGAACGGGAGACGUAACGGAGCCGGGCACUGGACGCCCGCCCUCCCUUACUGGGCGCCCGCCCUCCCCCCUGGACCAAUCAGGGUGAAGCUCGGGGAUCAUGCUCCACCGACCUAAUACUUCAAGGAAAACCACACGAUCAAUGUCGGUUUGAUCCGAUGGCCCAGAUUCAUCUGAAAAGACUAUAUAAGCAAGGCCCCCUGACCCCUGGAGAGCAUACCUCUUCUACAGAAUCAAAGUUCGGGUUUCAAUUCUUCAUCCAAGUAGAGAGGAUCCCUCUAGUUCUUCUAGUUCUACCUCUAGUUCAUCUAGAUCUAGUUCUAGUUCAUCUAGUUCUAGUUCUAGUUCCUCUAGUUCUAGUUCUAGUUAGUUCUAGUUGUAAUCUAGAAAAUAGGGAGAGAGAAGAGGAGAGCGGAGGAGGAGCCGGAUCUGUCGGAUCUUCCUCAACAUUGUACUUUUGCAGCAACUGGUUCGUCCUUCAUCGUUCUCCAGGUUCUUCAAUUCAUAAUUCUUGAGUUCUUUAAUUACUUUUAUUUACAUUCAAGUUAUUUAUUGGAUUCCCGCUUGCAUCAAGUGCUCUAGUCUUUAUAACGCUAGAGUAGUAAUUAAUAGAUUGGACAUGGUGUUUAGUCUUGCGAUUACCUAGAAUUGGACCCAAUCCUACGGAUUAAUGUGGUAGCCCUAGGGUAGUGACAGCCCUAACGGUCGACGUAUUCCACCACGUUCGGAUCGGUGUUUGUAGGACCAUAGUCAGACCUUCCUAGCCCCCUUCUCAUCUCUUUUUGUGGUUAGUGCUCUGAUGUCCCGAUAUAGAUAGUCUUGAAGUAAUUCUUGAUUCUUUGAUCAACUAGAGAACUCUCAGGAAACUUCCUCUCUUUCCACCAAAAAUAAUUAUAUAGUUAUCCUUGGGCGAUCUUGGAUCUUAAUUAGUACACUCACGUUCUCUGUUGAAAAUUGAUACUCUGGAAUACUCCCGGGUGAAAGCUACAUCGGUAUCCGUGCGCUUGCGGAUUUUUCUGUUUGCGUUUAAAAUACCCAACAGGUGUGUGUAUGGGUUUUCCUCACCUUCUCCUGAGAAAGGUUGUUUUUGAACAAAUUCUAUGUAUUCGGGGUCUAUCUCAAAACUAGAUGCAAUGAUAGGCUUUGAAGAUUUUGGUGGUUCAAGAUGUGUGCCUGUAGGUCUAUGAAAUUCAUAGAUAGACAUGUUUGAAUUCAUGAUAGACCAGAGAUCAAGGAUUAGAUAAGAAGAAAGAUUAGCAGAGAUGAGGCAAAGGAUAAAAGGAAUAUAUAUAUAUAAUUUUUUUUUAUUUUUUAGAAAAUGAUUAAGCUAGUUCGUAGUCAACUCAGCAACCAUUUCCCCGGCAACGGCGCCAAAAAUGCUUGUUGACACUUGCUAACACCACUUGAAUACUAGGUUGUCAUCCCCAGCAUGGCACUAGAGUGUACUAUGGUAUUUAUACACACACAGAUAAUCUGCAAGCGCACGGAUACCGUUGAAGCUUUUACCCGGUUAAAGGUUUUAUCGUAUCCACAGGGAAACGAGAGAACCAACUAUGCUCUAACUUAACCAAGAUAGAUAGAUAGGUGUAAAUAGGAAAGAUGGUAGAAUUGAAUAAGAACAAUAUUAAAGGUAAGAUAACAGUGAGUGAUAAAAUGGGAAUAUAGAAUAGAGCAAUUCUAGUAUAUGGGCGAUGGUAGCAGAAUAGAGAGGAUAACUAUGGUUUCUCUACUUCAAAGGGGUAUGUCUAUGUCUGGGACAAACCACGUGAUAAGAGUACACCACAAAGGAUGCUUAUCCUUAAGCCGAUAAACCCUACCCGUCCUGCUAACAAGAGGUGGACUACAUGGGACCAACGUAACUGUCACCUACGCGGCCUACCACACGAUCCAGCUAGACAGGGGAUAUCCACAAGUAAUCUAGGUCUAAGCACCUCGCUUACACCUAUACUACAACUCUCACCUAUAGCGUCCUAUAGAUUAGAAGUACUCAAAAGAGUUGUGAACCAGAACAUACAUAAUUAGUAAUUGCAUAAUGAAUUAGAAGUAGAUUACCAGAGUCAUCCCAUGAGCAAGCUUUAUUAGAGCUUGAUCAUGAUGAAGUACAACCAGAGGAAGAACCGACGGGCCGGCCUCUCCUCUAAUCCUCCUUCGCUCUCCAUCUCGCUACUAUCUAGAUCUACUCUAGUUUAGAGAAGAGAGGAGAGCUCUCAUCUCUAAACCCUAGCUUUUGCUCUAUCUAUGAAUAAUGAAUAAUGAUCAAGGGGUGCCUCCUCCAGGGGCCAGAGGGUCUGGUUAUAUAGUCCCCUCAAGUGAACCUGGGCCGUCGGAUCAAACUGACAUUGAUUGAACGGUUAUUCUUGAUCCUUUAGGUCGGUGGAAAAUAAUCCGCGAGGUUGAACAUGAUUGGCCACUGUAGCUGGGCGAGCAACCUAAGGACUUGGGCAGGCGCCCAGGUCCUGGCUCCGUUCGGCCACCGCUUCCUUCCCAUGGCUUCUGGAGUCUUCUAGAUGUAAAAUAAUUGCGCGGCACGUUGAUAUCUCUAUGUAAUCCUGACGUGUGGGCCUUUCUUCCGUAUUUCCUAAUAACCCCCUGUAGAAAUAGACAAACACCAAAACUCAUAGAAUUCUGUCAGAAAAAACCCUAAGUUUAGAUGUUGGUUGUAUUUGGAUCCUUUUCUUUAUUUAUUUGAUAAUUAAAUUUGAUACUUAAGGACCGUUGACAAUGGCGCGCGGACCUACUCGAGGCCUCCGUACCAGCGUGGUCUCGAGCCGUCCGGUCCUGAUGGCUUGAUGAUGAUUACGCGUGCCCCUGUAUCGUGCUCUAUGCGCCGUCGUGGACUAGUUUAUCUGCUGCACGCCUGUACGUCAUGGCGGCAGAUGCGUCGGAGUGGUUGCAGUGCUGUCUUUCGACGCCCGACCCUUCCUAGGAAGGAAACAUGUCUGGUCGAGAGUCGGACGCCGUGUAGCGCCUUGCUAGCUAGAGCGUUGACCUUGGAUGUCUCGAGGGGGCUUGAUUGGACGUUCCGACCAUGCUUCCUGCAUCCUGACAUGCUCUGGGUCGUUUGGUGGGGAAGGCUGCAAAAAGAAUGACGGGACGGGUGCCUGUUCCCUAUCACGCUUCCCGUGACUGGCGUGUUACGUGAGAACGCGACAGGCGCAUUAAAUGCCCUGGUUCCCAUGCGCGCGUCAGGCGGCGGGCGGCGUCCUUGCGUUCGACGCCUUCCGGUUCGCUCGAGCCUGUUUCCGUAUUCGACGGUCGUUGGUGCUCGAGCCCUGAUCGAUUCGCUCGACGCUCUUUCUGUCUUCGAUGCUGCGGUCGUCGAUGACUGUACGUGUGACUGGUUAGAGCGUCGAGUUGGGGGCCUCAACCUGCGUACGGGCAAUCUCGUUAUGUACAUCAGUUAGGAUACCCCUUAUUGAUACCCUCGACAGAAGUAUUGAUAGAGGCAAGUGAACAUGCAAUAGAUGAUGAUGGGAUGAAGGACCUAAAGACAAAAUUGGACCACCUAAUGUGGAAAAUGAAUGUGGGCUUUGUUUGUGUUGCAGUUGUUCUACUUAGUGUUGUAGUCAAGUACCUAAUCUAAUGAGGUUCGGUAAUGUUUAUGGAUCAACACAGCUUGUAUGUGUUCUAAAGGGAUCUUUUAUUUGUUUAAUUUUCACAGUGUGGUUCAAAAAACACUUGAUUUCGACAUAUAGUAUGUGAAUUCUAUACAUGUUCACACCCAAACAAAAUCAUAUAAGUAAUCAAAUAAAAAAGUCAUUAUCUCAGGAUUCUACCCCACAAACAAUUGGUGCAACAACUCCAUCGUCAAUGUACGUGUCAUCUUCCUCAUCUUCAUCGUCAUCUAAUAAGGCCACAUGGUCUGGUUCAUCAGCUGCUUUGGCCUGCACCUGAGCAAUAACAGAGACAUCCCCGAUUGUGCCUUGCUUGUCCUAUCUAGUCCAACUUGUUGUCAAAUCCUCUUGUCCACCAAGUAAAUCACUAAUGCCUUGGAAACCCACAUCAAUUGAGUCCUCCCGUUCUAAUUCAGGAAUGGCAAACAAGUCCCUUGGUUUCAUCGCAAUAACACUUCUCCAACCAGGUUUGUUUACCACAUCCACGUAGAACACUAGUUCUGCCUGUGUCACAAGAAUAUAGGGUUCAUUCUCAUACCUGUUCCGAGUACUAUCGAUAUCAAUAACCCCAAACUUAUCCUUAUUGUAUCCUCUGCCUCUGCUUGUACUGGCAGCAGGCACAUCAUACCAGUCACACUCGAACAAAAUGACUUCUUUUUGUCUAGGGAAUUCUAGUGAUAUCUUUCUUUUAAUCACCCCAUACCAGCACAUGUUACCAGUACUAGCAGGGUCUCCCUUGACAAGCACACCACUGUUUUGUGUGACGAGGUUUUUCUCAAUGUCAACUGUGCAAAACAGCCAAUUAUUGAUAUGGCAUCUAUGCAGUAAACGAGCUCAGUUGUCCUUCCACUCAGCAAGUGCAAACAUCUCGGCACUUACGUUCCGUUUGGCAUAUUGCUCUCUCACCUUGCCCUCGAACCGUCUUGCAAAUUGUUCCUCGUGUCGCUUUUUAAGAUUUCUUGUACCACCACGCAUCUGCAGUUCUUCCAUAUGCACACUACACAUAGAAAAGUUAUAUUAAUAAUGUUGGUUUGAAAUAUAAUAUUUAAAAAUAAUGUUGUUUAAUUAAUAUGUAACUUACUCGAUGAAUGGUUUAGUGUCAUCAUAAUUAGAAAUUAUGUAGUGCUUAAUCUUCCGCAUCUCAUCUCUGUCAAGGAGCUUGAUAGUCUGUCCUCUCCAGUUGUAAUCCAUUGCAGCAAAUAAGCUCUAACCAGAAGGUGGCUCAUUCACGGCAACACUUCCAUGACGAUCAGCACGAUUCAGUUUUGUGUCCAUGUCCAAGAAUCUAUAGCAAAAUGUAAGGCACUCCUCGAGUAUGUAUCCCUCGGCUAUUGACCCUUCAGGAUGCGCCUUGUUCCUCACGUAUCCUUUUGUAGUAUGUAGGUACCGCUCCACUGGGUACCUCCAUCUAUAACAAACGGGCCCUCCAAGUUUAGUCUCUUCAGCUAGAUGAAUAGGCAAAUGCAUCAUGAUAUCCAAAAAUGAAGGUGGGAAUAACAUCUCUAGUCGGCAUAGAGUGUCAACAAUUGUACUACUAAGUUUGUCCAAGUCUGCUUCCCCCAUCUCCUUGGAACAUAGUGCAUCGAAGAAAUUACUAAGCUGGAUCAAUGCAACGACAACUUGUUGUGGCAAAAUCCUCUGCACCACUAAGGGUAACAGUUUCUAUAGAAUUAGAUGGUAAUCAUGAGAUUUCAAGCCAGACAGCUUAGAUGCGUUUAGGUCAACACAUCUUACUAUAUUGGAGGAGACCCCAUCAGGCAUUUUCAGUCCAUAUAGAAAUUUGCAUAAAUUAUCCUUCUCAUCAUUAUCUAACUUGUACAAGGCUGCUAGCAAGGUAUACUUAUCUUUAUUGAUCACAGGAUGUUGAUCUGGUCUCAUCCCUAGUUGUUGCAUGUCAAGCCAGGCCUUCUCCCCAUCCUUACACUUACCUUCCAAUUCUAGCAGAGUGCCUAAUAUGGUCUCACAUAUAUUUUUCUCAAUGUGCAUGACGUCUAAAUUAUGCCUGAUGAGCAAAGAAGACCAGUAUGGGAGCUUGUUGACGGUCGUUAAGUACCAAAUAUAAUCAUUAAAUAAAUAAAGAAAAGGAUCCAAAUGCAACAACCACCCAGACUUAGGGUUUUAUCUGAUAGAAUUCCACGAGUUUUGGUGUUUGUCUAUUUCUGCAGGGGGUUAUCAGGAAAUAUGGAGGAAAGGCCCACAUGUCGGGUUUACAUAGAGAUAUUAACGUGCCGCGCAAUUUUCUAUCAUCUAGAAGACUCUAGAAGCCACGGGAAUGAACGGGAGGCUGAGCGGGCCCGGGCACAGGGCGCCCGCCCUCCCCCUUUGGGCGCCCGCCCAGGUGUCUCGGCCAAUCAAGCCCCGCCUCAUGAAUUAUGCUCCACCAACCUAAAGGAUCAAGGAAAACCGUGUGAUUAAGGUCGGUUUGAUCCGACGGCCCACGUUCACUUGAGGGGACCAUAUAAGCACGACCCCUGGCCCCUGGAGGAGAGCAAUCCCAUCAUUCAUUAGCAUAUUUUCUAGAGAGGAUUUAGAGAGAGAGGUCCCUCUAGGGUUCCAACCUCAUAGGGCUUAGCAUCCAAUGUGAGAUUAGAAUUAGUUCUUAUAGAUUGAGAGAGAUAGAGUGGAGAUGUAGAUCGGAGGAAGCCGGCCUGUCGGUGUCUACUCUAAGGUUGUACCUGCGGGAUCAAGUCUCCUAACCCGAGGCUUGCUCCUAGGAUUCUUCAGUAUUUUGACUUCUAAAUUAUAGUAAGUUCUUUGUUCUUAUUGUUCUCUGGUUUAUGAGUUUACUUUAAUCUCUUCCGGUAGAGUUUAGAGUAAUCAUUGCUAGCAUAAACAUGGUGUUUGGGCUAGGGUACUCAUAGAUAUCCCCUAUCUAGCCAGACCGUGGAAGUAGCGGGGAACGUGACAUUUCCGUAGCUACCUUUGUGGCCCACAAUCCUGUUAGCAGGAUCGGUAAGGUUUAUAGGUGCGGGUCGAACAUCCUUUGUGGUGUCUAGAUUCCAUAAGCCUCCCUAAUAGAAUAGUAGAUUAUCAUUACCAAGGUUAGAACGAGAGUGUGGUUGUAGCCUUCUCUAUACAUCGCUCACAUCAAAUCACAUUGUUUGUAGCCUAAAGGGUAGUAGCAAUAGAUUUGGUUAGUCACAUGCACGCUUUCUCCCAUUAGUAAAAAUAUAAAUACGACUCUGGAUAACCUCCCGGGUGAAAUGCUCACCAAUAUCCAUGAGCUUGCAGAUCAUUUCCUUAUGGCAUUAACAAAUAUCAACAGAGCUCAAAAAAAUACUCUUCUUCAUCCAGUUGUGCCAUCUUUCAUCAUCAUCGUGCUUCCUUUUUUUGUAGACGUCUUUCCAAAACUCACUUGUUCAAAACUUUCAUACUGCUCAAGUACCUGUGCACCAGUUAGUGGUACUGGUGCCUCCCUGGUUUCGACCAUGUUGUUGAAGCUGACCAUGUUCUGGUGCUAAAUAUGGUCCAAGGGUAAGAAACGUCGACUGGCCAUGUAGCAGUGCUUUCUCCCAUUCUUCAACCACAAAAAAUCAGUAUCUUUGUGGCAAUAUGGGCUUGCAAACUUUCCUUUGGUGCUCCAACCAGACAACAUGGCAUAUGCUAGGAAGUCAUUAAUUGUCCAAAGUAAAAUAGCACAUAAUCUAAAGUUUUUAUUGGUUUGUGCAUCCCAUGUUCUAACACCCUUUUCCCAAAGCACCUUGGGCUCCAAUAUAAGAGGCCUCAAAUAUACAUCAAUAUCCAUUCCAGCAGAAUUUGGACCAGGGAUCAACAUUGACAUCAUCCAGUUUGAUUGUUUCUGACACAACCAAGGAGGCAAAUUGUAAGGUAUUAGGACAACAGGCCAUAUGGAUUAGGUUGUACUUUGCAUCCCAAAGGGGUUGAAGGCAUCAGAAGCAAGACCCAGCCUAACAUUACGAGCUUCUUUUUCAAACCACCUAUAUUUCUUAUCCACGUGCUUCCAUGCCUUCGAGUCAGCAGGGUGACGCAUUUUCCAAUCAUUGACCCUCUCUUUCUUAUGCCAUUGCAUGUCCUCCGAUGUGCUCUUCGACAUAUACAUUCUUUGCAGCCGAGGAAUAAGAGGGAAGUAGCGUAGGAUCUUCACGGGAAACCGUUUCUUAAAAGUAGUACCAUCGGAGGUGUUCUCGACAACUUUCCACCUAGACUCCCCACAUGUGGGGCAUUCCUACAGAUUUUCAUUUUCCUUAAAAAAUAACAAACAAUCAUUCUUGCAGGCGUGUAUCUUGACAUAGUCCAAGCCUAGAUCUCAAACCACUUUUUGAACUUUAUCCAAUGAGUUAGGGAUACAAUGGCCUUUAGGGAGAACCCUUGAGAACAAUUUAAGUAUGGCCUCCAAACAUGCGUUACUAAUACCAUACAUGUACUUUAUCUGAAAAAGUUGCACGAUAAAAGAAACCUUAGAUUGGACGGUUAUCCUUGAUCCUCCAGGGGCCAGGGGGUCUGGUUUUAUAGUCCCUUCAAGUGAAUACGGUCCGUUGGAUCAAACCGACAUAGAUUGAAUGGUUAUCCUUGAUCCUUUAGGUCGGUGGAGAUCUUUCCCGAAAGAGUGUCCUGAUUGGACUCCAACAGGGGGCAGGCGCCCAGGGCAACAGGGCAGGCGCUCAGUGCCUGGCCCCAUUCGGCCUCCGCUCCCUUCCUGUGGCUUCUGGAGUCUUCUAGAUGUAAGAUAAUUGCACGGCACGUUAAUAUCUCUAUGUAAUCUCGACGUGUGGGCCUUUCUUCCGUAUUUCCUAAUAACCCCCUGCAGAAAUAGACAAACACAAAAACUCGUGGAAUUCUGUUAGAUAAAACCCUAAGUCUAGAUGUUGAUUUCAUUUGGAUCCUUUUCUUUGUUUAUUUGAUAAUUAAAUUUGAUACUUAAGGACCGUCAACAAACUCCCCCAAGCUUACCUCUUGCUCGUCCCUGAGCAAGGAUAGGCUUAGCUAUGGAUCAUAAGUUGUUGCAAUAUCUUUAAAAAUUAACGGUACAUAUGCUUUUAAAUAAGAUCUCAUCUCUGAGUUAGAGUAAACUGUCAAGACUUAAAACUUACUUACUUUACCUUUCAGCAUGGGACUUGUAAUCAUCACUUCUGUCUUGAGUGGUUAAAAGAUAGAACAGUCUAGUCAAGUGCCAUGUCUCUUAUUCUUGAUCAGCUAUAGCUCUGGAGUUUUUGCAGAUUUUUAAAUAAAACUCAGAGAUUCCUUGUAUGACUCUAUCAGAUCUCUCAUUUGUGGUAUUUCUGGAUCCUUACCAAGGCAGUGAUUGUAUAUGCCUUCUCUCAAUAUAUAUGGUAUUUGUGGUAUAAGGCAUAGUGACAUUGCCUUCUCUCUCACCCUACUCUAAUAAGGCUUUAAUAUCUGGAGCUCAUAGGUGGGAGAUAAAGUAUACAUACUUACAAGAUAUUUAUUGUAUAGUCAAACCAUAGAUCCAAAGAAAAAAAUCAAUAAGUCAAAUCAAGAUGUGCAUGUGUGGUAAAUGAAUGGUAUAUGGUGAUGAUGGUGAUAACAAUGGUGAAAGUCUAAUUCUACUUUGCUCUUCGAGGGGAUACAUACCUUCCUUGCUUUCUGAAAGUUUUGAAGAGAAUGAGAUGCUCUAUAUUUUCUUUUUCUUUCCUCUCAGGUGAGUAUCUUGUACCCCUAAUUCUACUGUCAGACACUUGUCCAUUUUUACCUCUCGUCUCACUCUUUUUCUUUUCUUUCGAGGUUCUGGGCACUUGCCCCUUUUUAUUUCCUCGUAUUCUUUUUUCUUUCUUCUGUUUUUUUCUUUUUUAGAGCACUCAUCUCUUGAGAUAAUAUAGCAAGUGGUAGUAACAAGAUAACUUGAGCAUUUAUUUCACAAGGGAAAAACAGAAAUGUUUUUGGCUAUUCUCUCCUGGAUUAGGAGUAGAAUAUUUUUGGGUGGUUCUGGAGAUGGAAAUGAGUGGAUAUAUGUGGAUGAUACUUCCAGAGUAGAAGUAGCAUAUGUGAGUGAACGUGCAAGUGAAUCUUGAUUUAACCAUAUGACAAGCUCUUAAGGGUCUACACAGCUUGACCACACUCAAUGCUCAUAAGCAGUAAAUAGUAAAUGUGUGGCUCAAAGUCUAGCAAUCAUGUAUAUAUGGCUGUGGUAGGAAUUUAAACUCUCAUCAUAUAGAAACUCAUUAUGCAAUAUUUUAAAGAUUUUCAAAGAUAAAAUUCUCCAGAAUUCUAGCAUCUCUAGGAACAGAUAAACAGCAGCUCAACCUUCACAUAUCAUAUUCGUUAACAACUUAGACUUCAGAUCAAGUUUACUUCCCACAAGUUUAGGUUUAGGGAAAGCUUUAAAUUAUAACAGUUAUGUCUAAACUUGAGAGAAAACUUAAAAUUCGUAAAUUAGGCAGAGCAACUAUUCAUCAUAUUCAUGCUAGAGUUUUAUUUAGAUAUAGAUUAGCAUAGCCACUUUAUUUAUUUAUUAAACACACUAAGCAAAAGAUAUAUAUAUAUAAGCACAAGAUCUUUAUUUGUUUUUCCAUAAUUAUGUAUAUCUAUAUUUUAAUAUAGUAUAAGUAUAAAGAUAGAUAGAAAUACUUAGCGGGUUGAAUGGGGGUGCUCUCCACCAAGCUAAAUUUUGACGUAAUUUUUUUCUUGAUGUAGCUAGCAGGUGGCAGAGGUGUAUUUGAAAGUCGGCAGCACCCUGACAGCGAUUAGAAUGUCCUCCGUCUGCUAGUCUUCUUUGAUCCUUAAAUUUUGUGGAGCUCAAAUAGACAACAAAGCUUGUGGAACUGAUUAAGUGUUAGCAUAAAUAUCUAGCCUUUAUCAUGUUGAGACUCCUUAGUAAAUAUUACUCCUAUUUUUAUAUUUUCAUUUUUAUAGAGCAGAAAAAUAUUUAUUUUAUUUUUACGCCACCACAGUGAAUGUACUUAUGGGUUUUAUGCCACUAGUCUACUCACAUGGGGCUUACUGUUUUUCAACAUUUUUAUUUUCUUUUUAGGAUAGUAUAAAUAUAACUAAUUAAGUAAACUAUUUUAAAUAAUUGAACGGAAAAAGAUAACUACCAAGUUUACCUCUUGGCAAGGCGUUCGGUGUUUUUAAGUCCUCCGAACGGGACUCUUCUCUUUCUCAAUUGUCCUAGGAUUCGUUGGGUGGCGGAGUCGGUACUUCCGGCAAUGCCUCUUCUUUAUGUAUAGUUAUCUUCUCUUUCCAUACCUAACUCGGUGCUACGGAAUAGUCUGGAUCAUUUUGUUUAAACUAUACGUCUUCUGACCUUACAACUUCUCCUUCAUAGUCUGCCCAUCCAUCCUUGAUGAUUUGCCUCCUCUGGUUGCAGUUGCGUCGUUUUCUUACCUGCAUAGAUUCUUCAAAGAUGUAGUUAGGGUCAGUAAAAUAACGGCGUACCUUCUCUGAGGGGAAGUGCAUAUGGACUUCUCCAGUUCCAAUGUAGAUUUUUGCUUUAACGGUGCUGAGAAACGGUCUUCCAAGGAUGAUGGGUGUCGACGAAAGCUGGUCAGCAGUCUACCUUGGGGUAUACCCACGGUAGUAGUUUAUCGGUAGACGGUGCGCAAACUACGAACUCGAUGGUGACGCAAGACACAGGCGAGCUUUUUAUCCAGGUUCGGCCGCCGAGUUGGCGUAAUACCUACGUCCUGCGUCUGAUUGCAUUGGUUUGGAUUGAGAGAAUAAUGUGUGUAUGACUUGUCCUCUAGGGGAUCCCUGCCCCUCUUUAUAUAUCCUGAAGGGACAGAGUUACAAGCAAAGUAUCCUAUUUGGUACAAAAUCUUGUAGCCUUGCGGUGCACGCCGACCAGUCGUGCGCCGCACGUCUUCAUCUUGUGGGCCGAGCCACCUCUGAUGGUGCGGCCCAUAUAGGCCCAUGAGGGUAUAAGGGUUUAUACCCCCACAGCUAGUCCCCGAGCACCAUGUAUUAUGAUGUAACACGCUGUCUUGAGCUUCUUCGAUCAGUGAGGCUUGACGUCUUCAAUAAGCAGGAAUGUCGCCCAAACGGUUGCAACGGUAUUUUGACCAACUCAAAAGACAGUUGAUCAACAUUGACCUCAAAGAAGCAGGUUGUUCGAAGAAUGCAUGGUGCUCCAAAUUAAAAAAGAUUUCUUUCCUGGUGAAGUGUGCCCACUUUACUUUUUCUGAAAAGUAUAGACCUCAAAAAAGCAAGCAUAUUCACCGCAAGGUGAAGUGUGCCCACUUAGUCCCCGAGCCUGGUAGUAGGUGACGUAGGCACAUGAUGCCAGGGUCAAAAGAAAAGUCCUCAAAGAAAUUCUGAAACUGAGAUGCAUCGCCAGAUGCAUCGUACCGAUGUAGUCCCCGAGCUUGCUGGAAGACGAAGUAUGAGCCUUGUAGCAAGGUCUAAAAAAUUGAAUUUACCAGUCCGUCUGCAAUUGAAUAGACUAAUCGACCAGUCCCCGAGCAUAUAACGCUCGGUGGUCGGUACAGUCCCUGAAUUCUCAAAUUGGUGGGCUGGUCGACCAGUCCUCGAGCGUAUAGUGCUCGGUGGUCGGUACAGUCCCAAAAUUCUCAAAUUGGUGGGCUGGUCGACCAGUCCCCGAGCGUAUAGUGCUUGGUGGUCGGUACAGUCCCAAAACUCUCAAAUUGGUGAGCUGGUCGAACAGUCCCCGAGCGUAUAGUGCUCGGUGGUCGGCACAGUCUUCGAGCACAGCAUAGAGAGUAGUCGACAAGUCCCCGAGCGUGGUUGGGAACGUAAACGUGCUCGGUGGUCGGAGCAGUCCCCGGGCAUAGCAUAGGGAAUAGUCGACGAGUCUCCAAGCGUAGCUUGUCGACUGGGCCAAACUCCUGAAAAAUAAAUAUAAAGAAUUGGUAGUACAUGAUGUAUAAAUAACCUUUAGAUAAAAAAUCAGUACUAAGAUAAGUUUUAGAUUUGUUCUUAUAAAAUUAGCACGAGUAGUUAAUUCAUCCUAGAGCUUUAACCAGCUCUGGUCUAGCCAACAAUCAGCAUGAGGUGCGGAACCUAGGCACGCGUAGGAUUGUCAGCCACGUCAGAGAGCUACUGCCGACCACCCGGAACGCAGAGGGCGGAUCUCGUGCACGUGUAGGGAGGCGUCGGAGACAGUACCGGCUCUGGAAAGCUCGUGUAGGAGAAAAAACUAGUCGGCUAAAAAAGUUGUUUUGAAGAAUAAUAAUCUUAAAAAUAUUAUGCCAAAAAUAAAUAAAAUAUUAGAAUUGUACUUAUCUUUGGACGAAAGUCUGGUUGGGAGAGUUGCUUGACUUGUUGUCGUGAUGGUGGUCGCGGCUGUCGUAGCGCCAUUCUUCACGGCGAUUAUUAUUGCGACUCGUGGUGAGAGCAAGUAGGCCAAACAACUUGGUCGAUAGCCUGAGCAGGUCGGUGUCGUUGAUCUGCCUCCCUUUGUAGCAAAGAAGCGGGUGACGCGUUGUCGGCGUGGUCGGAGACGUUGCUGGAGUAGUUGGAGUCGUAGCCAGCGUGGUUGAAGCCGCCGCCGACGUCGAUGAAGAAGUGGUUGGUGCAGAUCGGAUCCACACCUCCUCUGUGGUCGUGGCGGUGUAGCUGUUGAAGCUGACGGUGAACGUGAAGUCGCCUGCCAUGGCCACGAAGUCAGGGAUGAUGACCAUCUCGUUCGUCGGGAGAGCUGUACGCGUACCCCCUACCUGGCGCGCCACUGUCGACGAAAGCUGGUCGGCAGUAUACCUUGGGGUAUACCCACGGUAGUAGUUUAUCGGUAGACGGUGCGCAAACUACGAACUCGAUGGUGACGCAAGACACAGGCGAGCUUUUUAUCCAGGUUCGGGCGCCGAGUUGGCGUAAUACCUACGUCCUGCGUCUGAUUGUAUUGGUUUGGAUUGAGAGAAUAAUGUGUGUAUGACUUGUCCUCUAGGAGACCCCUGCCCCUCCUUAUAUAUCCUGAAGGGACAGAGUUACAAGCAAAGUAUCCUAUUUGGUACAAAAUCUUGUAGCCUUGCGGUGCACGCCGACCAGCCGUGCGCCGCACGUCUUCAUCUUGUGGGCCAAGCCACCUCUGAUGGUGCGGCCCAUAUAGGCCCAUGAGGGUAUAAGGGUUUAUACCCCCACAAUGGGUGGAUCGUAUUCAUCUUCUCCCUUGUCAAUAACCUGAAAGUCUGUGUAGACAAAAUGAUCGUCUAUUUUGACUCGGACAUUAGUUACUAUUCCUUUAACCUCUCGAAAUGUCUGAUCUGCCAUCUGGAGCUGAAUGUAUGUUGGUUUUAGGGGCAUGGUUCCGAACAAGAGCCGAUAGGUGACUGCGGCCAUUAUGUUGACGCCCGAUCCGUUGUCGCAAAACGUCUUGUAGAAGCUGUAUCCAUUUAUGGAGCAGUAGAUGCUUGGCAUUCCUGGGUCGUCCUUCUUGGUCAAAAACGGCAACUUAAGUUGUUGAUCUUGACCUCCAUGAACUGCAGUGACCAUCUUAACUGACUCGGUCCACACUUGCUUGUUCCUGUUCCUCCUGUUGGUCCUCUUCCUUGAUUCAUGUCUGGAGUUAUCUGGAAUUUGUGUAGUCUUGUUCUUGAAGGAAAAUGUCUCCUUUCUCCCUUUGAUGUAGAAACUGAUCUUGGCAGCACUGGCGUAGAUGACAGCUCCCGAGGUGUUCAAGAAUGGCCUCCCUAAGAUGAUGGGUGCUCUCUCAUCAUUACCGGUCUCUAUCACCACGAAGUCUGCUGGGGCAUACAAGGUACCAACUCGGACACAAAGGUUGUUCAGUAUUCCUUUUGGAAAACUUAUCGUCUGAUCUGCAAACUGCAAACACAUGCCGAUGGAGAUCGGAUGACGGGGCGUCCUGGAUCGCCUCUCUUGACCGGCAGAAGGUCAGUAGAGAAUUCAGUGACUGGGUUACUCCAAUUACCUGCAUCAAACAUGUCUACAAGAUUUGCAGAUUCUAAUCCUUUCGGUUGUGAUGGUAUAUCGGGGUUAGUAAUAGGAACAGCAGCAGCUAUUUGAUUUAACUGAGAUUCAAUCAUUUUAUUAAAGCUAAUUUGAUUCUUCAUGGCAGUAGAGAAAUUAUCCAUUCUAUUAUUUAUAUUUUCUAGCAUUUUAUCAUUAGAUGCCAAUUUCUUAGAUAGGUUAUCCACUAGCUUUCCUUGAUUAGACAAUAACUCUCUCAAAGGUGGAAAAUUAUUAGUAUUGUUAUAGGAAUUAUUACCUUGAUAAUUACCUGAGUAGUUAGGCCUUUGUUGAUUCCAACCUUGAUUUUGUUGAGGACGGUUGUAGUAGUUGUUGUUGUUAUUGUUGAUGUAGUUCACAUCCUCAAGUAUGUCAGGACAGUGAUUGCCUGAGUGUCCAGUGUCUCCACACUCCUCACAAGUCAUGUGAGAGUCGUAGAUGUGCAUAACUUCUUUCUUAUCUCCAGCUCUAUCAUCGAGCUUCUUCAUGAGCAGGUCUAGCUUUGCAGACAACAUGUCUACCUCCUUGAGCUGAUGCAUACCUCCACCUCUCUUGCGUGUCUGGGUUCUCUCUUCAUUCCAACUUUGGUUGGAUGCCAUCUUCUCCAUAAGAGCUAUGGCUUGUGAUAUGGUAAGUGAUAAGAAUGCUCCUCUAGCUGCAGCAUCCAUGGUCUCUCGGGCACUGUUGCCGAGCCCAUGAUAAAACGUCUGCAUCAAUAGCCAACUCUCCAUUCCAUGAUGAGGACAUUCUAGGAUAUAGUCUUGAAAGCGCUCCCAUACUUCUCGAACAGAUUCAUCAUUUUGUUGCUGAAAACUUGUAAUCUUCCCACGGAGAGCAUUGGUCUUGCCCAUGGGAAAGAACUUAGCUAGGAAGUUUGUUGAGCAGAGUGCCCACGUAGUAUUCUCCUCCUUUGUAGCGUAGAACCACUGCUUCGCUCUUCCUAACAGUGAGAAUGGGAAGAGGCGAAGUAGUAUAGCAUCUCUGGGGACUCCUGAUAUGGUGAAUGUGCUGCAUAUCUCCAGGAAGUGUUGGAGAUGAGCACUAGCAUCUUCGUGUGCAUUCCCACAGAACUGGUUGGAUUGCACCAUGUUGAUAAGUCCAGGCUUGAGCUCAAAGUUGACGUCGAUCUCUGCAGCAGGUCCAGUGCGGAUGUUGUCUGUAGUGGGAGCUCAGAACUCGCGGAUUGAUUUGUUCGCCAUGGCUUCGAACUCUGAAGACAAGUUCUGGUGAUCUUCUUGAUUGGAUGAAGCUUCUUGCUAAAGUGUUGAUGAUCUCUUCUUGAGCUUGGCUCUUGUUUUUCUGAAUAAUGCUUCGGGAUUGUCAACAAAAUUUCCUAGAAGAUGUCUUCUAUUCAUACAUUACCCUGCAUAAGAUAAAAUAGAAAAAUAUCAGGGUAAAACUGUAUGAGAGAAUAGAUAAGCUCAAUAAUAUUAGUGAUGCGAAUGAUAACUCAAAAUCUAUAUCCAUUCUUGAUUAGUAAUCAACCUUCCCCGGCAACGGCGCCAAAAAUGCUUGUUGGGUAUUCUUAACAUCAUUACCAAAAGUAGACAGUUUUGUAAUUCUAGUAACGGUGCCAAAAAUGCCAAACCUAUCCCUCAUACCACUUAAGCCAAGUUGUCAUCCCUAGCAUGACAUGAGAGACACGGUAUUGAAAUAUGCAAUUGCUCUUCUAAAUAAAUAAUGAAUGGGAUCUGCAAGCGCACAGAUUAAUACCGAUGUAGCAUUUUAACCGGGAAGUAUUUCAGGUAUCAUUAUUUAUAUUUUUACCACUAGGAAGGGAUUAACAAUCAUCAAUAUUGAUUACAGAAUAGAAUAUGAGAUUGAGUAUCUAUCAUUGCAUGUAUAAUUGAGAACAUUUAUAUAAUUCUUUCAUACAGGGAUAAGUGUCACAUAAAAGAUAUAUGAAGUAAUGAAUAGUGACAAAGAUAAUUAAUUUGAUCAGCAUAACUUAGCCACAUAUAAAUAUGAUAAGCACCUCAAUUAGAUACUCUAGAAAGUCAUUAGCAUGGAAUUAGAACCAACUACAAGAAUAUUUCCUAAGUUAGUCUCAACUAUAUAGUCUAGCAUUAUCAUAGUUAGUGCAAGCAUACUUAGCAAUCAUUGCAAGACAAGACUACGCCCAUGCAUAGUGAUAUUAGCAAGGUAAAUGAGAAACAUAGCAAUCACUCCCCUAUUAUAAUGUUGCUCUGCCAACCCAAUACACGAGAGGGGGACUAUAUAACAAUCAAUAAAGCUGUCACUAUCACGAACUACCCCACGAUUUGGCAUAUUGGGUACAAUCGUAGAUAAAUACGGUAUAAGCACCACGCCUACACAAUAUCUGUCAUUUACCCAUGGAUCCGAUGGAUAAACGCUAUACGAUCCUAAGCAUGUAUAUUGAUCCAAUCUAACUAAGCUAAGUACAUAACUAUGAUAAACCAAGAACAAUGUAAUCUUGAAUAUAAGCAAGUAGAGCAAAGUCAUAAGCAAUAUAUUGAAAUAGAACAAAGUCAUAUUCAUAAUAUUGAAGAACAAAGAUGAUUAGAAGAACAAUUAGAAGCAUAAUUAGAGAAUUACCAAGAAUCCUCCUGACAGAUCCGGAAACCAAUCGAAGAUUGACUCCUUCUAGUUCUAAUCCUAUGUAGCUAUGCUAAUCUAGAUGUCUAAUUGAUGUGGUGGCUCUAAUCUUGAUCAGAGGCUUCUUCUCCCUUGAGGAAUAACGAAUUAGGGUUUAGAGGCUCUCUCCUCUAGGGGCCAGGGGGUCUGGUUUUAUAGUCCCUUCAAGUGAAUAUGGGUCGUUGGAUCAAACCGACAUAGAUUGAACGGUUAUCCUUGAUCCUUUAUGUCGGUGGAGAUCUUUCCCGAAAGGGUAUCCUGAUUGGACUACUACAGGUGGCGGGCGCCCAGGGCAAUUGGGCGGGCGCCCAGUGCCUGGCCCCGUUCGGCCUCUGCUUCCUUCUCGUGGCUUCUGGAGUCUUCUAGAUGUAAGAUAAUUGCGCGGCACGUUAAUAUCUCUAUGUAAUCCCGACGUGUGGGCCUUUCUUCCGUAUUUCCUGAUAACCCCCUACAGAAAUAGACAAACACCAAAACUCGUGGAAUUCUGUCAGAUAAAACCCUAAGUCUAGAUGUUGAUUUCAUUUUGAUCCUUUUCUUUGUUUAUUUGAUAAUUAAAUUUGGUACUUAAGGACCGUCAACACCUACAGACUACUCUACAGACCUACUGCUCGGGCUGAUCACCCGCAUGGCUCGCUUCUCCCGCCGAAGGCGUCAGGGCCACCGGCGCCUGGCUGGUUGAGACUGCAGGCGUCGACCGCCCAUAUCCGGCAAUCGAUGCCCCCGACAAGUCCCUGGCCGACCUGUCUGAUCCCGGCUGAUCGGGGGGAGUUGAUGUCCCGCAGAGAUUUAUAUCGCUGAUCAUUGUCGACGAUAGGUCCAGCAGAUUGACGCGAAGGUCAUCCGCCUCCCUUGGACCAACUCAUUUGGAUAUCCCCGCUCAAGCCGGAACAAAUCAACCAGGGGUAGUGGGCGCGUACCAUGCUGAGGACGUGCGCUCAGGCAAACUCACCAGCAUCCUUAACAAAUUCCUGAAGCCAGCCCCACGCGUGCGGCGCCUUUUCGACUAGGGUUAGCUUCAGCGCGCGGGGCUGGUCCUCGGGGAGCUCGGGACUAAUCAGGUCAAGUACCGGAGCUACUCCUUUCCAGAUCAUGAUGCAGUUGGUCUUCCAGGAGUCCCGUUCCUUGACCAGCUCGUCCAGGUGCUUCUUAGUGUUGACUUUGAGCACUACGAUUGAGUUUUCAAGAAAAACCAAGCAAACAGUCAGUUUAAACAAGAGGAAAAGAAAACCGCGUGGUCGAAAAGGGCGAAACGGUUCUUACCAGCCAGCUCCCGACUCUUGUUCCUCAGCUCCUCGCCAGCCUUCCGCUUGGUAUCCAGCGCACCGGCACGCUCCUUCUCGUGAUCAUUAUCGGCUAGUCGCCGAUUCAGAUCCAGCAGGCGUUCUUCCUGAGCUGCCUUCUCAGCCGCCUCCUUCUCGGCCUCCAACUGAAGGCGGUCCACCUCAUCGGUCAGGGCCUUGUUCUCGGCAACUAUACCCUCAAUUUGGUCGAAGCACCUCUUCCGGUACUUCGCCAUUUUCAUUGCACCCUACAAGAAAUAUACAUGUCAUACAGUGAACAAGCAACAGUACACACAUAUUCUGGCAGAAUACUAGACCACUUACCUUAACUUCGUCAACGAGCCGCUUAGCAGCGCGCUCUACCCUCGCCGCCUCCUCAGUCUCGGCGAGCUCUUCGUGGCCGGCCCUGUGGUCCCCACCCUGGCGCCACACAUAAACGUGUUGGCGACCAUCGCAGGGACGCCCCUGGAUCUCCUCCACUUCAUCAUUAGAGGCCGCUUCGGCCUCGAUGCCCUCCCCGCUACCCCCGGCCAUGGUAACAGGUAUCAUCGGACCAUUACCCCGGUUAUGGGAGCCCUCUGGCGUGCAAGCAUCUGCCGGGACUGGAGUUGGGGCCCUCUCUGCUUCAGUAGGAGGGGGGGUCGGGACCUUGUCUCCCUCCUCCGCAACACUGCUUGGGGGAGGCAUCCUUUCCGUCUCAUCAGCCCUUGUCGGGGUCCUCGCCCCAGCCUUGUCUCAAGCCGGGUCCUCCUCGGUGGUCUCCGUCACGGACACAGCCGCAGGCUGCUCCACGGGCCGCUCACAAGCAGUCUGCCCGGCGGCAUCCUUGUCAGCAACGGCCGGCUCGGUUGUUCUCAAGCCGCCAAUGUUGCUCGGAUCAACGUCCGAGGCCGCACUAACAAGAAAGAGCCGAUGCAAAUUCCCAUAACAACAGUAUACUUUGUAAAAACAAAGAAAGUGCAGAAGACAUGUUUUAGAACUCAAAGGUCGGAGCUCCUGUGCGUCGCCGCGAAGAACCUUCUCCUGGUCCUCCCAGCUGCCGCUGCUGCUUCUGCCCCUCCAAGUCGUAUUGGCUCGGUGUGCAGGCUAGGAGGAUCACUGGUUACCUGACCAGCGUCAAUCGGUGCGACGUCAGGGCGGCUGGGCGGUCUUCGGACCAAAGAUGGCGCAGCCUCGUCCUCUUCAUCCUCGUCAUCGGCGAUCCUGAUGAGCCAACGACACUUCGGGGCUUGGCUGGUCUCCGUCGGCAUUGCCUCCGUGGGGGAUGGCUCCACAGCCAUUGGCCUUUUCCCCGCCACCCUGUCUUCAGUAGUUGGUGCCGGUCGGUUCUGGUCUUCCUCGCUGCUGGUGUGUUGGAGACACCGAGUAGCAUUGUCCGCCGGCGGGUCCACCCCUGCAGGAUGAUCCAUACCGGGUGCCAGCGACACGUACAACGAGCACCGGUCAAUAUCUCCUAUCUGCGAUACAACAGCGACAAGUCAUCAGUCAAAAGUCAUCAGUCAACAGGCAACAGUAUUCACAUAGCAAUACAAAUAAAUAAUGGUAUUCAUUUACCUUAGGAGCUGGUUGGCCCAGCUUGUAGGCAGGCAUCCGGUCAUCACUUCGAACGAAGUUAUCAUCAAUAAGGUUGAAUAACUCGUUCAUCAACCGCUGGACCUCUGCCUUCUCCAAACCGUCCCAGUGCAUCCUGGUCGGGUCUUGGCUUCCUGCGUACUCGUACGCCGAGUGCACCCUCCUCUGGCAGGGCAUUACUCGUCGCACGAGGAAGUUCCCGACCACUCCUAGUCCGUCCAGGCGGGACCAGUCGAUCAGGGUCAUCAUCUCCGACACUUGACCGGUGUACUCAGGCCGAUCUGUCCAGCUGACCAUCUUCUCGGGAAUAUAUCCAACGUUGCAAAAAGUGGCGCUGCCCGGUUCUUCCCUAAUGUAGAAGAACCUCUUGUACCAUUCGAUGAGGGAGGUGUUCGACGGGCAACUGAGGUAACAGUUUUUCAUCCCGUCACGAAGAUUGAGGUAUACUCCAACUGCAAUCUUGGAGCCUCCAACUGCUACCUUCUUCCCCAAGCAGAAUAAAUAACGGAAGAUAUCAAAGUGCGGCUCUAUCCCGACAUAGGCCUCGCACAAAUGUAUAAAAGUGGAAACGAGAAGAAUAGAGUUCGGGUGCAGGUUGCAGAUCCCGAUCUCAUAGUAAAGAAGAAGGCCUUGAAGGAAAGGGUGAACUGGAAUCCCAAAUCCCCUCUUGAAAAAAUCUUUGAAAACUACGAUCUCACCGGCGUGAGGUCGGGGUAGCUUUCCCCUUCCAGUGCUCUCCAGCCACCGAGCUCCUGAUUGUGCAGGAGCCCCAUCCCGACGAGGUCGUUGAGGGAUUUUGUGUUGCUUUGGGACUUCUUCCAUUCCUUGGCCAUCAUCUCGGCCCUCUUCUUGGCGUCGCUCUUCGCCAUUUCCUUCCUGUGGAAAGCUUCGAGCUCAGAUUUGGGGUUUGAAGGGGCUGAGGAAGAUGAAGGCUGGGCAAUAGUAUGUGACUGCUGGGUAAAGAACAAGGGUGCGACCUUGGGCUUUUUAUAACAACAGCCCCACCUCUACCACUUCCCGCAUUCUGGGGAAGUGGGCGGAUCUUGCGGCAGCUGCGGCGUUUCGGUUUUCAAUAGUUAUCACAGUUAUUUUGGUGGCUUUUCUGCAUAAUUGAUGAUUUCCUUUUCUUGGACCGUGCAAAGAGCGGCUACAUAGUUACCAGGCGCAUCUUUUUACGCAACAGCCUGACAAAGUUGCAGGAUACCCCGUCACAUCGCACAUUAAUACGACGAUACGAUUUUUUCAAAAAGAGAAGUAGGACUUUUGGUCAGACAGACAUGAUAUACUUGGUGCCUGUACUGACCACCGAGCAUGACAUGCUCGGGGACUGGUCGAUCGAUCUGCCCAUUCGACAUCUCGGUGACUGUACCGACCACCGAGCAUGACAUGCUCGAGGACUGGUCGAUCGAUCGGCCCAUUCCACUUCUCGGGGACUGUACCGACCACCGAGCAUGACAUGCUCGGGGACUGGUCGAUCGAUCUGCCCAUUCGACAUCUCGGGGACUGUACCGACCACUGAGCAUGACAUGCUCGUGGACUAGUCGGCCAGUCUGCCCAUUCGAUACACUCGGGGACUGUACCGACCACCAAGCAUAAUAUGCUCGGGGACUGGUCGACCAAUCUGUACUCUCGACAACCUGUUGAUUGCACCGACCACCGAGCACGCGAUACUCGGGGGCUGGCUGAUUAGUCUCAUCUUUUGAAAGUCUGGGGAUUGUGCCCAAUCUCGAGCAUGACGCACUUAGGGAUUGGUUAAUCGGUUCUCUCAGACACAAAAAAAAGUGCAACACGAUCUUGGCAUUAAAAAAGCAAAUGCAUAACGGCUGCUCAGAUAAUCCUAAUUUUUUAGACCUUUUUACAAGGCUCAUACUUCGCCUUCCAACAAGCUCGGGACUACAUCGGUACGAUGCAUCUGGUGAUGCAUUUCAGUAUCAGGUUUUCUAUGUGGUUUAUCUUUAGACCCUGGAACCACGUGCCUACGUCACCUAGUACUAGGCUGAGGGACUAAGUGGGCACACUUCACCUUGUGGUGAAUAUGCUCGCUUUUUAAAAGAUUAUACUUUUCAGAAAAGUAAAGUGGGCACACUUCAUCAGGAAAUAAAUCUUUUUUGAUUAAGAGCACCAUGCAUUCUUUGAACAACCUGCUUCUUCGAUGUUAAUGUUGAUCAACUGUCUUUUGAGUUGGUUAAAAUACUAUUGCAACUGUUCGGACGACUUUUCUGCUUAUCGAAGACGUCAAGCCUCACUUGUCGAAGAAGCUCAAGACGGCGUGCUACAUCACAAUACACGGUGCUCGGGGACUAGCUGUGGGGGUAUAAACCCCUAUACCCUUACGGCUAGACUUGGGCCAGGAGGCUUGGCCCAUCACAAGAUAGUUCGAGGCUUGAUCCAAUUGCUCGGAGUUUUGCGCAAGGAAACAAGACGUGGAGAUCAAGUAGGAUUCUAGUCGGUUGGAAUAGGAAUUUAUAUUGUACUAUCUAUGGCAAUUGUAACCGACUAGGAUUAGUUUUCGAAUCUGUAACCCUGCCCUCUGGACUAUAUAAAGAGAGGCAAGGGACCCCCCUAGGACAUAUCAUCUCAACUCAACACAACCCAAUACAAUCAGACGUAGGACAUAGGUAUUACGCCCACACGGCGGUCGAACCUGGAUAAAAACCUUGUCCGUGUCUUGCGUCACCGUCGAGUUCAUAGCUUGCGCACCAUCUACCGAUAAACUACUACCAUGGGUAUACCCCAAGGUAGACUGCCGACUAGCUUUCAUCGACAGAAACCUAGAGCCACUAUAGUUCUUCCACAUAAUUAAAUGAUAGACAUCAAUGAGAUCCAAAUACUGAAAUUAAAGAACCAAAUCGUCACUUGCAUAUAUGAUGAAUAGUAGAAGAACCUACCAUGGGUUCCUCGAGGGAGGGAUGUUGUGCCGCCGCCGGGCCCUGACUCACGUUGUGGUCGUGCAUUCUAGGUGCAGGAGGGAGAUCGGGACGCCUCGGCGCCGCUACCGCCACCGCCGUAUUGACAUUGCAUCGUCGUAUCCCUAGCGUCGUUUGGCUCGGCUUGCGCACGAACCUACCCCUACUUAUCGCGCGGCUGCUGGUUGGAGUGGUGCUUUGAUGGCGGCGAGGCUAGUGCAGCAGGGGAGCGGGAAGGUGCAGCAGGGGAGUGGGGAGGCUAGUGGUUGCUGUGGGUUUUGCAAGCGCUGGCCAUUUCGCCAAUGGAGAGGUUGCGCUCUUUGCGGGCGAGACGAGAGCGAAACGAGGAGGAAGUCGAUGGGAUAGUUUGGGGUCAGUGGACAUGAAUACCUGUUUUCAUGGUAGUAUUUACGUGUGGGCUCGACCAUCAAUAGUCCCUGGUGUUAUUUGAAAGUUGUGCUACACAUCCCUUAUAUGUCUAUGUACAUGUACCUCAUUGCACGCCUAGAACAUGUGGGAGAGAUGAGGCCCUCUACGAGCACGUGCAUGACCACUUUCUGAGAAUUGACUCAAACUUUUUUCUCAACACUAUACAGCUAAAUUAUGUGACCAUGCAAGUUUUAGAUUUUUCUAAGCACCUCAGGCAUUUUUCCAUUUUUUCAUUAGAAAAUCAACAAAUAAUUACAAAAAUAGGUAAAAAUAGUCCAAAAAUUGCCUAGGUGCACACAACAUCAUCCCUCACCUACACAAACAUCCUAAAAAAGUUUCAAGUGGUUUGGUGAAAGUUGUGCUACACAUCCCUUAUAUGCCUAUGUACCUCAUUGCAGAGUGACUAGGACAUGUGGGAGGGAUGAGGGCCUCUGCGAGCACGUGCAUGACCACUUUCUCAGAAUUGACUGAAACUUUUUUCUGAACACUACACAGAUAAAUUAUAUGACCAUGCAAGUUUUUAGAUUUUUCUAGGUACCUCAGACAUUUUUUCCAUUUUUUUCUUUAGAAAAUCAACAGAUAAUUUCAUAAAUAGGUAAUCUUUGUCCAAAAAUUGCCUAGGUGCACACAACAUCAUCCCUCACCUACAUAAACAUCCUCAAAAAGUUUCAAGUGGUUUGGUGAAAGUUGUGCUACACAUCGCUUAUAUGCCUACGUACCACAUUGCAUAGUGACUAGGACAUGUGGGAGAGAUGAGGUCCGCUGCGAGCACGUCCAUGACCACUUUCUCAGAAUUGACUGAAACUUUUUCCUCAACACUACACAGCUAAAUUACGUGACCAUGCAAGUUUUUCGAUUUUUCUAGGCAACUCAGGCAUUUUUUUCAUUUUUUCUUUAGAAAAUCAACAAAUAAUUAUAGAAAUAGGUAAAAUUUGUCCAAAAAUUGCCUAGGUGAACACAACAUCAUCCCUCACCUACAUAAACAUCUUAAAAAAGUUUCAAGUGGUUUGGUGAAAGUUGUGCUACACAUCCCUUAUAUACUUAUGUACCUCAUUGCAUAGUGACUAGGACAUGUGGGAAUGAUGAGGGCCUCUGCGAUCACGUGCAUGACCACUCUCUCAGAAUUGACUGAAACUUUUUCUUCAAAACUACACAGCUAAUUUAUGUGUCCAUGCAAGUUAUUAGAUUUUUCUAGGCACCUGAGGCAUUUUUUCCAUUUUUUCUUUAGAAAAUCAAAAAAUAAUUAUAGAAAUAGGUCCAAAAAUUGCCUAGGUGCACACAACAUCAUCCCUCACUUACAUAAACAUCCUAAAAAAGUUUCAAGCGGUUUGGUGAAAGUCUUGCUACACAUCCCUUAUAUGCCUACGUACCUCAUUGCAUAGUGACUCGGACAUGUGGGAGAGAUGAGGGCCUCUGCAAGCACGUGCAUGACCACUCUCUCAGAAUUGACUGAAACUUUUUCCUCAACGCUACAGAGAUAAAUUAUGUGAUCAUGCAAGUUUAUAGAUUUUUCUAGGCACCUGAGAUAUUUUUUCCGUUUUUUUCUUUAGAAAAUCAACAAAUAAUUACAUAAAUAGAUAAAUUUGUCCAAAAAUUGUCUAGGUGCACACAACAUCAUCCCUCACCUACAUAAACAUCCUCAAAAAGUUUCAAGUGGUUUGGUAAAGGUUGUGCUACGCAUCCCUUAUAUGCCUAUGUACCUCAUUGCAAAGUGACUAGGACAUGUGGCAGAGAUGAGGGCCUCUGCGAGCAUGUGCAUGACCACUCUCUCAGAAUUGACUGAAACUUUUUCCUCAACACUACACAACUUAAUUAUGUGUCCAUACAAGUUUUUAGAGUUUUCUAGGCAGCUCAGGCAUUUUUUCCUUUUUUCUUUAGAAAAUCAACAAAUAAUUACAUAAAUCGGUAAAAUUUGUCCAAAAAUUGCCUAUGUGCACACAACAUCAUCCCUCACCUACAUAAACAUCCUCAAAAAGUUUCAAGUGGUUUGGUGAAAGUUGUGCUACACAUCCCUUAUAUGCCUAUGUACCUCAUUGCAUAGUGACUAGGAGAUGUGGGAGAGAUGAGGGCCUCUGCGAGCACGUGCAUGACCACUCUCUCAGAAUUGACUGACACUUUUUCCUCAACACUACAUAGCUAAAUUAUGUGUCCAUGCAAGUUUUUAGAUUUUUUUAGGCAGCUUAAGCAUUUUUUCCAUUUUUUUCUUUACAAAAUCAACAAAUAAUUACAGAAAUAGGUAAAAUUUGUCCAAAAAUUGCCUAGGUGCACAGAACAUCAUCCCUCACCUACAUAAACAUCCUAAAAAAUUUCAAGUGGUUUGGUGAAAGUUGUGCUACACAUCCCUUAUAUGCAUAUGUACCAUAUUGCAUAGUGACUAGGACAUGUGGGAGAGAUGGGGGCCUCUGCGAGCACGUGCAUGACCACUCUCUCAGAAUUGACUAAACCUUUUUCUUCAACACUACACGGCUAAAUUAUGUGUCCAUGUAAGUUUUUAGAUUUUUCUAGGCACCUCUGGCAUUUUUUCCAUUUUUUUUAUAGAAAAUAAACAAAUAAUUACAGAAAUAGGUAAAAUUUGUCCAAAAAUUGCCUAGGUGCACAAAACAUCAUCCCUCACCUACAUAUACAUCCUAAAAAUUGUUCAAGUGGUUUGGUGAAAGUUGUGCUACACAUCCCUUAUAUGCCUACGUACCUCAUUGCAUAGUGACAAGGAUAUGUGGGAGAGAUGAGGUCCGCUGCGAGCACGUGCAUGACCACUUUCUCAGAACUGACUGAAACUUUUUCCUCAACACUACACAGCUAAAUUACGUGACCAUGCAAGUUUUUCGAUUUUUCUAGGCAACUCAGGCAUUUUUUCUAUUUUUCUUUAGAAAAUCAACAAAUAAUUACAGAAAUAGGUAAAAUUUAUCCAAAAUUUGCCUAGGUGCACACAACAUCAUCCCUCACCUACAUAAACAUCUUAAAAAAGUUUCAAGUGGUUUGGUGAAAGUUGUGCUACACAUCCCUUAUAUACUUAUGUACCUCAUUGCAUAGUGACUAGGACAUGUGCGAAUGAUGAGGGCCUCUGCGAUCACGUGCAUGACCACUCUCUCAGAAUUGACUGAAACUUUUUCUUCAAAACUACACGGCUAAUUUAUGUGUCCAUGCAAGUUAUUAGAUUUUUCUAGGCACCUGAGGCAUUUUUUCCAUUUUUUCUUUAGAAAAUCAACAAAUAAUUAUACAAAUAGGUCCAAAAAUUGCCUAGGUGCACACAACAUCAUCCCUCACUUACAUAAACAUCCUAAAAAAGUUUCAAGCGGUUUGGUGAAAGUCUUGCUACACAUCCCUUAUAUGCCUACGUACCUCAUUGCAUAGUGACUCGGACAUGUGGGAGAGAUGAGGGCCUCUGCAAGCACGUGCAUGACCACUCUCUCAGAAUUGACUGAAACUUUUUCCUCAACGCUACAUAGAUAAAUUAUGUGAUCAUGCAAGUUUAUAGAUUUUUCUAGGCACCUGAGAUAUUUUUUCUGUUUUUUUCUUUAGAAAAUCAACAAAUAAUUACUUAAAUAGUUAAAAUUUGUCCAAAAUUUGUCUAGGUGCACACAACAUCAUCCCUCACCUACAUAAACAUCCUCAAAAAGUUUCAAGUGGUUUGGUAAAGGUUGUGCUACGCAUCCCUUAUAUGCCUAUGUACCUCAUUGCAAAGUGACUAGGACAUGUGGCAGAGAUGAGGGCCUCUGCGAGCAUGUGCAUGACCACUCUCUCAGAAUUGACUGAAACUUUUUCCUCAACACUACACAGCUUAAUUAUGUGUCCAUACAAGUUUUUAGAGUUUUCUAGGCAGCUCAGGCAUUUUUUCCAUUUUUUCUUUAGAAAAUCAACAAAUAAUUACAUAAAUCGGUAAAAUUUGUCCAAAAAUUGCCUAGGUGCACACAACAUCAUCCCUCACCUACAUAAACAUCCUCAAAAAGUUUCAAGUGGUUUGGUGAAAGUUGUGCUACACAUCCCUUAUAUGCCUAUGUACCUCAUUGCAUAGUGACUAGGAGAUGUGGGAGAGAUGAGAGCCUCUGCGAGCACGUGCAUGACUACUCUCUUAGAAUUGACUGACACUUUUUCCUCAACACUACAUAGCUAAAUUAUGUGUCCAUGCAAGUUUUUAGAUUUUUCUAGGCAGCUUAGGCAUUUUUUCCAUUUUUUUCUUUAGAAAAUCAACAAAUAACUACAGAAAUAGGUAAAAUUUGUCCAAAAGUUGCCUAGGCGCACAGAACAUCAUCCCUCACCUACAUAAACAUCCUAAAAAAUUUCAAGUGCUUUGGUGAAAGUUGUGCUACACAUCCCUUAUAUGCAUAUGUACCAUAUUGCACAGUGACUAGGACAUGUGGGAGAGAUGGGGGCCUCUGCGAGCACGUACAUGACCACUCUCUCAGAAUUGACUAAACCUUUUUCUUCAACACUACACAGCUAAAUUAUGUGUCCAUGUAAGUUUUUAGAUUUUUCUAGGCACCUCAGGCAUUUUUUCCAUUUUUUCUACAGAAAAUAAACAAAUAAUUACAGAAAUAGGUAAAAUUUGUCCAAAAAUUGCCUAGGUGCACAAAACAUCAUCCCUCACCUACAUAUACAUCCUAAAAAUUGUUCAAGUGAUUUGGUGAAAGUUGUGCUACACAUCCCUUAUAUGCCUACGUACCUCAUUGCAUAGUGACUAGGAUAUGUGGGAGAGAUGAGGUCCGCUGCGAGCACGUGCAUUACCACUUUCUCAGAACUGACUGAAACUUUUUCCUCAACACUACACAGCUAAAUUACGUGACCAUGCAAGUUUUUCGAUUUUUCUAGGCAACUCAGGCAUUUUUUCUAUUUUUUCUUUAGAAAAUCAACAAAUAAUUAAAGAAAUAGGUAAAAUUUAUCCAAAAAUUGCCUAGGUGCACACAACAUCAUCCCUCACCUACAUAAACAUCUUAAAAAAGUUUCAAGUGGUUUGGUGAAAGUUGUGCUACACAUCCCUUAUAUGCUUAUGUACCUCAUUGCAUAGUGACUAGGACAUGUGGGAAUGAUGAGGGCCUCUGCGAUCACGUGCAUGACCACUCUCUCAGAAUUGACUGAAACUUUUUCUUCAAAACUACACAGCUAAAUUAUGUGCCCAUGCAAGUUAUUAGAUUUUUCUAGGCACCUGAGGCAUUUUUUCCAUUUUUUUCUUUAGAAAAUCAACAAAUAAUUAUAAAAAUAGGUCCAAAAAUUGCCUAGGUGCACACAACAUCAUCCCUCACUUACAUAAACAUCCUAAAAAAGUUUCAAGCGGUUUGGUGAAAGUCUUGCGACACAUCCCUUAUAUGCCUACGUACCUCAUUGCAUAGUGACUAGGACAUGUGGAAGAGAUGAGGGCCUCUGCGAGCACGUGCAUGACCACUUUCUCAUAAUUGACUAAAACUUUUUCCUCAACACUAGACAGCUAAACUAUGUGAGCAUGCAAGUUUUUAGAUUUUUCUAGGCAUCUCAGUCAUUUUUUCCAUUUUUUCUUUAGAAAAUCAACAAAUAAUUACAGAAAUAGGUAAAAUUUGUCCAAAAAUUGCCUAGGUGCACACAACAUCAUCCCUCACCUACAUAAACAUCCUAAAAAAGUUUCAAGUUGUUUAGUGAAAGUUGUGCUACAUAUCCUUUAUAUGCCUAUGUACCUCAUUGCAUAGUGACCAGGACAUAUGGGAGACAUCAGGGCCUCUACGAGCACGUGCAUGACCACUUUCUUAGAAUUGACUGAAACUUUUUCCUCAACACUACACAGAUAAAUUAUAUGACCAUGCAAGUUUUUAGAUUUUUCUAGGCACCUCAGACAUUUUUUUCCAUUUUUUUCUUUAGAAAAUCAACAAAUAAUUACAGAAAUAGGUAAAAUUUGUCCAAAAAUUGCAGAGGGGCACACAACAUCAUCCCUCACCUACAUAGUCAUCCUAAAAAAGUUUCAAGUGGUUUGGUGAAAGUUGUGCUACACAUCUUAUACUCUUAUAAAGCUAAACCCCACUAGAGAUUUCUCUCAACAUGCAAGCUAUUCACAUCAACAAUCCACUAAAAUUUGCAAUUAUAUCCAACUAGCACAUGUAAUUAUGAUAGUCAUCUCUUUAUCUACUAACAUACAUUUAGCUGUUCAUAUUGAUGUGUCAAAUCAUUCAACAAAAUUAAUUUAAGAUAAUUUCAUUCAUAUAAAUAUAAAUAUAAAUAGUCUAAUUUAUUUUUAAAUUAUCUGAAAUUCCUGUAGCAACGCGUGGGGUAUUCUCCAAGUUCCUUAUAUGCUUAUGUACCUCAUUGCCCAAUGACUAGGACAUGUGUGAGAGAUGAGGGCCUCUGCGAGCACGUGCAUGACCACUUUCUCAGAAUUGACUAAAACUUUUUCCUCAACACUACACAGCUAAAUUAUAUGAGGAUGCAAGUUUUUAGAUUUUUCUAGACACCUCAGGCGUUUUUUCCAUUUUUUUAUGUAGAAAAUCAACAAAAAAUUAUAGAAAUAAGUAAAGUUUGUCCAAAAAUUGCCUUGGUGCACACAACAUCAUCCCUCACCUACAUAAACAUCCUAAAAAAGUUUCAAGUGGUUUGGUGAAAGUUGUGCUACACAUCCCUUAUAUGUCUAUGUACCUCAUUGCAUAGUGACUAGAACAUGUGGGAGAGAUGAGGGCCUCUGCGAGCACGUGCAUGACCACUUUCUCAGAAUUGACUAAAACUUUUUCCUCAACAAUACACAGCAAAAUUAAGUGACCAUGCAAGUUUUUAGAUUUUUCUAGGCACCUCAAGCAUUUUUUCCAUUUUUACUUUAGAAAAUCAACAAAUAAUUACAAAAAUAGGUAAAAUUUGUCCAAAAAUUACCUAGGUGCACACAACAUCAUCCCUCAUAUACAUAAACAUCCUAAAAAAGUUUCAAGUGGUUUGGUGAAAGUUGUGCUACACAUCCCUUAUAUGCCUAUGUACCUCAUUGCAUAGUGACUAGGACAUGUGGGAGAGAUGAGGGCCUCUGUGAGCACGUGCAUGACUAGUUUGUCAAAAUUGACUGAAACUUUUUCCUCAACACUACACAGCUAAAUUAUGUGAGCAUGCAAGUUUUUAGAUUUUUCUAGGCACCUCAGGCUUUUUUUCCAUUUUUUCUUUAGAAAAUCAAAAAAUAAUUAUAGAAAUAGGUAAAAUUUGUCCAAAAAUUGCCUUGGUGCACACAACAUCAUCCCUCACCUACAUAAGCACCCUAAAAAAGUUUUAAGUGGUUUGGUGAAAGUUGUCCAACACAUCCCUUAUAUGUCUAUGUACCUCAACUCAUUGCAUAGUGACUUGGGCGUUGGAAAGAUGAGGGCCGCUGCGAGUGUUGACGGUCCUUAAGUACUAAAAUUAAUAAUCAAAUAAACAUGAAAAAGGAUCAAUAUGAAACAAACAUCUAGAAUUAGGGUUUUAUCUGACAGAAUUCCACGAGCUUUGGUGUUUAUCUAUUUUUGCAGGGAGUUAUCAGAAAAUAUGGAAAGAAGGCCCACAUGUCAUGUUUACAACGAGAUAAUUACGUGCCGCGCAAUUUUCCUCAAUCUAGAAGGAUCCAGAAGCCACGGGAACGAACGAGAAGCGAAUCGGGCUCGGGAGCUGGGCGCCCGCCCUGGCCAAGAGGCCAAUCAGGACUCUGCUUCGGGACAAGACUCCACCGACCUAAAGGAUCAAUCUAAACCAUACAAUCUAUGUCGGUUUGAUCCAAUGGCUCACGUUCACUUGAGGGGACUAUAAAACCAGACCCCCUGGCCCCUGGAGGAGAGGAGGAGAAAUCAUUAUUCAGAGGUAGCCAUAAAAAGUUAGGGUUUAGAUCUCUCUCCCACAGAGAAUUAGAAUUAGCUACUCCCUAAUCCUUCAAGUUUAGAGGUUGAUUAGAUAGCAAUUAGAGAAGUAGAGCACUACGCUCUGGAUUCGGAUCUUCGGUAAUAAAGAUUGGUAUUAUUCAUAUCUUUCUCUAAUUCUAUUGUUCUAAUUGCAUUGUGUCUCUAAUUAUUAUGCUCUUAGUUUGCUCUAGUUCUAUAUUUGAUAUAGUUCUAAUUGAUAAUGAGUUUAUGUAUAAGUUUGCAAAGCGCUUAGCUCUUGACGCGAGGGAGUUAGGUGACAGAUCACAUGUGAGCGUGGUGCUUAGAUGUUAUUUAUCUGCAAAUGUAUCCUAUUGGCCGAGUCGUGUGGUAGUUCGCGAUAGUGACAGCUUCGUUGAUUCUUAUAUAGUCCACCCUCCGUUGAUAGGACAGGCAGAACCGGUAUUGUGGAGUAAGUCAUGCGAUGUUCUCAUUUACUUUAUCAAUGUUCCUUAUACAUGAAUGAAGAGUCUUUUAUGCUAUAUAUGAUCUUGUAGAUAACUAGAGUAGAUUAUGACUUAGUAGUUAGUAGAUAACUUAGAAUCCAUUCUCUAGCUAAUCCGACAUCACCUACAUAUAUGAGGAGUAGUCUAUUUUCUAAUCGCUGUGCUAUUUAUCCCAUGAACUUAUACUUUAUUAUCAUUAUCUUUAUGGUUUACCCCCUGCUAAAGUAUGUGACUGUGUGACGAGUUUCUUAUUAGUAAUCAUGUUCUUGCAAGUUUAUCUCUAGUCUAUGCCUUGAUAGAUUUUGUCCCUUGAUUUAAUUCCAUCUCCUUAGAUCCCUAGAGCAAAAUUAUAAAUAACGAUACCUGUAAUACUUAUCCUGGUGAAAUGCUACAAUGAGGUGUUUUAUCUGUGCGCUUGCGGAUAGAAUGGAUUAUUUUCUAAAGAGCCUUUACAUUUAUAAAUACUUUUGUACACUCUGGCGCCAUGCUAGGGAUGACAACCUAGUAUCUAAGUGGUGUUAGCUAGUGUUAACAAGCAUUUCUGGCGCCGUUGCCGGGGAACUUAUAGGAAUUAUACGAAUCUCAGGAAUAAGUCAUAAAAGGGAACAAAAGGGUAAUAUUAAGGAAGCCAGAAAAUCAGUCAAGGUUAUUCAUAUAAAAUAUUAGACUAGACUAUAGAGAAAUAAUUGCAUAAAACAGCUACUAAGUGAGAAAUCAUAACAAGGCACCUCUGCUUUGGCAGGUUCACCCUGUUGUUUUUCUAUGUUUAUAUUUUUAUACAGGGUAUAACAGGAUUGACUUUGGGUACAUUCAACUCUUCAUCAUCAGAACCAAAGCAAUCAAGAGAAGAAGAAGCUAGCUACCAAUUGUUGAAGCUAUGGCACACAAGACCUUGCAAGAAUUCUCUGCUCCAAGUCUUGAGAACAUUCCAACUGGUCCAAGAUUUGCAGUAGAAGAAGGAAUACCCGAGUUUGAGCUCAAGUCAAGCCUCAUCAAUUUGGUACAAGCUACACAAUUCAGUGGAAAUGCACAUGAAGAUGCCAGUGCACACUUGCAGAAUUUCUUAGAAAUUGGAAGCACAAUCCACAUCAACGGAGUUGACAAAGACGUCAUACUACUUCGCCUUUUUCCAUUCUCACUAGAAGGGAAAGCGAGGAAGUGGUUCUACACUCAUCAAGAUAACAUCAACAACUGGACGAAGUUGUCAGAUGCCUUUCUAUCAAAGUUUUUCCCUAUAGGCAAAACAACUGCCUUAAGAGGAAAUAUUGUCAGUUUCCAACAGCAGAAGACAGAAGCCAUUGCAGAAGCAUGGGAGCGUUUUCAAGGAUACAUAUCAGAUUGUCCUCACCAUGGAAUGGCUACAUGGUUACUUAUGCAGACCUUCUAUCAUGGAUUAACCCAUAAGACUCGUGAGUGCCUAGAUGCAUCUGCUAAAGGAUCAUUCUUGGAGCUUACAACUAGAAAAGCAGAGAUACUUUUGGAUAAGAUAGCAGAAAACCAAUGUUGGUUCCAAGAUAAAGCUCAACAAUGUCAUCAAACUGAAGAAAUACCAGAAGAAGUAAAUGCACUAUCAACUAAGAUGGAAAAUUUGCUCCAUUGGAUUGACCAGAGGGCCAAGUUCAAAGAAGAUCAAAGGGCCAUUGAGACAGCAUACAAAUAUCAACCAACUUCGAGUCAACCCAAUAGCAAAGGUAAAGAAUAUAACUACUAGAGGAGGCAAAGCCACCAGAGAUCCACCAUACCCAAAAGAGAAACAAAGAACAUCAGCACCAGUGCAACCAGCAGUGAUAGAAGAAGAAAGCCCAGUUGAAGCAGAAGAUCUGCUACAACUACCAAGAAAUGGAGAAAUGAGGAAAGAUUUUUACGACACCAACUAUUUGCCAUUUCCCAGAAGAAACAGAGGAUUGCAGUCGGAUGAGCAGUUUGGUAAGUUUGUAGAGGUCAUUCAGAAUAUGUCAACAUACCUCUGCUCGAUGCCAUACAGGUACCUACAUAUGCAAAGUACAUCAGAGAUAUUCUUAACAAGAAGAGACCACUGCCCACCACUGGGGUUAUCAAGCUGACAGAAGAAUGUAGUGCGGCCAUCCUCAACAAACCACCAAAGAAGAAGGAAGAUCCAGGAUGCCCCACUAUUGAUUGCUCGAUUGGAAACCAACACUUCAACAAUGCACUUUGUGAUCUCGGAGCAAGUGUCAGUGUGAUGCCAGCAUCAGUCUACAAAAAGCUUGAUCAUGCAACCUUAGAACCAACAUCAAUGUGCCUACAACUAGCGGAUCAAUCGGUUCGACACCCGUUGGGCAUCGCCGAGAACAUUCCAGUCAAGAUCAGAGAUUUCCUGGUGCCAGUAGACUUCGUAGUACUGGACAUGAGUCCUGACUCGAAGGUGUCCAUCAUCCUUGGAAGGCCAUUUCUGAGCACUGCCAAUGCCCACAUUGAUGUCGGGAAGGGAGAAAUCAAGUUCAACAUAAACGGUCAAGAAGAACACUUCACAUUCAAACCCAGACCAGAGAAAGACUCUACACUGAAGGAAGUUCAUGAAGAACCACUGGAGACACCAUCUCCGGAGGAAGGUAACUCACAAGAUUAAAAGAUUUGGAGGUCCAGCUUGGGGGACCUAAAAAUCCCAAACCCUCACCGGGAGGUAAAUCGGUAUUUACCUGCAUUAUUAAGUUUCUCAUAUUUAAAUUCUUGCAUAGUUAAAUCUUGCAUUAGUCAUAUUUAUUCAUAGCAUUAUUAUAAUAAUGAAAAGCCCCAUAUAAAUAAUAUUCAUGGUGUGUAACAACCCAUAUUUAUUAAUUAUUGUGGAGGCACAAAAAUAUUUUCCAUUAUCAUUUUCAAUAAGUUUCAAUUCUCAUAGAUUUUCCUGCAUUAUAUUUAAUUAUAUUGAUCUUCUAGAAGCAUGACCCACACUCCUUGGGUCCCACAUGUCAUACACUUCACCUCACAUACAUCCCAUCACAUAAUUUCAUCCACCAAUAUGUUUCCACUCACUUGACAUCUUUCCACCGUCCAACCACCACCAACACAAUAUUAUUCUGCGUGAGAUCAAAGCAAGGAAGCAAGUGGAGGAGGCACACCCAGGAUGGACACCAGGGGUGGGCGCCCGCCCACCUACCUUGGGCGCCCGCCCUGUCCCCUGCUCAGCCUAUAAAAGGCCACCUCCAGCUCCCCUUCUCUUCACACAAACACUUCAGAAAACCACACAAAUCUCAGUUUCCCGAGAAGGAGCUUUUGUAGAGAGAAAGAGGAGAGUGGAAGGGAAGGUUGGAAUUCUUUUGAGAGAGUGUUUAUCACCUAGCAAGUAGUGAUCCCGUUGUCUAAGCGGAAGUAAAAGUUGUUUAGGGGAGGCUCUACCAAAAUAGAAACUUGUCUUGAACGAUUAACCCCUGGACUACUGAUAUUCCGGACAGCUGACCACUAACAUUUUCUCUCACAUUUUCCACCAGUUGUGUUUUUGCCAACUUUUGUUUGCAGGAUGUUUAAGAAGGUGAAGAAUGCAGGGAAGGCUCUCAAGAACAUUGGUACAAGGAGUUCAUCCCGACACUGCUCACAGCCAUCAGAGAUGAACGUCGAUCCGACACCCACACAAGCUCCAUCAUCUUCAUCAGGUCAGCAAGUUAAGGUCCUUCUCAAGAUAGGAGACCUAGGACUGAAGACCCGAAGAGAGAAGGAGGUCUAUCAGCAAUUGAAGAAUAAAGAUUUCAUUCACACCCCUACUCUCGAUCCAACCCUACUACAAGAAACAGGUAUGGACACUGAAUUUGACUUAAUUUUUUCAGAUGAUGGGUUGGACAAAUUUUUGGAAUAUAACUGAGCUGGGUUCUCGUCUUCUCACCCUCGAAUUUCUUUGCACCUUACAAUACUAUGAGGGGGGAAUUGUUUUUCGGAUGUUUAAACAGGAAAUUAUGUUAUCUUGGAGAGAGCUGAGCGACCAUCUUGGUUUCUCUUCAAGAUGCAUCCUGAACAUUGACUCCGAUUUACCCAACUUUGAGAGACACCAGUUUUGGAGAGAAAUAUCUAGAGAUAAUUUUUAUAGUCAAGCCCGAACCAGUGACAUGGAACACCCCACUCUUAGGAUGUUUCACAAAUGGCUUGGGUACAAUCUUUUCUAUCGUGACGAUAUUAGGAAAGUAAGAGUAGGAGAUUUACAACUUUUAUAUGCUGCUAUUAGUAAAGUACCCACUUCAUCUGUUACACUAUUAGUUUCACAUUGGCUUAGUAUACCUAGUCUGCAGGGACCAGUAGGGUGUACUUCACUUAUCACUCGUCUAGCCUCUAAUCUUCACUUACUAGAAAAUUCAUUGUUAGACUUCAUAGAAGAAUUAAGAAUUUAUCAUGGCUAUGACACAUUUAGACAAGCUCAGAUGUUAAAGAAAGAGGGGAACAUAAUAUAUAUGCUGUAUGAUGAUAAAGGCAAGAUUCGGUUACCUAACCCGAACCUUGGCCUCUACUCUGUGCAAAACUUUUUGAUUGAAAUUGCAGCAACACCAGUGAACCAGAGAACUCCACAGCGAGUGGCAUCUGAAAGGAUAACCACUCACCGAGAACGCACUUGGUAUGGAGCUGACCCUGGACCAGAAGAAGCAGCGCACCUGCAUUAUUGCGAUUACAACCCUCGAGUCUUUCGAGACCCAUGGUCUCGUCAUGCGCAACCACAAGAGCCAACAGAGGAGACAUGGCCGGAGAGACAAGAUCACCAGUGGACAAACCCGCCUUUUCAUACGGGCAGGUACUCCACUGAUCCAUAUGGAGCUUCAGGAUCCAGACCUCCACCCCAAGUUGAUGCAGGACGAUACUCCGAUGCCUCCUUCGCCUUCAUGAAUGACUAUUACCAAGAGGCCGGUGCUUUCUUCACUCGUACCGACAACACCCUCCUCGACAUCCAGAACACGCAAGCAGAACAUGGAAGACUCCUGGAAGAGCAACAAAAAUAGAACCAGGACCAUGCAGCUGCAGUAGAAGAGCCGAGACAAGAUACAACAACAAUGAACGACAACAUCACAACCAUGAUGCGGUUCUGGAACAUCGGGUAAGACCGACGUCAACAUCCAGCUUGGGGGAGUUUCUCCCCAAUUUAUCAAGUAAGUUUCUAUUUGCUCUUCUUAUUUAUUCUAUUCUGUCUUAGUAUUUAAUUUAUCUUAAAAGGAAAAAAACUUAGAAAACCAAAUAAAUAUUUUCUUGCUUUAAUUUACUGCACUUUAUAAACAUGAAAACAAAAUAAAAAGAGUGUGUAGAUAAGUGUGCUUUAUUUACCUGCUAAGUUCAAUCUCUAGAAAAAAAUAAAAAGACCAAAAAUAUGCAUGAUGGAAAUGAUGAACAGUUGCUCUGUUUGCUUACUUUCAAGUACCUAGCUUUUAUAUUAGAAUUCUUCCAGGAAUUACUAAAACUGAAACUUACUAUCUUUGGGAAGCAUAAAACUAAAGUCUAGGUAAGAGAAAGGCAUGAUAUAAAGUUGAGCUACUGUUUAUCUUGUUCCUACUACACUAAGUUCUAGAGAUUUAUUUUGAAAACUUACAAAUCACAUGAUGAGUUCCUAGCAUUGCAAACUACCUACCACAGCCAUACUUGCUAUAACAUCUUUUACUAUAUUCACAUUGAGUUUGAUCGAGCUGUGUUGACCCUUAGGAGCUUUUCAUGUGGUUAAAUUAAGAUAUUCACUUGCACACAUCUACCACAGCAUUCAUCACCAAUCAUUAAAAUUGCUAAAAAUAUAAUCACUCACUGUCCCGAAUAUUGUUAUUCUCUCUCUAAAAAGAUUUAAUGCAGAAGAGGCAUGGGUUAUGCAAAAAUAUACGAGGAAAUAAAAAGGGGCAAGUGCCCGGAACCUCGAAAAAGAAAGAAAAAGAGUGAGACGAGAGGUAAAAAUGGACAAGUGUCCGGAGUAGAAUUAGGGGUACAAAGAUGCCCACUUGAGCGGAAAAAAUGGACAAGUGUCCGACAGUAGAAUUAGGGGUAUCUACUACCCACCUUAAAAAAAAAGAGAGAAGAAGAAAAAGAUAGCCCAUGUUCUCCCAAAGCAAAGAUCAAAGAAGAGGAGAGAUAGCAAUAUAAGGAGCAAUGAGAACUAAAUUUUAUUAUUAUCACUUAUGCAUUUUCACCAUCACUAUCAUUUACUCCAUCACACAUGCACAUCUUGAUUUAAUUAUAUGCUGAGUUCCUUUGGAUCCAUGGCUCGAUUAGACAACAUAUGUAUGAGCUGUUUAUCACUCCUAUGAGCUCCACUUAAAUAUUCCAUUAGCUAUAGGUAAGUGAUAUUAUGGUAAGGAUCCAUAAAUACCACAUAUAGAGAGACUUGAGAGAAUCAUUGCUGGGAACUCUGAGUUUUAUUUUGAAAACUUAUGAAAAACUCUGGAACAAAGGUGAAGUAUAGACAGGAGGGAUAGUGCUUGACUUAACUAUUUUGUCUUUUGAUUACUUAAGAUUUAAGUGCAGGUACUAAACUCCAUAACACUUCACUCUAAUCUGGAAUAAUUUUUAUAUAAAAGCAUGUGUGCCUGUCAGGAAAGAAAACAUUGAAGCAACUCCUGAUCCGUCUGAGUUUAGCUGUUUGCUCAGGGACGAGCAAAGGGUAAGCUUGGGGGAGUUUGUUGACGGUCCUUAAGUACUAAAAUUAAUAAUCAAAUAAACAUGAAAAAGGAUCAAUACGAAACAAACAUCUAGAAUUAGGGUUUUAUCUGACAGAAUUCCACGAGCUUUGGUGUUUAUCUAUUUCUGCAGGGAGUUAUUAGAAAAUAUGGAGAGAAGGACCACAUGUCAUGUUUACAACGAGAUAAUUACGUGCCGCGCAAUUUUCCUCAAUCUAGAAGGAUCCAGAAGCCACGGGAACGAACAGGAAGCGAAUCGGGCUCGGGAGCUGGGCGGCCGCCCACCCCCCUUGGGCGCCCGCCCUGGCCAAGAGGCCAAUCAGGACUCUGCUUCGGGACAAGACUCCACUGACCUAAAGGAUCAAUCUAAACCAUACAAUCUAUGUCGGUUUGAUCCAAUGGCUCACGUUCACUUGAGGGGACUAUAAAACCAGACACCCUGGCCCCUGGAGGAGAGGAGGAGAAAUCAUUAUUCAGAGGUAGCCAUCAAAGUUAGAGUUUAGAUCUCUCUGCCACAGAGAAUUAGAAUUAGCUACUCCCUAAUCCUUCAAGUUUAGAUGUUGAUUAGAUAGCAAUUAGAGAAGUAGAGCACUACGCUCUGGAUUCGGAUCUUCGGUAAUAAAGAUUGGUAUUAUUCAUAUCUUUCUCUAAUUCUAUUGUUCUAAUUGCAUUAUCUCUAAUUAUUAUGCUCUUAGUUUGCUCUAGUUCUAUAUUUGAUAUAGUUCUAAUUGAUAAUGAGUUUAUGUAUAAGUUUGCAAAGCGCUUAGCUCUUGACGCGAGGGAGUUAGGUGAUAGAUCACAUGUGAGCGUGAUGCUUAGAUGUUAUUUAUCUGCAAAUGUAUCCUAUUGGCCGAGUCGUGUGGUAGUUCGCGAUAGUGACAGCUUCGUUGAUUCUUAUAUAGUCCACCCUCCAUUGAUAGGACAGGCAGAACCGGUAUUGUGGAGUAAGUCAUGCGAUGUUCUGAUUUACUUUAUCAAUGUUCCUUAUACAUGAAUGAAGAGUCAUUUAUGCUAUAUAUGAUCUUGUAGAUAACUAGAGUAGAUUAUGACUUAGUAGUUAGUAGAUACCUUAGAAUCCAUUCUCUAGCUAGUCCGACAUCACCUACAUAUAUGAGGAGUAGUCUAUUUUCUAAUCGCUGUGCUCUUUAUCCCAUGAACUUAUACUUUAUUAUCAUUAUCUUUAUGGUUUACCCCUGCUAAAGUAUGUGACUGUGUGACGAGUUUCUUAUUAGUAAUCAUGUUCUUGCAAGUUUAUCUCUAGUCUAUGCCUUGAUAGAUUUUGUCCCUUGAUUUAAUUCCAUCUCCUUAGAUCCCUAGAGCAAAAUUAUAAAUAACGAUACCUGGAAUACUUAUCCUGGUGAAAUGCUACAAUGAGGUGUUUUAUCUGUGCGCUUGCGGAUAGAAUGGAUUAUUUUCUAAAGAGCCUUUACAUUUAUAUACCUUUGUACACUCUGGCGCCAUGCUAGGGAUGACAACCUAGUAUCUAAGUGGUGUUAGCUAGUGUCAACAGCGAGCACGUGCAUGACCACUUUCUCAGAAUUGACUGAAACUUUUUCUUCAACACUACACAACUAAAUUACGUGACCAUGCAAGUUUUUAGAUUUUUUAGGCACCUCAGGCAUUUCUUCCAUUUUUUCUUUAGAAAAUCAACAAAUAAUUACAGAAAUAGGUAAAAUUUGUCCAAAAAUUGCCUAGGUGCACACAACAUCAUCCUCACCUACUUGAACAUCUAAAAAAGUUUCAAGUGGUUUGGUGAAAGUUGUGCUACACAUGUCCUAGUCACGCAGCGAAGAGGUCUCCAUUUAAAAAUGAACUCAACUGUAUUCGUGAGAAAAUGAACUCAACUCAACUUCAUUAAUGUGCAUCGGUGAGGGUUAUUUUCGUAACUAGCCAGCCCAUAUUAAGCACGGGCACCUACUCGGUGCGCGGUUUCACUCUUCUCGGCUUGCUCAUCUCUUCUUCUUCCACAGUCGGUUAGGCGAGGGAUUUUGGCAAGGUGGAUUGCGCGGUGGCGAGGCCUAGAGAUGGAGCGUGGAACCCAUGGCGAUGGCGACACUAGCCGGAGGAGGCUCCCUCAUCACGAGGCAACAGAGGUGGUGAAGAAGCCAAGGUGCAACACCCACUGUUCCUUGGGUGGCGGUCUCAUGGAGUCCAAUACUGAUUCCAUGGAGGCGGCGGCGUCCACCUUCACACGCCCAGCCGUCGGCAAGGAGAAGACCCUCAUCGACGAGGGCGGCAACCAGAAGGGCCACAUAUGCUCCACCGCGAUACCUCGCCCAAUCCCAAGGGGUUACGGUUUAUUAAAGUUUUGCCUUAUAUGUUUACAACACUGAUGCUUUCAUUAAUUUCAUAUUUUAUAUGAUUUAUGCUUAAAUUAAUUAGGUUAAAAUCAAAUUAAUCUAGUUUUGUCGUAAUUAAUGUAUGUUUAUCAUAUGUUUGUUGCAUUCGAUAAGCUUAAAAUUCAACAUAUCAUCAAUGUUAGUUUCGCAUGGUCAUAUUUAAUUGUUUAUCAAUGAUUGUUGCAUAUGAUCGAUUAUAGGAGCCGGCAAAACUAGAAGCUACUUUCUGCUUUUGGGCUGAAACUACAAAGCAUCAGAUGCAAGAAGACAUGGAGGACCUCUUUGAGAAGAUGAAUAAAGAGCUGCAAACCAGGGAAGACAGUGUAACAAUCUGUGAUAAGAUGAAGCAGGAGGUGAAGACCUAGAUUGAUCAUAACAUGGAGCAGAUGUGGAUGAAGCUGCUUUGGGAUUACAAUAUGUAUGGGCACCUUUGGGCUAAUGACUUAGAAUUUGAACUAGUAGGACUGUGGUGGUGCUGUUGGGAAGAAAAACUUUAAUUAACUAUAUAGAUAUUAGUACUUUGUAAAUAUAUAACUAAGUAUUGUGGUACCUUUUAAAUAUGUAAUACCCGAUUUUAAGGACAAAACCAGAUAUGCACCAUAUGUGAGUUUUAGAAGUCAAAUCCCACAUAUAGCUACAAAUAAGGGAUAAUAUCAAAAGACAAUUCACAAAUAUAUAACACACUUAAUAUAAAAGGGAUAACCUUUGAUAGCAAACAACGGAUAGACAACUCCAACUUCAGGUAUUAACUUCUCUCCACAGGAUCCAACUGACUGGUUGAUCACAAGUCCAAAACUUCUCCUGAGGUGUGGGGGAAAUUGCAAGAGUGAGCACAUAUCGUACUCAACAGGUAUAACCAGGGGUUCAUGAGGCUCAAAUAGCUAACACUGGUUUGACUGCAUUUAGCUUUUAUAUGUAGAUAGCAUAUUUAUAUUUAGAUAGCAAAUGUCAAGGUAGCAUAAUUAAAUCCCAUAACCACAUGAUCAAUGUAUACAAGAAUUAAGAAUAACACAUAUAAACAACAUAAUAAACCAUCAUUUAUCAUCAUUAAUCAUGUUUAUCAGUGUCCAUCUAUUCCGUCAGUUUUCCGGGCCGCCCGUAUCCAUGGGCACGGCUAGUAUACUAGAUUUAACACUCUGUAGAGGUUGUACAUCUUUACCCAUGAGUCAUGAUUUACCCUUUCACCCGAGGCCCGUCGACCCCUUAGCUCACUUCCAAGGAAAGCCGGCAGGGUUCACUAUGAAGUCUUUCAAAAGUUCGUCUAACAAGUUAGGGCCGCUUGGUUUCAUUAGUCAGUCCAUGUGAUUCACCCGCAGGAAUCCACGGUCUGCUAUUCCCCAAUUGCGCCACAAUGGGUAACCGCUAAUGAGCUAGAAAAAUUACUCAUACUUUGACUAAAGCCAGAGCCAUAUAGCCCUCAUGGUUGUACGAGUUGUCCUAGCUUUUGCCAACGGAUAAGUCCUUAUGGAGGGUCAAGAUCAAUCUAGCAAAAGCCAAAGUUCUUUCCACCCUUUAUAUUCAAGUUGCUAGAAAGCUUAUUUUAUUGUUUAUUGUAUAUCCAAACAUUCAUGUUACAAGAUCAUCGAUUAUAAUCAAGUACUAGCAAGAACUACCCCAAAUGCAUAUCCAAAUAGGUAUCAAGGAAUUCAAGAUAGCAAUCAUCUAUGAUUUUACUAGGGUUGUCAAGGUGGACACAUGCAUAUGAUAUAUGUAUUAAAGUGUGUAGGUAACAAGGAUGAUCCCAAGUUAUACUUGUCUUGAUCGAAGCUUUCCUGAGCCUGCUACUGGUCUUCAAAAGAUUGACCUUGAUCACCAACGUAUCGCUCACCGUCUAUACCCGAUCAUCAAUCAACAACACGCAUUCCAAUGGACAAUCAUACAUGAAGCAAACAAGCUAUAAUUAGAAUAAUACACCAAACAGUGGUAAAACAAAGAUAAAAGUUUAUGAAAAUAUUCUACGUAGCGCUACGAUCGCACAAAUGUAAAGAUCACGAAAAUCAGAAUUGAAACGGUGAAAUUAUGAAUUUUCUAAGAUUUCCUAUAGAUAAAUAAUUAAUUAAAUAGGGUCACAAAAUUAAAAAGUUUCAAACUGGGAAAACAAAGUUACUAACAUGUAGAUCUUUCGAAAAAAAAUCUAACGCAAUUUGAAUGAGUCAAAACGGAGUUCAAAUGAAUAUUUUAUAGCCAAAACAAACUCAGUGGCAAUUUUGUGAAUACCGGAAAGCGUAUUCUUAAAACGUGCUUUGGGCUGCGGGUUCUAUUAUCAAAAAGGGGAGGGGCUCUUUAGAAAUUAUGCCAGCCGAAAGGGUAUCUUCGUUUGGGAGCCGUUGAUCUCAGAUUGAAUGGCACAGAUUAGAGCUGGGGGAGAGGGGAAGCAGCUGUCGGCCGAAACAGGGGAGACACCCAGCGGAGCCAUGGCCUGGGUCAAGCUUACCUCGCUGGAGUAGAUGGAGAGGGCACUAGAACGCUCGGUUUUCAAUGGGGAAAGUACUGGGAGAAAGACAGGAUCGAGACGAACUCACCUAGGGCCUCUUCGCGAUCAGGGAUGGCUCGGAGAAGGCCAGCGUCGAGAGAUGGCGGGCAAAGGCUUCUACAAGAGUUCGGCAACAUGGACUGAGCAAACAGAAACUAAAAACAACGGGAAAAGAGGUGCAGGGACUUCACAAAUCCGUUAUGAAGCCCGACAUCAAGCUUACGGAAGCACAAACGUGGUGGAAGCGUUGAUCCGUGUUCGGCGUCAAUCUAUGGAGUGGCGGCGGCGCUUGCAAGCUGGGCUAGGGAAAACCGACGCUAAGGGAGGUGAAAAGGAGGUCGAGGAAAGGCGUUGGAGGCUUUAUAGGAGCAUAGGCGUGGGGAACAAGCCGAAACGUGAGAGAAUCGGAUCACCGGGACGGAUUCCUUUCCUGGGGAGAGUCCGGUCUCCAUACUGUUGGGAGGAAGAAGAUGGGCGAUGCCCGGUGGGUCCUACCCAUGAGCGAGGGAAGGAGGGGGAAAGGCGGGUGCGUAGCCAGGCUUGUGCUGGGCCGUGGCUCUGUUGCUGGGCUUCGGCCGGGGAGCUGGGAAAAGUGGGGGCUGGGCCGCGCGAGGGGAGAGGGAAACAGGCCGCGGGGGGGAAGGCCAGGGGGCUGGGCCGAGCUGGGGUUUGUCUUUCUCCCGCUUUUUUUGUUUUUCUUUUCUUUUCCAAAACCUUUUUCCAAUUAGGCUUUUGAGCAAAACAAGUAAAGAUAAAAACAGAAACAAUAGUCACAAAAUUUCUAUACCCCAGCAUGAAUGCAAAAACAUGUUUCUAAAACUUAUGAUAAAUUUUAUUUUUCACCAAAAAUUAUUUAUUCACUAAAUUAAAUGCUCACAAAAUACUUUAAAUAAAUCCAAUUAAACCCUAUUAAUUGAAAUCCAAUUUUUGGGUGUUACAAAAUAUGUGUGUGCUAAUGAUAUUUUGUGGCUUAUGUGUGUCACCAGUUCAUUCUAAGACUGCUGCUAGGAGGGCUGCUGGCCGGCUUCCUGGUGCUGGGGGUGCCUAUGGGUGUGUUUGUUUAUUUCCUACAUAAGCCUGGCUAGCAAAACUAAGCCUGGCUAACUCUAGCCUGUCUAUAGCAAGACAAAACCUGUUUGUUUGGUUGUGUGUGUUGUUGAGUCUGGCUAGGAUAAGUUUGUGUUUGGUUGGUUGGCUUAGUUUGUAUACAGUCACCUCUUCUUUGAGCUGGUAAGUUUACCUUCUCUGAGGCAUUUUGUAGAACAGCUGGUGGGCAUGUUCUUGGGCUCCCUGUAGCCACCACUACAAACGGUCGCAUCAAAGAGCUGGCUCACCCUUCCACUGUCCACUCCGACUGCACGCUCCGCGACACGAUGGCCGUGCUCCGCCUCGCCUCCUUCACCCUCUGCGCCACCACCGCCGCGGCUUCCGCCUCCUCCACCUCCUCCGACAUCGCCAUGGGGACCUCAUCAGGCCCCACAUCGAGGCAGCGAGGGAGAGCUAUGCAUCCGCGCUGUCGGACGCCGCGGCGGAGAGCUACGCAUCCGCGCUGACGACCGGAGAAGCUGCAGAAGAUCUACCACCUCGCGUGCCCCAUGUCGCCCGUGCAAGGAGAAGCUGACGGCCGGAUCUACCACCUUGCGGGCCGCACGUCACCCGUGCAAGGAGAUGAGGAGCUCGCCAGGGCAAAACAAGGAAGGCGGCGUCAGGAGGCGAGGCACUGGGGACAGAGCGAGGAAGGCGGUGUGCGGAGCGGUGACAAGAACUGGCCAGACGGCUGGCCAGGGAAGUAGCUAGACAAUGGUACAGUCAGAAGGUAAGUCAACAACGAGGUGAAUGGGGAGUUUUACGAGCCAACUUUUGUCUAGAUUUUUAUUCCCUCGACCGUAUCGGCGACCUUAGACUCGAAGUCCUAUCUUUUAAACAAAAAGAUAAUGAAACUUUGGGAAAAUCCUGGAAACAUUUUUCUGAUCUUUUAGAAUAUGGUCCAAACCUUAAUCUUGAAAACCCUGUUCUUUUAUUUCACUUUUUCAAGGUCUUCAGAAAGAUCAUAAACAAAUGCUACAUACAAUGUCUAGAGGUUCUUUCUUCCGCAUCCCUACUGAUGAAGCUAGAGUGAUCUUAGAUAGAAUCCUAGAAGCUGAGAUGGAUAAUACCCUUCAUGAUGAAACCUACGAAGCCGAAGUAGACACUCUGCCAAAUUCUUCAUCUACUUUAGCUAUCCCAAGUUCUGAGCCACAAAAGGAAGAAAUUCCACCACCGGACUUCAUGCUGGAUAUAGAAUCUGAUCUUUUUGCUGAUUUUGGAAACAUUUCAAACUACCAUUCUAUUGACAAACCCCAAAACAGCCAGUUUAGCAUUUAUUUGCCAAGUGAAUAUCAAUUAAGAGAGCUUAUCUCAGUCAUGAGUAGCGAGUGGUUGGAGGAAUCAGAGCUUUCCUCUGAUGUAAUCCGUUUUGACACACUCUCUAUAACUAUACACUGUGCUUAUAAUUCUGAUUGAUUUGAUGCUCUCUAUAAUCCUAUUGUGGGGAUCAACAUCAUGUCUGAAUCUUUUGCACUUAAACUAUUUAAAAACUUGUUCUUAACCCCCACAACAAAGGUCUUAAAGGAAUCUUCGGGACGAUUAGUCCCCAGUCUUGGAAUUAUUAAUGUCCUACAUCUUACAGUAGAAGGCUGCAUGUUUCAUUUGAACUUCUAUAUCUUUGAUACAUGGGACUUUGACCUAUUGAUAGGGCAACCUUUUAGAAGACUCCUUUAUGAAGGUCAUACUGGAAAGCUACACAUUUCUUUUGGAAAAGCCUUUAAAUUUCCAAUAACAGUUUCACACACCUUAAACAAUAAGGCCGAGUCAUAUCUUUUGCCUGAUCCUAUGGAGGAGGUAAAGGCUGCAUCUCUAGAACUUUUAGAUGAAUCAGACUUAGAAGACGAAACUCCUUUCUUCACAGAAGAAGAAGCUAAACCUUCUGAACCUGAACCCUUGGAUGAGUUUGUAGAAACACCUAGACCCCCCAUAGAGCUUAAAACUUUAUCACCCGGUCUUACCUAUGCUUUCCUAAACAAUAAUGACCAUUCUUGAGAAACUCACUCAGGAGCAAACUCUGCGAUUAAUGACCAUUCUUGAGAAACAUCACUCAGAUUUUGGCUACUCACUCCAAGAUCUUACAGGAAUCAGUCCUAUGAUUUGUACCCAUCGUAUUCCGACAUAUCCUUUUGUUUCAGCUUCUUGAGAACCCCAACGUAGACUUAACAACACUAUGAGAGAGGUAGUUAAAAAGGAAGUUAUAAAGUUGCUGCAUGUAGGGAUUAUAUAUCCUGUGCCGCAAAGUGAGUGGGUGAGCCCAGUUCAAGUUGUGCCUAAAAAGGAGGCAUGACUGUUAUUAUGAAUGAAAAGAACGAGCUAAUUCUGCAACGCACCGUCAUAGGAUGGCGGAUGUGCAUAGACUAUAGAAAACUAAACAAAGCCAUGAGAAAGGAUCAUUUUCCUUUACCUUUCAUAGAUGAGAUGCUAGAGCGAUUAGCGAACCAUUCGUUCUUCUGUUUCUUAGAUGGAUAUUCAGGGUAUCACCACAUCCCAAUCCAUCCUGAUGAUCAAAGCAAAACCACUUUUACAAGCCCAUAUGGAACUUAUGCUUACCGUAGAAUGUCUUUUGGAUUAUGUAAUGCACCAGCUUCUUUUUAAAGAUGCAUGAUGUCUAUAUUUUCUGAUAUGAUUGAAGAGAUUAUGGAAGUUUUCAUGGAUGAUUUCUCUGUUUAUGGAAAAACUUUUGAUAGUUGUCUUAAAAACUUAGACAAGGUAUUGCAAAGAUGUGCAGAAAAGGACUUAAUCCUUAAUUGGGAAAAAUGUCAAUUCAUGGUUAGGGAAGGAAUAGUGCUAGGACACCUAGUGUCUGAAAGAGGUAUUGAGGUAGACAAAGCUAAAAUUGAAGUAAUUGAACAACUACCUCCACCGGUGAAUAUAAAAAGAAUUCGAAGCUUUCUUGGCCAUGCUGGUUUUUAUCGCAGAUUUAUAAAAGAUUUUUCAUUUAUUGCUAGACCACUUACUCUUUUGCUAGCCAAGGAUGCUCCUUUCGAAUUUGAUGAUGCAUGUCUAACAUAUUUCAAUCGAUUAAAGAAAGCACUCAUCUCUGCACCAAUUAUUCAACCUCCUGAUUGGUCGUUGCCUUUUGAAAUUAUGUGUGAUGCUAGUGAUUAUGCUGUGGGGGCAGUUUUGGGACAAACUAAAGAUAAGAAGCAUCAUGCAAUUGCUUAUGCCAGUAAAACUUUGACAGGAGCUCAACUUAACUAUGCAACCACUGAAAAAGAGCUUCUAGCUGUUGUCUUUGCCAUUGACAAAUUUAGAUCUUAUUUAGUUGGAGCUAAAAUAAUUGUUUACACUGAUCAUGCUGCAUUAAAAUAUUUGCUCACUAUAAAAGAUGCUAAACCUCACCUGAUUAGAUGGAUCUUAUUACUUCAAGAAUUUAACUUAGAAAUAAAAGAUAAAAAGGGAGUAGAAAAUUCUGUUGCUGAUCACUUGUCUAGAAUGUAUUUUAAGAAUCCACAGGAAACCCCCAUCAAUGAUUCACUCCGGGACGACAUGUUCUACCGGAUUAACAGGUCUGACCCCUGGUAUGCAGAUAUUGUUAAUUUUAUGGUUUUAGGGUAUGUACCACCAGGAGCAAACAAGAAGAAGCUUAUUCAAGAAAGUCGUUCACAUAUAUGGGAUGAGCCAUACCUCUUCCAAGUAUGCUCUGAUGGCUUACUCAGGAGAUGUGUGACCACUGAGGAAGGAUGGAAGAUCAUCGACAGAUGUCAUUCAUCACCAUAUGGAGGUCAUUAUGGAGCAUUCCAUACACAUUCAAAGAUCUGGCAGUGUGGAUUCUACUGGCCUACAAUGUAUGAAGACACAAAGCAAUAUAUCAGAAGAUGUGGGCCAUGUCAAAGGCACGGAAACAUAAACACAAGGGAUGCCAUGCCACUCACCAACAACCUUCAGAUUGAGCUCUUUGAUGUAUGGGGAAUAGACUAUAUGGGUCCAUUUCCUCCAUCAAAGAAGUGUGAAUACAUCUUGGUGGCAGUUGACUAUGUCUCCAAGUGGGUAGAGGCACUACCUUGCAAGCAUGCCGACAACAUCAGUUCAAAGAGGAUGUUUGAAGAAAUUAUAUUUCCAAGAUUUGUAGUCCCCAGAGUAGUGAUAAGUGAUGGAGGAGCACACUUCAUCGACAAACGCUUCAAGCAAUAUCUAUCAAAACACGGAAUCCGUCACAACAUCGCUACUCCCUAUCAUCCUCAGACAAGUGGCCAAGCAGAGACUUCCAAUAAGCAAAUCAAGAAUAUUCUUCAGAAGACAGUGAAUGAAAUGGGAACGGUAUGGAAAGACAAGUUACCCGAUGCACGCUGGGCAUACCGGACAGCAUACAAGACCCCAAUUGGAAUGUCUCCAUACCAAUUGGUGUACGGGAAGACUUGCCACCUACCUGUUGAACUAGAGUUCAAAGCACACUGGGCCAUAAAGAGAUGGAACAUGGACCUAGAUGUUGCUGGAGAUCAUAGAAGAAUGCAACUAUCAUAAUUGGAAGAAUGGCAAGAGAAAGCAUAUCACAAUUCGAAGAUCUACAAAGAAAGAGUCAAAAGGUGGCAUGACAAGAGAAUCAAGAAGAAGGAGUUCACACCUAGAGAUAAGUGUUGACAUUUGCUAACACCACUUGAAUACUAGGUUGUCAUCCCCAGCAUGGCACUAGAGUGUACUAUGGUAUUUAUACGCACACAGAUAAUCCGCAAGCGCACGGAUACCGUUGAAGCUUUUACCCGGUUAAAGGUUUUAUCAUAUCCACAGGGAAACGGGAGAACUAAUCUACACUCUAACUUAACCAAGAUAAGUAAAUAAGUGUAAAUAGGAAAGAUGGUAGAAUCGAAUAAGAACAAUAUUAAAGGUAAGAUAACAGUGAGUGAUAAUAUGGGAAUAGAGAAUAGAGCAAUUCUAGUAUAUGGGCGAUGGUAGCAGAAUAGAGAGGGUAACUAUGGUUUCUCUACUUCAAAGGGGUAUGUCUAUGUCUGGGACGAACCACGUGAUAAGAGUACACCACAAAGGAUGCUUAUCCUUAGGCCGAUAAACCCUACCCAUCCUGCUAACGAGAGGUGGACUACAGAGGACCAACGUAACUGUCACCUACGCGGCCUACCACACGAUCCAGCUAGACAGGGGAUAUCCACAAGUAAUCUAGGUCUAAGCACCACGCUUACACCUAUACUACAACUCUCACCUAUAGCGUCCUAUAGAUUAGAAUACUCAAAAGAGUUGUGAACCAGAACAUACAUAAUUAGUAAUUGCAUAAUGAAUUAGAUGUAGAUUACCAGAGUCAUUCCAUGAGCAAGCUUGAUUAGAGCUUGAUCAUGACGAAGUACAACCGGAGGAAGAACCGACAGGCCGGCCUCUCCUCUAAUCCUCCUUCGCUCUCCAUCUUGCUACUAUGUAGAUCUACUCUAGUUUAGAGAAGAGAGGAGAGCUCUCAUCUCUAAACCCUAGCUUUUGCUCUGUCGAUGAAUAAUGAAUAAUGAUCAAGGGGUGCCUCCUCCAGGGGCCAGCGGGUCUGGUUAUAUAGUCCCCUCAAGUAAACCUGGGCCGUCAGAUCAAACUGACAUUGAUCGUGUGGUUUUCCUUGAAGUAUUAGGUCGGUGGAGCAUGAUCCGCGAAGUUGAAGCUGAUUGGUUACUGUAGCUGGGCGGGGACCCAAGGGACUUGGGCGGGCGCCCUGCCCCCAGGCCCGAUCGGCCUCCCGUUCGUUCCCGUGGCUUCUAGAGUCUUCUAGAUGGUAGAAAAUUGCGCGACACGUUAAUAUCUCUAUGUAAACCCGACGUGUAGGCCUUUCUUUCAUAUUUCUUGAUAACCCCCUGCAAAAAUAGACAAACACCAAAACUCGUGGAAUUCUGUCAGAUAAAACCCUAAGUCUAGAUGUUGAUUUCAUUUAGAUCCUUUUCUUUGUUUAUUUGAUAAUUAAAUUUGAUACUUAAGGACCGUCAACAAACUCCCCCAAGCUUACCUCUUGCUCGUCCCUGAGCAAGGAUAGACUCAGCAAUGGAUCAGAAGUUGUUGCAAUAUCUUAAAAAUUUGACGGUACACAUGGUUUUAAAUAAGAUCUCAUCUCUCAGUUAGAGUAAACUGUCAAGAACUAAAACUUACUUACUUUACCUUUCACCAUGGGACUUGUAACCGUCACUUCUGUCUUGAGUAGUUAAAAGAUAGAACAGUCUAGCCAAGUGCCAUGUCUCUUAUUCUUGAUCAGCUAUAGCUCUGGAGUUUUUGCAGAUUUUCAAAUAAAACUCAGAGAUUCCUCAUAUGACUCUCUAAAUCUCUCUUUUGUGCUAUUUCUGGAUCCUUACCAAGGCAGUGAUGGUAUAUGCCUUCUCUCAAGAUAUGUGGUAUUUGUGGUAUAAGGCAUAGUGACAUUGCCUUCUCUCUCACCCUACUCUAAUAAGGCUUUAAUAUCUGGAGCUCAUAGGUGGGAGAUCAAGUAUACAUACUUAUAAGACAUUUAUUGCAUAGUCAAACCAUGGAUCUAGAGAAACAAGUCAAUAAGUCAAAUCAAGAUGUGCAUGUGUGGCGAAUGAAUGGUGUAUGGUGAUGAUGGUGAUAACAAUGGUGAAAGUCUAAUUCUACUUUUGCUCUUUUGAGGGGAUACAAACCUUCCUUGCCUUUUGAAACUUUAUGAGGAGAAUGAGAUGCUCUUCUUUUUCUUUCCUCUCAGGUGGGUAUCUUGUACCCCUAAUUCUACUGUCGGACACUUGUCCAUUUUUACCUCUCGUCUGACACUUUUUCUUUUCUUUCGAGGUUCCGCGCACUUGCCCCUUUUUAUUUCCUCGUUUAUUAUUUUUUUUAGAGCACUCAUCUCUUGAGAUAAUAUAGCAAGUGGUAGUAGCAAGAUAACUUGGGCAUUUAUUUCACAAGGGAAAAUAGAAAUAUUUUUGGCUAUUCUCUCCCGGAUUAGGAGUAGAAUAUUUUUGGGUGGUUCUGGAAAUGGAUGUGGAUGGUACUUCCGGAUUAGAAGUAGCAUAUAUGAGUGAACGUGCAAGUGAAACUUGAUUUAACCACAUGACAAGCUCCUAAGGGUCUACACAGCUUGACCACACUCAAUGCUCAUAAGCCGUAAAUAAUAAAUGUGUGGCUCAAAGUCUAGCAAGCAUGUAUAUAUGGCUGUGGUAAGAAUUUAAACUCUCAUCAUACAGGAACUCAUCAUGCAAUAUUUUAAAGAUUUUUCAAAGAUAAAAUUCUCCAGAAUUCUAGCAUCUCAAGGAACAGAUAAACAGCAGCUCAACCUUCCCAUAUCAUAUCCGUUAACAACUUAGAUUUCAGAUCAAGUUUUCAUCCCACAAGUUUAGAUCUAGAGCAAGCUUUAAAUUAUAAC
rnacentral:lncRNA from 1 species